rnacentral:lncRNA from 1 species
UUUUUUUUUUUUUUUUGCUGUUACUUUAUAGCAUUACAUGCUACAAAAUUCAAGGCUACAACAUUUGUUGAGCUAAGAGAAAGCAAUGAUGAUAAUUAUGCUCAUGAAAUGAGUGACAUCAACAACUAUCUACUCUAGAUCUGACAUGUACAUAGUGCUCCCUCUCUUUAAAAUUAUUACAUAAUUUUUGUUAUGCCCUUAGAUAUAUGUAAGAGUACAGCAAAAAAGCUACAUAUACCUAGAAAAUUAAGAUAUCUUAUAAUUGUCCACUAUCACGCAUUACGCUACUAGAAAUUUUUUAGAAAAAAGCGAUGCAAAAAAAGAGCUCGUUUUUUUUCAGAUCAAAGGUACGACUUCCAUAUGCCGUUGCCAUAUGACCCAUUUAAUCCCUACCAGCUGGGGUUCAUGCAUACUACGCAUGUUGCUUUGUGCAGAGCUAGCUUCUAGCUAGCACAACAGUGGUUCCCCCCGGCCUCCCCUUUUUUACCAAUGGUAAAUACUGUGCAUUUUUUUUUCCCUUCCUGUAUAGGUCGUAUGACCGGAAUCUCCCGUCCUACAACACAUCACACGGCCAUUAUAAGGGCCGGGCAACCUCUCUACUUACUUCCACCCAUCAUCGCAUCUAUUCACUCAUUCAUACAUGUCAGUUAGCUAGAACACUGGUGAUAUAGAAAACCAUGCACAUCUUUCUGCUUGGGUGUGCAAGAUGCAUUGGCAACAAUGCUACGGUUGGCACAUGCAUGCAUUUACGUAUGAUGCGUGAAGCUUUGAUAGAUGGAUCAGGAUGUGCAAAGGUGAUUUUGCGUAAUAAUAUAUGAAGGUUUGCAUUGCUUAGGAUGUGCCUGGCUCCCUGUAUGCCACUCAUCUAGAGCAACGACAGCUUGGUAGGGUUGCCUAUAAGAUGGAUGGCGUGCAUGGUGCCAAGCAUAUCUCGCCAUUUUUGUUGUAGCUCAUUUUCGAACCCUUUCCCUCCUCUCGCUUGCUUAUUUUCAAAGUUGGUUUAAUUACUUGUGUUUAUCAGCAUAUUCGAACUCAUUUUCCAAUCCUCUCUCUCUCCUUUGGCUUUUUUCGAUCGAGGUUAGUUUACUGGGAUUUGUGGCACAUUUGUAUGAUUGUAUAUGUAUGACUUCUUCUCUAUGUGGCGUGUUUGUUUGGUCUCUCUCCCUGCUUGCUUGUACAAUAAUGUUCGUUUCCAUCCAUGCCGUUUUCUGAUAAUAUUAUUUGUUAACCUUUAUAUGUAGUAACUGCUCGCUGUUUUCUGAUAAUCAUGAUUUAUACGAAAUUUACAAUGGAAGAUUUGCAUGACUUGGAUAAUAAAUAUCAAUGCAACUCAUUUUAGUAGCGUGAUUAAUAGGGACUCUCUAAUUGUUUGUUUGUUACUGCACAGUUAGAUACUGCAUUUUUAUUUUGUGUUGGAGCCUUUGCAUUGCAAAGCAUAGGUGUCUAAGCAUUGGAACCACUAAGGGCAUGGUCUACAGGACAUUUUAAGUGUAUGAAACUAAUGGCAUUUGGUUUCAAAAUAUUGGCAAUAUCAUUAUCUUACAAUGCUCAAUUAUGUUACUAACUUGUCACAAGAAACGGAAGGAUUUAUCAAGGGGAAAAGGGGCAAUGGAAGGCUUGGUUGUUGCUUCAAACGGUUUUAGCAAGAAGCAUAUGAUUCAGAUAACCAUAGUAAGCACCACCAAUUAUGCUACAAAGUAUACUGAAACAUCAUCAGGAUCAUAGGUUCCUUAUAAAUCCUUGAUUUACAGAGUUUCUCUAAGUUAGAGCAAGUAUAAUAAGGUGACAUAGCCGGGUUGUAGAAGAUGUCACAUUACAUGUGAUUAGAUGUGGUGACACCAAAGAAAGAAAUAAAGAGAAGUAGGUGUUUGUUUGGGAUUAUAAUAUGCCCUGAUUUGGUGGACAGAGAUCACGAGGGAAUCCAUGGGGAAGGAAUUCAAUUCCUUCCACAUGGAUUCCCUCAAAAUCCCUAUACACCAAAUCAUUCCUAAUUGUUAUAUAUAUAUAUAUAUAUAUAUAUAUAUAUAUAUAUAUAUAUAUAUAUAUAUAUAUAUAUAUAUAUAUAUAUAUAUAUAUAUAUAUAUAUAUGACAACAUCAAAAAGUCUAUUAUGAGCUAUAUUAUUAACCUUGCUGAAUCCACAUAAUUUAAUAGACUGUUAUGGCUUGUUUGAGAGCCAGUACUCCUGUGAGGAUUGGAGGGGCUAAAUUUUUCUUGCUAUUAAAAAUUGAAUAGCAAGAGAUUUUAGCCCCUCUAAUCUCCUUUUGUAUCUUUGCUCCUAAACAAGCUAUUAACCUCAAGGCUUGUGUUUUGUAUUUGAAACCCUGAGCUAGUGUUUCACUCUACAGGCAGCGGGAUACCAAGGGCGUGUCGUGUUUGGGGACUAUUGCCAGGUUCCCUAGCCACACGAGACGCUCGCCAGCCAGCCUGUUGGCUCUCCCUCUCUCUCUCGGCAGCAAGGAGAACUUUGCUAGCACGGGACACAAGAUAGGUGAACACAAAAUCCAAACGACCUGCUCGGUCCAUUUUUUUUUAAUUAUUGUAGCAGGAUCCGGCAAAAGUCCCGAAUGAACAGCUGGCAGCAGCGUUUCGAUCGAGUUGAUCUGCUUGCGGGUGUUCAAAGAGCACAUGGCUGGUGGUUUUGGGUAUAUCUUCAAUAAUGUGCCAUUUGCGAUGUAAUUAUUCCGUUCAUUUUGUCGGCAAGAAAUAAAGGCUCCACCGGCUGUUAUAAUCGAGUCGUUUAGAUAGAUCUACAUGUGCAUCUAUCUAUAAUGUAUCCAUUCGAUCAAUCACAGAUCGACGCACAGCAGCGUCAAAAUCCGGGAAUGCAUGCAUGCAGGCGGGUCUGAAUCCAGUGCCAAAAUUUGUUCAAGCUACACUACCGCUCGACAUGCAUGACAUAUGUGCAGGCUUAACGAAAUAAACGACCGUAAGUAAUAAAGCGCAAGUAUCCAAUUACCUCUCUCCGGCCGUCACAGUACCGGCACGUGAAAAUCGCAGCACUGUGCUGUGCCGCGUCUCCUCUCUCUCUCUCUACCUGUCCAGGAAAUAACUGAAGAAGAUUGGCUGGCCGCCUGGCAUGAUUGAGCCGGUAGAACAGUUCCCCAUAUAGUAGUCGCCCUGAAAAAAGCCACCCACAGAUGAUUCAGGUAAUGGUCGGCGUACCGUCGGCCGGCCGGCUGCCACUCCUGACGGCUGCACAGUCUAUAUAGCAGUAAUGGUCUGUACCUCAGGAUGAGUGUGCAUGAGGGAUCUCACGUGCCCUGUGCUGUGCCUGUGCAACCCCUGCCCGCAAAUGCAUGCAUCCGUUGCUGCAGCGGGUCACUGCUCGCACUGACCAGGCAGCGGCCGCACACACAUGUACAUAUUGGUCAGUGUGUGUGUGUGUAUCAGUAUCACAUCACAAGAGAAAUGUGAAGCAAUGCGACUAGCUUCGUUAUCGAAAACCAGGGAGAUAGAUGAUCAAGAGGUUGAAGAAGAGUAUCUUACCAUUCAUAGGCAGUGCAGAUCGACCAGAUAGAGAGAGAUAGUUGUGUAUAUAGACAAGCACCAGGACGAGGAUCCAGCAGGUACACAACUAUCUCUCGCUCCGUAUGCGAAGCCAACAAUCAUGCACCAGAAUUAUUAGAGGCCAAACCCUGGUGGCAGCCGGAGAGGCGACGGCAGCCUUGUCGCCCUCACCGAAGUGACGACAAGGCGCUACACGUCAUGACAACUGAGCUGGCAGCAUCGCCUCGGCCUUGGGGCCCAAGUCCAGGUCGCAGAUGAAGCUCAAGGCUGCCGGCCAGCCAGCCAUUGCUGCCCCUGAGGAAGGACAGCCACCAUGUUAGGACACCCAGACCAGCUGCAGUAAUGGAAUCCGUCAGGCUCCGGUGUGCAGACAAGCUAGAAAAUGACACAGGAAUGAGCACUAUGCUGAUGCAGGAGGCUGCUCGGCAGCUGCAACUGUGUCCAUUUGCAAACUGCAGUGCUCUCCAUUGCUUGUUCCUGCAGUGGACAAGAGGAGGGAGCGAGGGAGGGAGGGAGCACACUCAGAUCUUGCAGCGCCCCAUUAUGCAGGAGAUGUCCAGCAACAGAUGGAACCAUGUACUAGCAUCUAAACAGUUGGGACAAGAGUCCAAGCAGUUUCAUGGUAAGCCACAUUGUGGAGGUGAUGUGAAAUCAGGGAAGGAAAAGAUUCUCAGACCACUCUGAGAAAUUGAUAGACAGGCCACCAGUUUUUUUUUACAGAUACUUUGGCACACUAGUGAUAAAGAAAAUAUAUACAGAUAUCACGAUCCACCAACGUGCCAGUAGUAUGAACGGUGGGCAGUGAAGAUAUUCACAUAGUUUUCUGUAGCUAUGCUGAAUCUCAAAAACAGAAGCAACUGAAGCGAAAAACUGUUUAUUGCUGAACUAUUUCACAGAUCCCAUUUGUAGUGCAAACAACAUGUUGCUGGAAAGGAGAACUUCCAUCGACAGCAAGGAACAAGGACAUAGUUACACAACAUUUUGGUUGAUCUCAUUUGUGAUUUCCUGGAAGACCCGCAGACGGUUCUGUGGCCUCCAUGACCCUGUACUUGCCUCAUUAUUAUGCCAGCGAUGAGUGGCGGCCUCAAUGUGACUGGAACACUGAGUGUGUUCGUUAUCAUCAAACGGAACAUAGCCAUGGCCAUAUCCUUCACCUUUUGAUUUCCAGUCAGGAAAAAGAGCGCGCUGAGAUGUGUUGCUUCUCCGUGGUACUUGCUUCGUGCCUGAGGCUCUCUCACGGGGAUGAAUUGUGUGAAGCCUUUGCCAAACUCGAUUGUUGUGGUCAUGUACCUUAUGCCUGCUCCAUGUCGGAGCAGUCCUCACAAGAUCCCAGUUCACGUUCUUAUCCAUGUAGAUUUUGGAGUCACUGCGUCUCCAUGAACCUGCUGAAGAACCUUGCAGUUGACCACCCAUGACUGGUCUUUGAUGGGUCCUGCUUUCUUGAGAGGACGAUGGUGUUCUAUACUCCAGCUUACUUGCAUGCUUACUGCUCUCGUUUUGUUCAGUAAUUCCAACACCAUGUGUUGACUUGCCAUCACCCAAUUGCUGGUCAUCCUUCGCCACCAUGUCAGCCCAUGGUUUGUCAUCACCCAAUUGCUGUUCCUCUUCAUCCACCAUGUCAGACCAUGUUUUUCUAACACCUUUGGUCAAUAGCUUCCCUUCUUGCACGGAAGUCUCACUAGCAUCUAGGUUUCUUUCAGAGUUUGGCAAGCUUUCAGUUGGAGGAGUCUGAAUUUGAUCAUGAAUACUGACUUUUGGUGCCUCUUUAACUAGCCUCUUUCGUAGUUUCUCAAGUACUGAAUGAGGCGUGGCAGCAUCAUUGAACAGUCGAGAAAGAUCUUGGAACUCUGCAAAGCCUUCAUUCUUUUCGGCAUCAGCAGUAACCAUAGUGUGUGGUUCUUCCCGUCUCAAUUGAGUUAUGGGAGAUGGAAGGCAUGAAUUGCAGUUCUCAUGCUUCUCUGCAUUUUGUGAAACUGAAAUAUGUGCUUCUUUAUAUUUCAGUUCACUAAAAGGAGUUGAUAGUGUUUGUGGCUGUAGAUCUACAAGCAUCUCCACAUCAUCAGCAACAAAAUUCCGUGGUUCUUUGGACUUCGCCUGAGUUAUGGGAGAGGGGAGGGAUUGCAAGUCAAAUUCCCUAAGCAUUUCAGUAGCCCGGGAGAGAGACUUAACAUGACUUUCAUCAUUACAGUUGUAAGGUAUAGCAUGAAUCAGAUAUUUAGCUUCAGCCAACUUUCCAGUCUUCAUCAAACAGAUGGCCAAGUUACACUCUUUGUUGUAGUCAGCUUCUAUAGCAAGAGCUUGCCUGUGCCAAGUCAAUAGUAGCCAGAAUUAGUAUAUUUCCCUUUUGAUAUAAAGGGUAGGUGCACGCAGCACACCACAUGCAAGUAUGCCAUUCACAUGCUUAGUAUUACGGAGGGAUUAUAGGUCCAUCUGCAACAUGCCAUUUGAGAAAACUCGUGACAUUUAGAAAUGGAAGAAUGAAUUCAAAAUAUACCUAUAGAGCAUCUCCGCUUCCUCAUAAUUUUCGGACUGCAUAUAGGCCCAAGCAAGGUUCCCCAAUAGCCUUGGAAAGAAACAAGGAACUUAGUCUGGAUAGUGUUUAAAAGUCAAAUCUCAUAUGGGAAUAUCAAUAUUACCACUACCUUGCUUUUUCAUCUCUGAGAGAAAGGUAGACUACUCUUCCAUGAGAUUUAGACAGUUUUGUUUUCCACCGACCAGAAGCUAGCUCCUCAUCAACAAUUCGCAGCUUUAAUGUCAGCAUUUCAAUCUGCUCAUCUGUCCUACCACAUUUCUGGUUUAACAUGAAAAUUAAUGAUUUCAAAAGAAAUGUAUUAGUGACAUUUUCAUCCAAAAACCAGGUGAUGUAAAUAAUUGUUUUAAGAUGACUCAUUCCAAUUAGAGAAUGUUAUAACUAAUUAAAUGUGUUCAAUAUGUAUCUACAUAAUCAAAAAGAAACUCUUAUGGUGUGUUUGGUUUGAUGAAUCAAUUCAUUUUAUAUGAGGUGAUACAUCAUAAGUCCAUUCCACAAAUUUGGUGGAAUCAACUCAUUCCUCAUAUUAUUAUUAGUUAUUAGCUUACGAGGAAUAUGGAUCAACUCAUUCUAUUCCACAAACCAAACAAAACAAAAAAAUUAGGAGUGAGAAGAUGAUGGACUAUCUCAUCCCUCAAACCAAACAGCCUCUUAGCUUAUAAAAAUGAGCCCCUUUCUUUAAGAGGAUAAACAAUAUACCUUGUAUAGAUCUAGAAGAAUAUUGUCAAGUGACUCCUGAGCUUCAUAGGGACAUCGAUCACGAAAGGAUCUUAUUGCCUCAAUGGCUUCUUCAGACCGGUUUGCUUGUUUUAGUACAUUGGCCAUAUCCUUCAAUGCGCUCUCUAUCCGGUCACCACUGUUUAUAGCUGCCCAAAACAAUGGUACAGCCUUGUUUGGGUCCUUUUCAACUAUCUGGAAUAACAGAAACCACAGAAGGAAACAUAAAAAUCUGCAUAUUCAGCUUAUGGUACUUCCUACGUUCAGGAUGACUAGAGAGUUGAAACCCUUCCUAAGAUCCUUAGGGAGGCGAUUGACAACUUCAAACCACUAAGAACGAAACCAGCUUGUAGAAUUAGGUGGUAAGAUGACAUUUAAGUUCAUCCCCUGCAGAAUUCGAGUCCACGCUUCCCUCACCAGCACACAGGAGGAGAGAAUGUAGUUGAUUGUUUCCUCAUCCUGGUCACAAAAAGGACAGGUCGGCUGAUGGGACACCACGCUUGGCUAGGCGAUCAGAAGUCCAACAUCGGUUAUUAAUUGCUAGCCAUAUAAAGAAUUUGCAAUUGGAUGGGGCCUAAAUCUUCUUCCAGGGAGAAAACUUGAUGGUCCCAAUGCACAUAUAUGUUGUUUGAUACAAUUAGAUAACGAGAUGUUAAGGACUUUCACUGUCCACAGAGAACCAUUGCAUUGCCAGUCUCAACAAUUGAGUAAACGUAGUAGCCUUUGGCAUGUAGUCCUCCUAAUAACCGAUUAACCGUGCGGUUGUAAGGUUUUUGGGUCUAGUUUCUCUUAAAAAUCAUGUCAAUUCUUUUCUUCUAAAGUGAACCGCAGGAACUCCAACCCUCUUGGAAGAGGUUUCUCUUGGAUUAGGCAUUAGUGAAGCACAACACUAAUGCCUAAUCGUGUCGUGGCAGCAUUAUAUGGCACUAGCACCUAGUAGUGCUCGUGCCAGCGUACGCACUAUUCCAUUUUAAGAACUCAAAAGGUAUAGAACAUCUUAAAAUUACAAAAUAUAAUUUUAAAACAUGAAUAUUCAAUAUAGAGCGGAUUUAUAAUAUUUAAAACCAUAGCAAAUCACAAUUCAAAAUCAUAUGCACGCAUCACAUUGACAUCUAAAGACAACUAGUUGGUCUAAGACGUGUCGUAGUGUCGUGCUCGUGCCAGCUCAACGUGCUGGGUGGCGGCCCAAGCACGGCAUUGGAUCAUGUCGUGUAUCUAGUGCCGGUCCAUUAGUAUGGCCCACUUGGCCAUCUAUAAAUUGGGAGUGCAUGCAUGUUAGAAAGUUGGAGCAAAUCUAAUUCAUUCUUCAGAAAUUAGGCACAGCUGCAUGCAAAAAAAAAUGAAAAUAUUUACUACAGGCAAGGUAGAAGGCUUGCCACAAUUCAAGCGUUAAAUGCCUGAAUGUGGCAGGUAUCGAUCGAACAUUGUGUAUGAGAAAUGCAUGCCUAAACCAUUUUAAUGGCAACAGUCGCUAGUCCCGUGCGUGAGCUCAAGGGCAGGCUACGACUAAUUGCUGACGAGCUACAUGCAGUUGUGUAGUGCUCGAAUCCUAAGCCGGCCUAAACAUGACCGAAAUGGUACGCGCCGAUGAUGAAUUACCUGCGCCUGCUUGGCCCGCACGUAGGGCGAAUCCAUGGAAGGCGGCGGCCUGGGCGGCCGCGACGAGCAGCCCCCGGUCGACGGCGGCGUGACGCGCGCGCCCGCGCCCCCGCUCGUCGGUGGCGUGACGCGCGUGCCCCCGCUCGUCGGCGGCGUGACGCGCGUGCCGAAGCAACCCGCGCUGACGGGCGGCGUCCCGUAGCCCGGGCCCGGGCGCGGUCCGCCCGGGGUACCGGCAGUGCUCCACAUCGGCGCCCCCGCGCUCCUCGGCGACGUCCACGGCGGCAGCCGCCUCCCGCCGCUCGGCAUUGGUCGCCGGGGACCAACUUCCGUCGAGCACCUGGCGCGCGCGCGCGCGAGGCCGGGGCUGCACCAGUACGAGUACGACACGGUCACGGGUCACGGUCAGGAGACAGGAGGCAGCGGCGGCGGUUAGCGUGCCUGGCUGCGGGCUGCAUGCAUUGCCUCGUGAUGUUUCCCGCACAGGGCGCAGGAUGAGCGUGCCGUCCUGGAAGGGGGUCAGAUCAGAGGAUGGAGUGCUCACCUCGGCGACGGCGAGGACUUGAAGCCUAGCCAAGCGAGCGCCGCAAAACCCUAGCGGCCCCCGCCUGCGCCGACGCCGCGAGGUGGCGAACGGAAGCAAGCCCGCGCGCGGAAGGAGGGAGGGAAGCAGGCAGGCAGGCAAAGGCAAUCCAGCCGACGCCGCAACCGCCUCAGGGUUUAUAUGCCACGCGUCGAGAGGAGGAGGCUUUUGAAUUUCGAACGGGCAGGAAAGCUGACGUGGGCGGAGGCGUGGGGCCCGCGUGCACCCGUGGACGUAGUAAGUGCAUGUCAUGUGCUUCCCAUGAGAAGAGAAUUUGCCAUGAGUUGAUAUCAAUCAGACUGGGAGCGAAGAAAAGAAAUUUCCUCUUCAUAAUAAAAACAACAAUUUAUUAGGCGGCGGUGCUGCGGCAAACUGGCAAUGUAGGUUCUGAAAAACGCUAGAGGCACAGAACGGGUGAACUCAGAGUUGUGCACGCGCGCGCAGGCUGGCAGAGCAGACUGCACGUUCAGCGCGUGAGCACUGAGCAGGCGGAGCAGAGCCAACAAGAGCAAAGGGGCAAGAAGAAUGGAAGCCAAGGGCCGCACGCAGAGGCUGUGAUCCCUGGGAAGGGAGGAGGAAAGUAACAUGAGCCAGACGGCAGAUGCACAGGGCAGCUUCAGCAAGACAGACAACACAUGCAGAUGCAGAGGAGUUUCUGAAAAAACGCCUGUGGCGUGAAGGCAUUCAAUUCAGUGCGUGCGGCACGAGAGCGCUUGUGAAAUGAACUGAUGGGUGUGCUGCUACUGCUACUGCUGCAGUAGAGAGCAAGGCAACAGACUAACAGAGAGAGAGAAUACAAAACGCUGCUGCCUGUGAUCUCAAAGUCUGGAGCAGAGAGUUUACCACAACGUCGCAGGCUUCAGAUUCUCGAGUUUCACCGGGGACGGGAGAGAGAGGGAGAAUGACCCUCACCCUGCUUUGCAUGCAGCAUCACGCUCUCGGCGUGCCAUUCGCAUCACCGGCUUGAGAAGUAGCUAGCCCUACUGCCCCAAAACAACAGACAGCCUACGAGACACUUUCUUUUCGUUGUUGUUGUUGUUUUACCGGCUCCGUUUACAAUGGACAGUCAGAGCCAUAGUAAAAAAUUAGGGAUGUACAAUCCAUAGAUUUCGGCUUAGUUUUCUAAGUAUAAGAGAUAUCUAAAAAAACUGCAUGAUACAUCUAUGAGUCUCUAAAUCAUAAAUACAGAUAAGAUAUAAUAUGUACAGAGAGUCGUGUGGAAAUGGGCUCUCCGCGAAGAGUUCAUCUCUUGAUUAUUAUUAUUUUUACAUGGCCCUCUAUAGACCUCUCAAGAGACGCCUCAUUUAGUUAGGUUGUACAUACCCUUAUACUAAACAGACCUUACUCAUCUCGACUAGUGUGAACUAACCUUAUCGUUAAACGAGCAUUUUAAAAGAGUGGCAAUCAAACUCUGAUGUAGUUGACCGAGAAUGUUUGAACAAUGUGUAUAUGUACAUGUAUAUGUCUAUGAUACAUUGUUUUUUUUUCAUACUUCGUAUAUGAUAGUGUUGCCCAGCCCUAAGUUGGGUAUUACCUCUGACUUUGUGCUCGGUAUGAGUCAAUAAUGAGUACACGAGUUAACCUUGUAGAUAUUCGAGACUCAAAGGCUCGGCGUUCUAUGAUCCUCCUAGAGACGAAUGGCAUAAUCUCAGGGACUCGACAUCCAAUGUCCUCGACGGGACUUUGCAGUAGUCUUAUGGACUCGACCUCUAGAUGUCUACAUAGGGUCUUUGGGCAUGCAGGCGACAGUAGAAACCAUGCAUGUAGGUAGUGUUGUCGUCCUCUCUAUAGAGAUUGUGAACCAGAGCCUCGUGGUCUUAGUGUCCUGAUGCCUGUAUAGGGACUUUCAAUGUGCAGAUGAUAUCAGGGCCAUAUAGGUAGUACUCCACCCUCCCCUAAGAGACCUAAAAUCUAUCAUGUUGUUACAUCCAACUACUUAGAGCAAUGUGAACAACAUCUAGUAUCCUUAAAGUGACAAACGACUAUGGGAUGUGAAAAUAAGGGUUGAUCGGCUCUGUUGAUGACAAACUUGGUCAUUUAUGUGAUGUUGUAACAUCGUUACAUCAAGCCAUGGAUUGGAAAAAAGCAUACUGAUAAAGAGAUGCCUAAGAGAGUGCCAAUCAAAUGAAUUAUGACCUUCUAUAAUCUUAUGCUUCCUAGGUAAUCGUGAGUCCUUCAGAAAAAAUUUAGGAAGAGAUCAGAAUAGUGAUGCCAACUUUUUUUUAAUAACUUUAAAUAAAAUAGUGAUGUACAAUUAUUGAUAGCCACGCAACAUCUCGGUUGUGGUAUGGCAACUGAGAUGAUGAGAGAAGCUUAAAAGUAAAGGAAAACUUUUACACAUGGUCGCCAUUGACAUCAAAACUUUAUCUAUAUUUGAGGAAAACUUUGUGACCAUCCUAGUCUGAUUUACUCAUGUCGUUGAUUCUAGAUAGAUAUAACUCAAACUUCAAGGAAGUUGAGAACUUUCUCGACAAAUCCUUGUAAACGGUGACAAUCCUUGGUUUUCUGAUGACUUUUUUUAUGUAAGAUGCAUUGUGCGUUCAUGAUCAUUUGAAACUCCUCCUGCUUAGGUACCAACGACUGAUGUCGAGCCUUUUGCUAUGCUUUUGCAAUGACCUGAUGGUAUGUCUUUAUUUUCUUAUUGUCACUAUCAUCGAAUUCGGUUCCUAAUCCUUUCUUCUCUGUCUUUUUGGGAUGAAAGUUGUCAUUGAACUUCUUUGCCCACUACAUACAUAUGAACAAUUUGAAACAUAUAGGUUAGGGUGAUAGGAGUCCUUUGAGUGAGCUUCUGAACCAAGUUACAGUAAUUAAGUCCCUUUUAGAAAAUACAUAUUAAUAUCCUUUCGAAUAUGUUGGAAAUAAUAUCUUUCAUGUUACGAUGUAAUCACACAGGGACUCAUCCUCCAUAUGGGCAACUUGUUCAAGAUCAUGUUGAGUUAUUGCUCGGUCUCGAUUCAUGCUAAAGAGUUAGUUCUUCCCAUGAGUUAAUAGACUUAGCCAGGAGUCCGAACAACCACUUCCAAGUAGAAAACCUAAACCAUGAAGGAAGAUAAUUUGCCAUGAUGGAAGAGUUUUCUCCUACUAAGGUUGUCUCCAGCAACGUCCUCUAUAUACAUCCUCUAUAUCCGUCCUUUACAGUCUUCUCUAAAAGAUUCCAUCUCCUAUAUCUACUUUCUCUCCAACAACGUCCUCUAAAUCACGUCCUCUAUAUGUAAAUACCUAUAUUAAACAUAUUUUUAAUUUUUUAAUUUUUGUACAUACGUAUUUGUCAUACUCUCAAAUGUAUUGUACAUAUUUUAGUUUUAUUAAACCGGUUGUUUAAAGUAUUCAAAUAGAUAGAGAACCGUUUAGAGAAACUCUACAUAUAGAGGAUCCAGCAGCGUUCUCUAAAUUUAGAGGACCGUUAGAGGACGUUGCUGGAGGGAGUAGAGGACGUCCUCGUCCUCUAAAUUUAGGGUACAGAACCCUUUAGAGGGUCUUGUUGGAGCCAGCCUAACAUGAUAGACAAAUGAUAAACUUUGAGCCAUUCUAUCGAAUCAGUGUAUCCAUCAAACAUCUUGAUAGGUGUGGGAUCAAAUUCCUAGACUAAAUGACCUUUCUAAGAUGACUUGUGAAAGACUUGAUAGUAACUGUCCUCAGGUCCUCGAGAAUUUGUCUAUGUCUGGAUUGGCUAAGGUUUGGUUCUUUGUGUUGAAAACUCUAGCUCUUUUGCGAGUGAGUUAUUAUAUCCACAAACCAAGAGUCAUGACUCAUGGUAUGUGAUGCUGGAACCUUGGCAUACAUAACUGCAACGGUUAACAUGAAAUUAUUAUUGUUCAAGUCUUUAUGAACUUGACUAUUGUUCCUUACAGUAACGAUACUGGUUGAGCACAAGUUUUAUUGUCGCAAUAAUUUGUGUAGGGUUCCUUGGAAUUUAAUCAUUUGAACCUAACUAGGAACGUAUUCCCAUUGCUAUGUGGUAUCAUAGUGGUUCACAUCCCCUGAUUUGUUAAUAUUGUCUUCUUCGUAGACAAAAAGAUAUCAUCUUGGUAUUCACUAUUAGAACUGAUCAUGAGCAUAGCUUGGUCUUCAGUUAAGUUUGUCUCAUCUAAAUUAGGGUCCUAACUGGACCUGCUUAAUGAGGGGUUUGGCCUGUAGAAUUGUUGGUGAGAACUUUUUUUGAGGGGACUCAAGUUCUCUUGCCUCUUAUUUUUUGGGGUGAUCUAUUUGAGAGAUUCCCUGAAGCCAUCUCUUUUGGCCUACAUUACUUGGGAUUCAGCAAGGUUGCACCCUUCUUUGUCAUAAGUGUAAGACUAUCACAAGUCGCCUUUGGUGGUUAUUACACUAUUAGCACCUAACAUCUUAAGGACUAGAUAUGUCUAGUGAGGAAUAGCCAUAAACUUUGCCAACCCCAGCCUUCCAAUGAUGGCAUAGCGAGCUAUGUCAAUAUUAGCUAUUUUGAAGUGUAGAAACUCUGUAAGGAAAUUCUUCAUAUUUCCAAAAGUAAUGGGUAGAUUUAUCUAUCCUAGAGGUGUCAUUGACUUGCUUGGGAUAAUAUGGUAGAAUGGUUCUAGACUCAAACUGUCGGUCACUCAGAAAUGGGGUGCCCAAAGAAAGCCCAGGGAACUCCCCAAGAGAGGCCCCUCCGACCAAGACCCCCGUCGAGCAAGUCUGCGAGCCGGAGCGGCAAGUCCACAUGCGUGGAAGGACACCAAGGGACCCACCGCUCAUCACCACAAGGACGUCAGCCACGAACCAGCCACAGGGAUAGGAGUACCAGGGGAUGCCAUAUCCAAGAGUGGUACUUCGUACAAUGAGGAGAAGGAGACCCGCCACAACAAACAAAGGACUUCUUCUCUCUUUAUUUCAUCUCGCUCACUCUCUGUCCCUCUCUCUAAGAAGGGAGAGCAAUGUAAGGUCUGACCCUUAAGAUAUAAAAGGGAAGGACCCUCUUCCUCAGGAGGAUAUAGGCACACAAGCUAUAACACAUUCUACCGCGAUACUACAAUCAGCAUUACGCUGGACUAGGGCUACGCCCUGAACCAGUAUAACCCCCAUGUCCCAAGUUCAUCGUUCAAGUCCUAGUGAUUCACCAUUCGAAGUGAGUUCGUGAAAGGGAAAUGGACUUAAUCAUUACUAUAAUCGUUUUUGGUGGUUGACAUCCAACACAAACCACAUGGACUAACUAGUUUGCUUAGAUAUCAUUUAUCUCAGGUGCAUAAGGUUCAACACAAACCAAGAAAGAAAUUCAGUUGGGGACACAAUCAAAAUUUGGAGCAAGGCAUGAGAGUGUGCUACCAAGUGGCGCACCAGACACUAUCCGGUGCACCAGGGCCAAGCGCAAACAAACCAGCCACUCUCGGGAAUUCACUAGUCGCGCUCCGUUAUAAUUCAUCGGACUGUCCGGUGUGCACCGGACUAUCCGGUGAGCCAACGGAGCAAAGGCUCCCUGCGCGCCAACGAUCGACUGCAAAAGGGAACAAUAGUGAACAGUGUCGCGCAGAAGUCAGAGUGAAAGGGAAAUGGACCUAAUCAUUUCCUAUAUUCGAUUUUGGUGGUUGACGUCCAACACAAACCUUGUGGACUAACUAGUUUGUCUAGAUAUCAUUUAUCUCAAGUGCAUAAGGUUCAACACAAACCAAGAAAGAAAUUCAGUUGGGGACACAAACAAAAAUUGGAGCAAAAGGACUUAGAGUGUGCUGCCUUGGUGCACCUGACAGUGUCCGGUGUGAGGCCAACCAGCAAACGAACAGGCCACUCUCGGGUUUCUUCUGGGUGCGCUCCACUAUAAUUCACUGGACUGUCCGGUGAGCCAACGGAGCAACGGUUCCCUGCACGCCAACGGUCGACUGCUCAGAUGAACAGUGAUGAAUAGUGUCGCGACAGAAGUCAGAGCACAGAAGUCAGAGGUCAUCGGACUGUCCGGUGCAACAAAAAGGCAAACGGCUCCAACGGUCAACAGCUCCAAACCCUAAUGGACGCGUUGACGUGGCGCGCACCAGACAGUGAACAGUGACUGUCCGGUGCGCCAGCGGACUGUCCGGUGUGCCCAUCACCAACAGACUUUGCCAACGGCUAGGAAGUGGUUGGGAGCUAUAAAUACCCCCAACCACCUCAUUCAAAGCAAUCCAAGUAUUCUGAAUUCAACAUUCAAUACAAGAUCAAAAGACUCCACUCCAAGACACAUUCAAUAGAUCAAAAUCCUCUCCAAGUCCCAAAAUCAACUCCACCACUUAGUGACUUGUGAGAGAGUUUUUGUGUUCAUUUGUGCUCUUGUUGCUUGGAUUGCCUUCUUCCUUUCUCAUUCCAAUUUUUUAGUGCUUUGUAAAGCCAAGCAAGAGACACCAAGUGUGUGGUGAUCCUUGCGGGGUCUUAGUAAUCCAUGUGAUUAAGAGAAGGCUCACUCGGUCUAAGUGAUCGUUUGAGAGAGAGGGAAAGGGUUGAAAUAGAGCCGACCUUUGUGGCAUCCUCAACGGGGAUUAGCUUCUUUGGAACCGAACCUCGGUAAAACAAAUCAUUGUGUCUACUCCCUUUGAUUCUCGCUUGAUUUGUUUGCCCUCUUUCCUCUCUCUAACGUUUCCUUGCUAGUAUUGAUUUGAGUUUGCUCCCAUACGUCAUCUGCAACCUUUGAGCAACUCUUAGCAAGAGAAACAAUCUUCUGCCUUGGAUUUAAUUAUAAUGCUAACCCCGACCUUAGUGUCUGUUUAAGUUUAUAAAUUUCAGGUUUCGUCUAUUCACCCCCCUCUAGGCGACUUUCACAGAGGUCACCGGGCAUGUCUGGUGUGGCACCGGACUGUCCGGUGCAGCAAAAGGACAAAGGGUUCCAACGGUCAAUAGCUCCAAACCCCAAUGGACGCGCUGACGUGGCGCGCACCGGACAGUGAACAGUGACUAUCCGGCCCGCCACCGGGCUGUCCGGUGUGCCCAUCGACAGCAAAGUCAGCCAACGGCUAGGAAGUGGUUGAGGGCUAUAAAUACCCCCAACCACCUCCAUUCAAAGCAUCCAAGUAUUCUAAACUUCCCAUUCAAUACAAGAGCAAAGGCAACCAUUCAAAGACACAUUCAAAGCAUUCAAUCCACUCCAAGUUUCCAAAAUCAACUCUAGUGCUUAGUGACUUGAGAGAGGACCAUUUGUGUUCAUUUGCGCUCUUGUCACUUGGAUUGCCUUCUCUCUGAAAGGGAAAUGUGCCCUUGGGCCAUUUCUAUAAUGUUUUGGUGAUUAAGUGUCCAACACAUAGUGAGUGAAAUAUUAUGUGCCAAACAAGCAAAAGAUACAAAUCAUGUAACAAGGUACAUUUCUAGACUUAGUACAUUGUUUUGAGUACUAACAUAUUAUGUCUAAGUGCUAGAAACAUAGAAAAGAAAAGAACCAAAAGACUUGGCUCGGUGCAGCCAAAUCUCUGCUCAGUCUGGCACACCGGACUGUCCGGUGUGCCAGGCUGGACUCCGGUGAACAGGCCGCUCUCGGGAGAAUUGGGCGGCGUACGGCUAUAAUUCAUCGGACUGUCCGGUGAGCCAACGACCACCAGCGCAAUGAUCGGCCAUGCAAUCCGCGGGCGACGCGUGGCCCACGCCAACGGUCGGCAGGGGGCACCGGACUGUCCGGUGUGCACCAGACAGUGUCUGGUGCACCAACUGCCACGGCUCUGCAACGGUCAUCUGCGCCAAAAUAGGAAGGAGAUCGUGCACCGGACAUAAACAGUGGUUGUCCGGUGGUGCACCGGACUGUCUGGUGUGCCACCCGACAGAAGGCAAUGAUAGCCUUCCUUGUUGGCCUCCAACGGCUCCUAGCUUCCUUGGGGCUAUAAAAGGGACCCCUAGGCGCAUGUAGGAGCAACCCAAGCAUUCACUAAGCAUUCUAAGUCUUACACACUCCGUCUCCGCGCACUUGAUCGAUCGUGUUAGUGAUUUGAGCUCUGUUCUAGUUGUGAACUCUUUGUGCUUCAUUUUGAGCUCAAGUCUUGGCUUGUGUGCGUGUGUGUGCUGUGGAUUUGUGUGUGUUGCUCCCCAACCUUACUCUUGUGUUUUCAUUGUGAUCUUUGUUGUAAGGGCGAGAGACUCCAACUUGUGGAGAUUCCUCGCAAACGGGAAAAGAGAAAAGGAAGAAAAGUCGUGGUAUUCAAGUUGAUCAUUGGAUCACUUGAAAGGGGUUGAGUGCAACCCUCAUCCAUUGGGACGCCACAACGUGGAAGUAGGCAAGUGUUACUUGGCCGAACCACGGGAUAAAAAUCGUGUGUCUCUUGUGUGCUUUACCUUUGAUCAUAUGUGUUCACAAGAACUCAUUUCAAGCUACUUAGCCGUUCUAACUUACAUAACAAAGUUUUGUGGCUAUUAGUGUUGAAUUUUACAGGAUCACCUAUUUACCCCCCCCCCCUCUAGGUGCUCUCAAUUUGUAUCGGAGCCGUUCUCUUCACGUAAGGGACUAAUCGCCCAAAGAGAUGGAUCCUAAGGGAAAGGGGAUGGUGGUCAACGAUAAGGAGAAGGAGUCUUUCCUCAACGAGCCUAGAGAUGAAAAGCCAACCGACUCAGGCUUGAGUCAUAAGGAAAGAGAUGGAAAGAAGAAGAGACGCAUCAAGAAGAUCAUCUAUUACGACAGUGAUGCCUCAUCUUCUUCACCACACAAUGGCGACGACGACUCCUCUUCAAAGAAGAAAACAGUUAAUCAAAAUUAUUCAUUUGAUUAUUCUCGUAUUCCGUUCAAUUGCAAUGCUCAUUUGCUUUCAAUUCCACUUGGUAAACCUCCACACUUUGAUGGAGAGGACUACUCUUUUUGGAGUCACAAAAUGCGUAGUCACUUAUUCUCUCUCCAUCCUAGUAUUUGGGAGAUAGUUGAAAAUGGAAUGCAUUUCGAAGUACGGAUAACCCAGUGUUUAUUAAUGAGCAAAUUCAUAAAAAUGCACAAGCUACCACUGUUUUGUUAGCAUCUUUGUGCAGGGAUGAAUACAACAAGGUGAGCGGCUUGGACAAUGCCAAGCAAAUUUGGGAUACCCUCAAGAUAUCACAUGAGGGAAACGAUGCCACCAUGAUAACCAAAAUGGAGUUGGUGGAAGGCGAGCUGGGAAGGUUCGCGAUGAUCAGGGGAGAGGAGCCAACACAAACAUGCAACAGGCUAAAGACCCUGGUCAACAAGAUUAGGAGCUAUGGAAGCACAAGAUGAACGGACCACGACGUCGUCCGACUUAUGCUAAGGUCAUUCACGGUAGUUGACCUCCAUCUUGUCAACCUUAUUCGUGAGAAUCCCAGGUACACCAAGAUGACGCCCGAGGAGAUUCUUGGGAAGUUCGUGAGUGGGCGUAUGAUGGUGAAGGAGGCUCGAUAUGUGGACGAUGCUCUAAACGGUCCACUACCCGUCCACGAGCCUCAAACCGUUGCCCUCAAAGCAACCAGCAGCAGGGAGACGCUGCCAAGCAAGGUGGAACAAGUGGAGGUCGCUGGCCUCAACGAAGAUGAGAUGGCGCUUAUCAUCAAGCGCUUCAAGAUCGCAUUGAAAGGAUGCAAGGAGUACCCCAACAAGAACAAAGCAAGGGGAAAGCGCUCCUGCUUCAAAUGCGGUAAGACUGGUCAUUUCAUAGCGCAAUGCCCCGAUAAUGAUGAUGACCAGGAACAAGAAAAGCAUGGGAAGAAGGAGAAGAAGAAGGUUUACAAGAAGGCGAAGGGCGAGGCGCACCUUGGCAAAGAGUGGGAUUCGGACUGCUCUUCAUCCGACACCAACGAUGAAGGACUGGCAGCCUCGGCCUUCAACAAGUCUUCGCUCUUCACCAAUGAAUGACACAUCUGCCUCAUGGCCAAGGAAAAGAAGGUAAGUAUUCAUGAAACCCCCAAAUACACUACUUCUAGCGAUGAUGAUUCUAGUGAUGAUGAAGUAGAUUACUCUAGCUUAUUUAAAGGAUUAGAUAGAGCUAAAGUAGAGAAUAUUAAUGAGCUAAUCGAUGCUUUAAAUGAAAAUGAUAGACUUUUAGAAAAGCAAAAGGAUAUUUUGUAUGAAGAGCAUGAUAAGUUUAUUAGUGUUCAAAAAUCUCUUGCUCUAGAAAUUAAGAGAAAUGAAAUGCUAUCUUCUGAACUAUCUGCUUGCCAUGAAACUGUGUCUAGUUAAAAGAGUAGUAAUGGUGAUUUAAAUGCUAAGCUAGAAGAAGCAAACAAAUCUAGUUCAUGUGUAGAGCAUGUUAGUAUUUGUAAUGGAUGUAAGGAUUUUGAUGUUAAUGCCUGUGAUGAACACCUUAUGUAUAUUACCAAAUUAAAUGAUGAGGUAGCAAGUCUUAAUGCUCAACUUAAGACUUGCAAAAUUAAUUUUGAUCAAUUAAAAUUUGCUAGGGAUGCCUACACCGUGGGUAGACACCCCUCUAUUAAGGAUGGACUUGGUUUUCAAAAGGAAACCAAGAACUUAACAAGCCAAAAGGCUCCCGUUCUCAACAAGGAGAAAGGGAAGGCUCCUAUGGCUAGUAGUACUCAAAGGAAUCAUGCUUUCAUUUAUAAUGAUAGAAGAUAUUCUAGGAAUGCUCAUAGGAGUUAUGAUCGUGAUUCACAUGCUAUGUUUGCCUCUAGCUCUACUUGUGUGCAUGGUAGGCCUAAGAAAAGUAAUGUUGUGCAUCAUGUGCCUAGGAGAGUAUGUAAUGAACCUUAUACCAUUUACCAUGCUUGCAAUACUUCAUUUGCACUUUUGUGUAAGAAUGCAAAAGUAGUGGCUAGGAAAUUGGGAUCCAAAUGCAAGGGAGACAAGACUUGCAUUUGGGUUCCAAAGGCCAUUGUGACUAACCUUGUAGGACCCAACAAGAGUUGGGUACCUAAAAUCCAAGUGUAAAUUGCCUUGCAGGUUUAUGCAUCCGGGGGCUCAAGCUGGAUUAUCGACAGCGGAUGCACAAACCACAUGACGGGGGAGAAGAAGAUGUUCACCUCCUACGUCAAGAACAAGGAUUCCCAGGAUACGAUUAUUUUUGGAGAUGGGAACCAAGGCAGGGUUAAAGGAUUGGGAAAGAUAGCCAUUACAUCUGAGCAUUCCAUCUCCAAUGUGUUCUUAGUUGAAUCGCUCGGAUUAGGGAUGGCAACGGGUUCAUACCCGUCGGGUAGUGCCAUUCCAUACUCGUACCCAUCAAAAAAACUUCUACCCAUCGGGUUACCCAUAUAUGCUCGCGGGUAUAAAAUCCUACCCAUACCCAUACCAGCGCGGGUAAUUUUACCCGUCGGGUAACCCGUACCCGCUAGGAAAGUCUUAAAUUCCAAUAUAUCAAUCACUCAAAACAUUAAAUAAACAUAAAAAACAAGUCCAACUUCACAUAUAACAAAUCAUAUGAUUACAUAACUUGGUAGCUAGACAAAUGAUAGCUAGAGAAGAGUUUUAUUUUAGCUAAGAUGGGCUCUAUUAGAUGAUUAUAGUGGUAUUAUUGCGGGUAUAUUCUACCCAUGGGUAGAUGGGUAUGGGUAGUACCAACCCGUACCCGUCUACCCAACGGGUAGAGGAUCUUGCCCAUUAACAUACCCAUGGGUAGAGAAAUCAUCCCAUACCCGCCUUCAUAUCGGGUAAAACCCGUCGGGUAGUCGGGUUUCAGGUACCCAUUGCCAUCUCUAGCUCGGAUACAACUUAUUGUCUGUGAGUCAAUUAUGUAACAUGGGUUAUAAUUGUCUAUUUACAAAUAUAGAUGUUUCUGUCUUUAGAAGGAGUGAUGGUUCAUUAGCGUUUAAGGGUGUGUUAGACGGCAAACUCUACUUAGUGGAUUUUUCGAAAGAGGAGGCCAAUCUAGAUGCAUGCUUAAUAGCUAAGACUAGCAUGGGCUGGUUGUGGCAUCACCGUCUAGCACAUGUUGGGAUAAAGAACCUUCAUAAACUUCUAAAGGGAGAACAUGUGUUAGGACUAACCAAUGUCUGCUUCGAAAAAGAUAGACCUUAUGCAGCUUGUCAAGCAGGGAAACAGGUGGGAAGCACUCAUCACAGCAAGAAUGUGAUGAUAACGUCAAGACCACUGGAGCUUCUUCACAUGGACCUCUUCAGACCCAUCGCCUACCUUAGCAUCGGGGGAAGUAAGUAUGGUCUUGUAAUCGUAGAUGACUUUUCCCGCUUCACUUGGGUGUUCUUCUUGCAGGAUAAAUCAGAAACCCAAGGGACCCUAAAGUGCUUUCUAAGGAGGGCUCAAAACGAAUUUGAGCUCAAGGUGAAAAAGAUAAGGAGCGACAACGGGUCUGAGUUCAAGAACUUACAAGUUGAGGAGUAACUUGAGGAGGAAGGUGUCAAGCAUGAGUUCUCCGCUCCCUACACACCAUAGCAAAAUGGUGUGGUAGAGAGGAAGAACAGUACACUUAUCGACAUGGCGAGGACGAUGCUUGGAGAGUUCAAGACGCCCGAGCGGUUUUGGUCGAAAGCUGUGAACAUAGCUUGCCACGCCAUAAACCGGCUCUAUCUGCAUCGUCUCCUCAAGAAGACCUCCUACGAACUCCUUACCGGUAACAAACCCAAUGUAUCUUACUUUCGUGUAUUUGGGAGCAAAUGCUACAUUUUGGUGAAGAAAGGUAGACAUUCCAAAUUUGCUUCCAAAGCUGUAGAAGGGUUUUUACUAGGAUAUGACUCAAAUACAAAGGCCUAUAGAGUCUUCAACAAAUCAUCGGGUUUGGUUGAAGUCUCUAGCGACGUUGUAUUUGAUGAGACUAAUGGCUCUCCAAGAGAGCAAGUUGAUCUUGAUGAUAUAGAUGAAGAUGAUGUUCCGACGGCCGCAAUACGCACCAUGGCGAUUGGAGAUGUGCGACCACAGGAACAACAAGAGCAAGAUCAACCUUCUUCCUCAAUGAUGGUGCAUCCCCCAACUCAAGAUGAUGAACAGGUUCAUCAAGAAGAGGCGUGUGAUCAAGGGGGAGCACAAGAAGAACAAGUUAUGGAGGAAGAAGCACCACUGGCCCCUCCAACUCAAGUCCGAGCGACAAUUCAAAGGAAUCACCCCGUCGAUCAGAUUCUGGGUGACAUAAGCAAGGGAGUAACUACUCGCUCAAGAUUAGCUAAUUUUUGUGAGCAUUACUCGUUUGUCUCUUCUAUUGAGCCUUUCAGGGUAGAAGAGGCCUUGCAAGAUCCGGACUGGGUGUUGGCCAUGCAGGAAGAGCUCAACAACUUCAAGAGGAAUGAAGUUUGGAGCCUGGUGCCGCGUCCAAAUCAAAAUGUUGUGGGAACUAAGUGGGUGUUCCGCAACAAACAAGACAAGCACGGGGUGGUGACAAGGAACAAGGCUCGACUUGUGGCAAAAGGUUAUGCCCAAGUCACAAGUUUGGAUUUCGAGAAGACUUUUGCUCCUGUGGCUAGGCUAGAGUCCAUUAGAAUAUUAUUAGCCUAUGCCGCUCACCACUCUUUCAGGUUGUUUCAAAUGGAAGUAAAGAGCGCUUUCCUCAACGGGGCAAUAAAGGAGGAGGUGUACGUGGAACAACCCCCUGGCUUUGAGGAUGAUAGGUACCCCGACCAUGUGUGUAAGCUCUCUAAGGCACUUUAUGGACUUAAACAAGCCCCAAGAGCAUGGUAUGAAUGCCUUAGAGAUUUCUUAAUUGCUAAUUCUUUCAAGGUUGAGAAAGCUGAUGUCACACCCGGUUGCGGCACUUACUGUCGGCGGCUGAUUUUUCACGGACGGCGUCAGCAUGUUGCGUCCGAAGUCUCUCGACUUCGGCAGACACAACUGCCGUGAGCGCCCCCGACGCUGUGCGGUCGACGAAGUCAGCCGCCUGCAAAACACACGUAAGACCACGGCCCCAGCAAAGCCGGGGAAAAAAACACCGAAGUCUAGCUCGACGGACCUGACUUAGUGCCUCCUUCACUUCCUUCAGCCGGCGGGACACAGCGCCCGCCUCAUCCCUGACGGCCGCGAGGGCCGACACCUCGCCUCCGGCGCUAAGAGCCCUGCCCUUCGCCUUCGGCACUACGGCAGCCGUCGUGGUCGCCGCGGCAGGCGCAACUAUAGCAAGUUGGCCCUCGUCCGACCCUGCGACGUAUCAACGAAUAAAUUUAAAAAAAAACGAGCCAACGACUUACCACCAAGAUAGUCGUCCACACUAAUAUCGGUGGCGAAGUCGGCGACACGCUUGCCUGACGACGGCAACGCUCGGGCCGCCUUCGCGACCUCCGGCACUCUGCUGGACGGCGGCACAGCCUUCGUUGAUUUGGAGCCACCGGCACCUGUCGUUGCCUCCGGCGCCUUGCUAGAUGCAGGGACGCCCGACUUCGCCGCCAGCGGCGGCUUGCCUCCGCCGGGGGCCGCAGCCUUCGCAGCCCCCCGCUGCCUCUUCAGCCUGGCUUCAACAAGCCUGACAGCCGCCUUGCGCUUUUGUGCAGCUCCCUGGCGAUCCUUGUCCAUCACUGCCGACACAACAGCAGCAAUAUUCCGCCCAUAAGGAAAAACUCUCCAUUCAUGAACCAUGCGAGAUGUAAAAAAGUCUUCGCCGGCCGCGCGGGGGAUAGGAACAUUCCUAGGCCAAAAACCCCCGGUAACCCUCAGCAUCCGAGCCGAAGACUCCCGGAGCUCGGGCGAAGACAUCCUUCCCCCCGGGGCCGCGCAUGUCCUCAUCAACUCUCUAGCAAAACCAUCGGAAACCCCAAGUCCUCCCAUAGCAGUACCUAAUUUCCUCUUUUUAGAGGAUGGGGCGGCCGCCGGCGCAGGGUCGUCUCUAGUCUCCACCACCGGCUUCUUCCCACGGCGGUCCACAUCGUCUUGACCGGGAUAGUCGUCAUACGACAAUUGAUUCAAUUCAAAAACCCUGUUCAGACGGUCAUUCGACCCGCGAAUUUCCCAGCUACGCUGGCCCUCUGUCCUCGGCACAUAACGACCAACGAGCCGCACCGCCCCAUCCUCCGCCUCACGCACAACGGCGGCCGGAUCGCGGCUUUGCAGAUUCAGCGCGAAGGCGGGACUUCGCACCACCCUCCCACUGUGGAAAGGCAUUUGGCGAGGGCACACUUCGCCCAACGUCCAGCCAUGCGCCAAGGGCCAUACCCCGUACGCCACAAAUUCUUCAACCAAAUCGCGCCCACUGCUCAGGCCGGCGGCGCACCGAAGGGCCCCUUCAUCCGCAUCCUCCUCCGCCACCUCAAAGGACGGGUACGCUGAGUAAAAAUGAGAACACAUCUCGGACACGGGGAGUCCCUCAUGGUCUUCGACGGUACCCUCAGCAACGUAAAACCAAAACUCAUUCCAGUUGCCCCACUUGUUGCGGGCGCAGGGAACCAACUCGACUACCUGCAUCGUGGUCUUGCCGGUCUUCGGCGUAAACGUGCAGGACCCAAACUGAGCAACUUCAUCUCCAAUCAUCCUCUUCUGCCAGUGCAAGCAAUAAUACUUUGCAAAGACUUCGACCGAUGGCUGUCCGCCGUACGAAGUCGUCGCCCAGACAUACUUCGACAGAGCCACCACGGCGUUCGGUGUCAGCUAAUGUAUCUGAACGUUAAACCUGCGCAGGACUUCGCCAACAAAUCGGUGCGCAGGCAGGCGGAGACCGGCGGCGAAGAACGCCUCGAACACAACCAACUCGCCCUCCGGCUCGGGGACUUCCUCCGUCCCCGGGACACGAGCAACUCCGCCGCCGAAGUAACCCAACCGCUGCAUAUCUUGCACGCGGACCGACGACAUCCGCGACACGCCAAAAUCCACAGAAUCGUCGGCGCGCAACUCCUCCGCCAUCAAACUACUCAGCGUCUCCUCAGACGAGGUGUUGGCCGGCGGCGAGGCGUCGGCCGGCGGCGUAGCGGCAGCGGAAGAAGAGGAGGUCGGCAUUGCUACGUACCGUCGGCGGCGGCGGGCGGUCUGCUUCACUCGAGCCAGAUCUCCGGCGAACAAGAGCACGGCGGGCAGACGAGCAACAAGACGGCGAAAAAAGGCGGCUAGGGUUUUCACGGAGCGCGGAAAGUGAAGUUCAAAAAGCACCGACCCCGCCCCUUUUAUAGACAGGGCGCGGCUCUUCGGGAAACCCGCAAUCCAACAGGGCGCGGCGCUUCGGGAAACCCGCAAUCCAACAGUACGCUGUCAAUCAACGGUCACAUCAAAAACCCCCACGGAACCACUUCGAGCGAGGGCAGCGUCUCCGCCAUCUAGCGACGUCUUCGGCACCAGGUGACUUUGUCGAACUGGUCCCUCGGAGGGCAAAUGUUGGGGCGAAGGCAAAGACGCCACCGUUCGCUCGAGGCCUUCGCUGUUGUCGCUGGUCUGACAGAGACAAAACGGGCAGGGACACCCUUCGCUGAAUUCGGCACCAGACGAAGGCCUACGACGGCGUCAUCCCACAGUGCAGCCUCGCCCAGCUCAGAGGCCCACAUGUGAUCCGGCCCAUUGUAACGGGCCCUGCGUGGCCGCCGCGUGUUACGGGCCUAAUUUGUAAAGGCGUCCAUGUAAUUACAGUCUGUAACCCUGCUUUAUGGGAAUAUUCUGGGGAGAACCUAGGUAGCUGAGGGCACAUGCGUCCUUAACACAAGGCGCUAGGCGCUCAGGUACCUAUAAAUACCCCCGCACAGUGCCCGUGAGAGGCCAGAUUAACAGAGCUAUUGCCUUCUAGCACGUAACCCUGUUAACUACACUGUUCAUCCUUGUUGGCCCCCUUGCGACCGAGAGCAAGUGCCAACAAAGUGUCCCUUGACCUAUCUCUGUCCUAUUCAUUCUUUAAUUCACCUCCCGCUUUACACAUUUAUGCCUAAGGAUUGACUAGCUUUGGUUAUCCAUAUCCUUGUUUACCUAUUCGGGUUGGAUUAUUAUUGCUUAACUUUAUGCUAUUGCUUAACUCUAAUCAAUGAACAUGAUGAGAUUAUCUAUGAUACGCUGUUUUCCCUUCUCUUAUUAUGAUGUUGUACUUGUGGUCUUCAAGGGGGGCUCGAGCGGUUUCUCGAGUGCCUCUCCGUAAGGACCUGUUAUAUGGAUGACCGCCCGGGAAAAUAGUGCAACCAUGAGGGUGGAAUGGGAUGCCCUUAGCUGAAUAAUUAGAGGAUCUGGGGUGUAGAUCACUUAGCCGUUGUGCCGUCAAUGGGGCUCGGUGUAUGCGGCUCGCUCUGCCAAGUUUGGGUUCGCCCCUUGGGGAGGAGUGCGGUGCAUUUAGGAAACCUAACGGGUGGCUACAGCUCCGGGAAAUCUUUGUAAAGGCUACGUAGUGAUGCCCUGCUGGGUCACCUUGGUAGUGAUCAAUGGAGAGUCAUGAUCUCCGGGCAGAAAGGGAAUCACGGAUUGUGGGUAAAGUGCACAACCUCUGCAUAGUGUUUGAAAACUGAUAUAUCAGCCGUGCUCGCGGUUAUGAGCGGCCAAGGGAGCUCCAGUGAUUAGUGGUACUUGAUCAGAGACAUUAUGGUACAGGUGGCUAUGAGAUCGAUGGUUCUGGUUAUGACUAUGGUGCUGGUAAGUGGUAUUCUUUCCGUUUGGAAAGGGUACAUCGGGCUAAUAACUUGGGUUAAUGCUAAAACCUGGCUUUCUAUUAGUAAAUAAUAAUCUGACCAACUAAAAGCAACUGUCUGACUUAUCCCCACAUAAAGCUAGUCCACUACAGUCAAACAGGAUACUUGCUGAGUAUGUUGAUGUGUACUCACCCUUGCUCUACACACCAAACCCCCCCCCCCCAUCCCCAGGUUGUCAGCAUUGCAACCACUGCUCAGGUGAAGAUGAAGCUGUGGAAGGAGAGUUCCAGGAGUUCCAAGACUACGACGAGUUCUAGGCGUGGGUUAGCGGCAACCCCCAGUCGGCUGCCUGUGAAGGCCGCGUUUAUCUACGUUUCUUUUCCGCACUUUGAUUUUUAUUGUAAGGACUAUGUGGAUGUCUCAGACGUAUGAUGUAAUCAACUAUUAUUUCCCUUUUUAAUACCAUUUCGAGCACUAUGUGAUGAUGUCCAUGUUAUGUAACUGCUGUGUACGUGAAUAACUGAUCCUGGCACGUACAUGGUUCGCAUUCGGUUUGCCUUCUAAAACCGGGUGUGACAUAAGUGGUAUCAAAGCCGUGGUGACUGUAGGACCGCUAAGCUAGAGUAGAAUGGUCGUUCUAAGGACUAUAGACCUUUGUCCCUGCCUUGACUUUGAUAUCCCUUCAAAAGUUGGUCAUACCGACCAAACCUAUGUUCUACUAUAUAUUAUACCUUGCUGAAAAUUGUGUUUUAUUCUAAUCCUUCAUUUAUUUAUGGUUCAUUAUUUGCUGGUCAUAUUAAUUCUGUUCUCACCCUUUUGCUUGCGAUGUCUUUUGUAGAUGGCUCGACUUAGACACACUGCACGAAAGUCCGUCAUCCCCUUCUUACCCUCCCGCCUUGCUGAGCGUCCGCUUCGCCGUCCCGUGGCCGGAUAGUCCAGCCACUUGGAGAGACUGCACCACCGCCUGCAUGAGGAGCAGGAACGUCGACGACAGGAGCAGCAGGGCUCUUCCUUCUCGCUCCAGCAUGAGAUAGAGUCCGUGAGGAGCUGCUCCCCUGUGCUUCCCCUGGAGGCGCCCCCUGCACCACCACUGGGCGCCCCAGCCUCUGGAGUAGCUGCUGGAGGAGACCCAGACGACGGAGGUGGCGACGACAGCUCGAGCCACGACACCGACCUCUCUACUGACCAGGAGCCGGAAGGAUGGGUUGCUCGACCCAUCACUCACGACGCUGCUCGCGGGUGUCACUUCCAUGAUGCGCUCGACACCCUGCUACGUCAGGCACUUGACCGGCGUACUUGGUCCAUCGAGUAUCGCUGUGUGGUCUACCAGCAUAGUCGCGGGGUCUACCCGGACCGCUGGGAGGCGACCUGCUUGGUGCGCCGCCCGGAGAACAGUCUCCAGGGUGCAGAGGCCUGCUCAGAGCACUAUUCUAUCUCUGAGCGGGACUCUGCUGAGGCGGCCAUGCAAGAUGCUGCACGGCGUGCGCUUUCGCACUACUGCUCGGUUCUCGGUGGGAUAGCUGACGGUCUUGACCUGAAGUAUUACCCCCGCCGUCCAUCUGGCAGCACAGGAGGCGUGAUUGUUUCACCUGUUGGUGAGGACAAUCCUAGGUUGAGCAGCACAGUCAACCUAGCCGUCGUGCUAAACACGGAGCUGGACCAUGCAUUAGAUGAGCUGAGUAGGGCUCAUGCUGAGAUCGCCCUGCUGCGGGCUGAGCGCGCGGAACGUCGUCACCUGGAUGAUGGUUCCCCCGCUCCCGUCGGGACUCAGCACCCGUACCGCUCACCUCGGCGUGGACACCAGCCUUAUGGCAAUCCCGACUGCAAGACCAAGAUAAAUCUAGAACCAUAGAUCGUUAGAGUUGGAUCUUGUAAUUAAUACGAAAUAUAUACGUAGAAGCUACAGUCUUAGCGUUAGUCUCGCUCUUAGUUAAGUCUUAGUUAGACAGGGUAGUUUGCUAUAUCCUGUGCAUUUACGUUUGUCAUGAUGAACUUUGUUUGGUUUGGAUCUUUGUAAUGGCUGUCACCAGAGUGUGGGUAUCCCCUGCAUUUUGGUUUACCUAUUAUGUUAAUGGAGUUAGCUAUAUAGUGGGGAAACCCUUUAUUCCACUUUCCUCUUUAUCUGAGAAGCUGUGUUGGUCUGUGUUGGAGAUCAGUGAAGAUGCUCGUUUGUUCAGUGUUGUUGAAGGAUUCUAUACUCUUUUCUUAUGCUGCAAGAUUUGCCAGAACAGUUCUGAUGUGUGGCUGCAUUCUGCAGAUGUCAGAGAACAGGCGCAGAGGAGGAAGGCUUGCUCAGCAGGAGCGAGCCGCUCAGCAGGAAGAGGUGCCCCAGCAACAGCACCUGCCGCCCCCGCCCCCGAUGUCGAUCGAGCAGAUGUUUCUGAUGCAGACUCAGGCAGUUCAAGCCAUCGGUUAGACUCUGGCCGCCAUUCAGCAGCAGCAGCAACAGCAGCAGGCCCCACCUCAGCCUCAGAUGCCUAGAGAUAAGCGUGCUGAAUUCAUGAGAGGUCAUCCACCAACGUUCGCUCAUUCUUCUGACCCCAUGGAUGCUGAAGACUGGCUGCGCACUAUGGAGCGAGAGUUGCAUACCGCUCAGUGCGAUGAUAGGGAGAAAGUCCUGUAUGGUCCCCGACUGUUGAGAGGAGCAGCUCAGUCAUGGUGGGAGUCUUACCUCGCCACCCAUGCCCACCCCGACACCAUCACCUGGGAAGAGUUCAGAGGAAGCUUUCGUCAGUACCAUGUUCCUGUAGGUCUGAUGACAGUGAAGAAGGAGGAGUUCCUGGCCUUCAAGCAAGGACCAUUGUCUGUCAGUGAGUACCGGGACAGGUUUCUGUAGUUGUCUCGCUAUGCUCCUGAAGAUGUCAACACCGACGUCAAGCGAUAGUACCGUUUCCUGAGAGGCUUGGUUGACCCUCUGCAAUACCAACUGAUGAAUCACACCUUCCCGACAUUUCAGCACCUGAUUGACAGAGCAAUCAUGACAGAGAGGAAGCGUAAGGAGAUGGAGGAUCGUAAGCGCAAGAUCAGUGGACCCCAGCCUGGAAGCAGCAAUCGUCCUCGUUUCUCAAGCAAUCAACCUCAGCAGUUCAGACAGAACCAGCGUCCACCUCAGCAGCAUCAGCAGUUCCAAAGGCAGUACCCUCAGCACCAGUAUCAGAACCGUUAGAGCAAUCAGUCAGGAGGUCAGUUUCAGAGGCAGAAUCAGCAGGCACCUCGUCUUCCUGCCCCAGCAGCCCAGCAGAACAGUCAGGCAGCACCAGCUCAGGUUGGAAACAGAGCAUGUUUCCACUGUGGAGAGCAAGGCCACUGGGUGAUGCAAUGUCCGAAGAAGGCAGCCCAGCAGCAGUCAGGCCCCAAUGCCCCAGCAAAGCAGAAUGUGUCUCAGCCUGGAGUAGGCAACCGCUCUCAGCCGCGUUAUAAUCAUGGGAGACUGAACCACUUGGAGGCUGAAGCAGUUCAGGAGACCCCCGGCAUGAUAGUAGGUAUGUUCCCAGUCGACUCCCAUAUUGCAGAAGUGUUAUUUGAUACUGGAGCAACACAUUCUUUCAUUACUGCAUCAUGGGUAGAAGCACAUAAUCUUCCAAUUACUACCAUGUCAACCCCCAUUCAAAUUGACUCAGCUGGUGGUAGAAUUCGAGCCGAUAGCAUUUGUUUGAAUGUAUGUGUGGAAAUAAGGGGGAUAGCGUUUCUCGCCAACCUCAUAGUAAUGGGUACUCAGGGAAUAGAUGUCAUCCUAGGGAUGAAUUGGCUAGAUAAGUAUCAGGCCGUUAUCGGUUGUGAUAAAAGGACAAUCAAGUUGGUGUCCCCACUAGGAGAGGAAGUGGUGACCAAGUUAGUCCCACCUGAGCCAAAGAAAGGAAGUUGUUAUCAGAUGGCCGUUGAUGGCAGUGAAGCAGACCCAAUUGAGAGCAUCAAGGUUGUGUCCGAGUUCCCAGAUGUGUUUCCAAAGGACUUAUUGGGUAUGCCACCAGAGCGGAAAGUUGAGUUUGCCAUAGAGCUUCUUCCUGGAACCGCCCCCAUCUUUAAGAGAGCUUACAGAAUAUCUGGACCAGAGUUGGUUGAGCUUAAGAAGCAGAUUGAUGAGCUGUCAGAGAAAGGUUACAUCCGGCCAAGCACCUCGCCUUGGGCCGCUCCUGUCUUGUUUGUGGAGAAGAAAGAUGGCACCAAAAGGAUGUGCAUCGAUUAUCGAGCUUUGAAUGAGGUCACGAUCAAGAACAAGUACCCUUUGCCCAGAAUAGAAGAUCUGUUCGACCAGUUGAGAGGAGCCAGUGUGUUCUCCAAGAUUGAUCUGAGGUCAGGUUAUCAUCAGCUCAGGAUCCGACCUUCGGACAUUCCGAAGACGGCAUUCAUUACCAAGUAUGGUUUGUAUGAGUUCACAGUGAUGUCUUUUGGUUUGACCAAUGCACCAGCGUUUUUCAUGAAUCUGAUGAACAGUGUAUUCAUGGACUAUCUCAAUAAGUUUGUGGUGGUAUUCAUUGAUGACAUUCUGAUUUAUUCUCAAAGCGAAGAAGAGCAUGCAGGUCAUUUGAAGAUGGUAUUGCAGAGAUUGCGAGAGCACCAGUUGUAUGCAAAGUUGAGCAAGUGUGAGUUCUGGAUCAGUGAAGUCCUGUUCUUGGGUCACAUAAUCAACAAAGAAGGAUUGGUCGUGGAUCCGAAGAAAGUGGCAGACAUUCUGAACUGGAAAGCGCCAACGGAUGCUCGAGGAAUCAAGAGUUUCAUUGGAAUGGCCGGAUAUUAUCGGCGAUUCAUUGAAGGGUUUUCAAAGAUUGCGAAACCAAUGACAGCGUUGCUAGGCAACAAGGUUGAGUUCAAGUGGACCCAGAAAUGUCAAGAGGCCUUUGAAGCGCUGAAAGAGAAGUUGACCACAGCGCCUGUCUUAGUCUUACCUGAUGUGCACAAGCCCUUCUCGGUGUAUUGUGAUGCUUGUUACACAGGUUUGGGAUGUGUGUUGAUGCAAGAGGGAAGAGUUGUGGCUUACUCGUCCCGACAGCUGAAGGUUCAUGAGAAGAAUUACCCAAUCCAUGAUCUAGAGUUGGCAGCAGUGGUUCACGCACUGAAGACAUGGAGGCACUACCUAUAUGGACAGAAAUGCAAUGUUUACACAGACCACAAGAGUCUGAAGUACAUAUUCACUCAGUCAGAGUUGAAUAUGAGGCAGCGAAGAUGGUUAGAGUUGAUCAAAGACUAUGAGCUGGAGAUCCACUACCAUCCGGGCAAAGCGAACGUAGUGGCAGAUGCUUUGAGCAGGAAGAGUCAAGUCAAUCUGAUGGUCGCUCGUCCGAUGCCUUACGAGUUGGCCAAGGAGUUUGACAGGUUGAGUCUCGGAUUUCUGAACAAUUCGCGAGGAGUCACAGUCGAGUUGGAACCCACCCUGGAGCGGGAAAUCAAAGAAGCACAGAAGAAUGAUGAGAAGAUCAGUGAGAUCCGGCGACUGAUUCUAGAUGGCAGAGGCAAAGAUUUUCGAGAAGAUGCAGAGGGUGUGAUAUGGUUCAAAGACCGCUUGUGUGUUCCCAAUGUCCAAUCCAUUCGGGAGUUGAUUCUCAAGGAAGCUCAUGAGACAGCCUAUUCGAUUCACCCUGGCAGUGAGAAGAUGUAUCAGGAUCUGAAGAAGAAAUUCUGGUGGUAGGGAAUGAAGAGGGAAAUCACAGAGCAUGUGGCUAUGUGUGAUAGUUGUCGAAGAAUUAAGGCAGAGCACCAGAGACCUGCUGGAUUGUUGCAACCGUUGCAGAUCCCUCAGUGGAAAUGGGAUGAAAUCGGUAUGGAUUUCAUAGUCGGAUUGCCUCGCACUCGAGCCGGCUACGAUUCCAUCUGGGUAGUAGUGGACCGCUUGACCAAGUUAGCCCACUUCAUACCUGUCAAGACCAACUAUAGCAGUGCAGUAUUGGCAGAGUUGUAUAUGUCUUGGAUCGUUUGUCUUCAUGGUGUGCCAAAGAAGAUAGUGUCAGACCGAGGAACGCAGUUCACCUCUCAUUUCUGGCAGCAGUUGCAUGAAGCCUUGGGCACACAUCUGAAUUUCAGUUCAGCUUAUCAUCCACAGACAGAUGGCCAGACCGAAAGAACCAAUCAAAUUCUUGAAGACAUGUUGAGAGCCUGUGCGUUGCAAGAUCAGUCCGGAUGGGAUAAGAGAUUGCCUUAUGCAGAGUUUUCCUAUAACAACAGUUACCAGGCCAGUUUAAAGAUGUCACCAUUUCAGGCGCUCUAUGGAAGGAGUUGUAGAACUCCGUUGCAAUGGGAUCAGCCUGGAGAAAAGCAGGUGUUUGGGCCAGACAUUUUGCUUGAAGCCGAAGAGAACAUCAGGAUGUUUCGAGAGAAUCUGAAGAUAGCGCAAUCGAGGCAGCGAAGCUAUGCAGACACAAGAAGAAGAGAGCUGAGUUUCGAAGUCGGAGACUUUGUCUAUCUGAAAGUGUCACCGAUCAGAGGAGUCAGAAGGUUCGGAGUCAAAGGCAAGCUAGCACCCCGCUACAUUGGUCCGUACCAAAUUCUCUCAAGGCGUGGAGAAGUGGCCUAUCAGCUCAGUCUGCCAGAGAAUAUGUCCGCAGUGCAUGAUGUUUUUCAUGUGUCUCAGUUGAAGAAGUGCUUGUGUGUGCCAGAAGAGCAGUUGCCAGUGGAAGGUCUCGAAGUCCAGGAGGACUUGACCUACGUUGUGAAGCCAGUGCAAAUCCUUGAAACCGCAGACAGAGUCACUCGAAGGAAGACCAUCAGAAUGUGCAAAGUCAAAUGGAAUCACCACUCUGAGGAAGAAGCAACCUGGGAGCGUGAAGAUGAUCUGAUGGCUAAAUACCCUGAGCUCUUUGCUAGCCAACCCUGAAUCUCGAGGGCGAGAUUCUUUUAAGGGGGAUAGGUUUGUAACGCCCUGAAUUUGGGGGUAGAAUUUUUUCUUCUUUUCUCUCACCAAAUUCAGGCAUUACUCUUUCCUUUUUCCCUUUUCUUCUCGCCAAGCCUUGUUAUUUUUCAAAAGUUAUAGCGAGAAUUAGCUCGACAUCUUGUGUAAGCAAAACCUAGAACUAUUUUUGUUUGUUGCAUCAUGCCGGAUUAUGCACUCUUUUGUUUGUGGUUGAGUGAAGUGGAGAAUUAGGCAUAUAAGAAAAUGAGGAAAUUAGAAAAAGAAAAGCCUUUUCUUUUCCUCUCUCCCCCCUUCUCCCCUUUUGGCCCAACCGCCCCCCUCCCCUUUUCUUUUUUCCAAAAAUCCUCCCUGCGGGCCCCGCCCGUCAUCCCUCUCUCUCUCUCUCUCCUCACCCUAACCCUAGCCGUCGCCGCCCCUCCCCCGCGCCCCCCCUCCUGUGAGGCCCGCCCUCCUCCCUCUCUCCUCCCUCCUCUCCUCCCCUCCCUCCUCCUUCCCUCCCCGUCGGCGCCCUCCCCACGCCCGCUCGGCCCUGGCCCCGGCGAGCUCGGCCCUGGCCCCGGCGAGCUCGGCCCCAGCCCUGACCCCGCCCGCCAGCGCCGCUCCUCGGCGCCCCGCGCCCGCCCCUCGCCGCGGCUCGGCCGCCCCGCCUUGGCCGCCCCGGCCCCGGCGAGCCCGCGCCCCGGCUGCCCCGGUUCGGCGCCCCCCCCCGGCGUUCCCCGCCCGGCCUCGGCGCGCCGCCCUUCGGCCGCCCGCGCCAUGGCCGCCCGCCCCGACCUCGGCCGGCCCCGUCUCGCCGCGCCCGUCCCCGGCGAGCUCGGCCCCGCCCCGUGCUCGGUCCGCUCCGGCGAGCCCGCCCCUUCCCCGCCCUCGCCCAGCCUGGCUCCGGCGAGCCCGCCCCGCCCCGCCGCGCCCGCUCGGCCCGGCUCCAUGGCCGCCCCGGCGACCCGCGCCCGGCCCCGGCCCCGGCCCCGGCCGCCCUCCCCGCGCUCGCUCGGCCCCGCUCGGCCGGCGCGCCGCCCCGGGCUCGCGCCCGUCCCCGCUCCGGCGAGCUCCGCCCGCCCCCGCCCCCGCGCCCGGCCGCGUCCUCGCUCGCCCGUGCUCGUUUGCCCCGGCGCGCUUGCCCGUUCGCCCCGCCGUGCCUUGCUCGCGUCGUGACGGCCCCGGCGUGGCCUCGAGCUCGGCCCAGCAUGCCUUUAGCGCGCGACUUUGAGCUCGGCUAGCGCUCGGCCCCGACGUGCGCACGGCUAGUUCGUGGCGUGUGCGUGCGGUCUCGCGCGCGUGCUCGCGUAGUGCGCGUGCCUUGGCACGACCCGUCGUGCCCCGUCUACCCCCAGACGCCCCGUAUACCCCCCCCCCCCCCCCCGUGUCCUAUGCGCGCUAAUCCCGUUGUUCGUAUUAAUAAGAUAGGAGUCUCAAUUUGGAAAUUGGUCACGUCAGUUAAUUUGUAUAGCUAAUCGUCUAUCUCAUUCAAUGAUAAUCUACUAAAAGUGGUCACGUUCACAUUAGUGCAUGUAACUAAUUCUUUUGUUAGAACCAAUUGGAAUUAGAACACGUGACGUCUAGUUAUUCAUCAACCCAUAGUGCGUCUCGGGCAUAAGCUUUAACUCUCGCGAGACCUUUUCUCAUUUCUUUCUAACCAUGGUAAGUUCAUUAUCGUAUGUGAUAUUCUAUGCAUAUCUACUUCAUUUGUUCUCUUGUAUGGUGUAUUGUUUAUUCCCUAAUUUGAAUGGAUGGAUGUAUGUAUGCUUGCAAUCGCCUAGAGAACGAUCCGGUUGAAGAGCCCGAGGAACUCGUAGGAGAAGCCCCUGAGCAGCAGUCGGUUGGUGGAGGCAAGUGUCCCUUGACCUAUCUCUGUCCUAUUCAUUCUUUAAUUCACCUCCCGCUUUACACAUUUAUGCCUAAGGAUUGACUAGCUUUGGUUAUCCAUAUCCUUGUUUACCUAUUCGGGUUGGAUUAUUAUUGCUUAACUUUAUGCUAUUGCUUAACUCUAAUCAAUGAACAUGAUGAGAUUAUCUAUGAUACGCUGUUUUCCCUUCUCUUAUUAUGAUGUUGUACUUGUGGUCUUCAAGGGGGGCUCGAGCGGUUUCUCGAGUGCCUCUCCGUAAGGACCUGUUCUAUGGAUGACCGCCCGGGAAAACAGUGCAACCAUGAGGGUGGAAUGGGAUGCCCUUAGCUGAAUAAUUAGAGGAUCCGGGGUGUAGAUCACUUAGCCGUCGUGCCGUCAAUGGGGCUCGGUGUAUGCGGCUCGCUCUGCCAAGUUUGGGUUCGCCCCUUGGGGAGGAGUGCGGUGCAUUUAGGAAACCUAAUGGGUGGCUACAGCCCCGGGAAAUCUUUGUAAAGGCUACGUAGUGAUGCCCUGCUGGGUCACCUUGGUAGUGAUCAAUGGAGAGUCAUAAUCUCCGGGCAGAAAGGGAAUCACGGCUUGUGGGUAAAGUGCACAACCUCUGCAGAGUGUUUGAAAAUUGAUAUAUCAGCCGUGCUCGCGGUUAUGAGCGGCCAAGGGAGCUCCAGUGAUUAGUGGUACUUGAUCAGAGACAUUAUGGUACAGGUGGCUAUGAGAUCGAUGGUUCUGGUUAUGACUAUGGUGCUGGUAAGUGGUAUUCUUUCCAUUUGGAAAGGGUACAUCGGGCUAAUAACUUGGGUUAAUGCUAAAACCUGGCUUUCUAUUAGUAAAUAAUAAUCUGACCAACUAAAAGCAACUGCCUGACUUAUCCCCACAUAAAGCUAGUCCACUACAGCCAAACAGGAUACUUGCUGAGUAUGUUGAUGUGUACUCACCCUUGCUCUACACACCAAACCCCCCCAUCCCCAGGUUGUCAGCAUUGCAACCACUGCUCAGGCGAAGAUGAAGCUGUGGAAGGAGACUUCCAGGAGUUCCAAGACUACGAUGAGUUCUAGGCGUGGGUUAGCGGCAACCCCCAGUCGGCUGCCUGUGAAGGCCGCGUUUAUCUACAUUUCUUUUCCGCACUUUGAUUUUUAUUGUAAGGACUAUGUGGACGUCUCAGACGUAUGAUGUAAUCAACUAUUAUUUCCCUUUUUAAUACCAUUUCGAGCACUGUGUGAUGAUGUCCAUGUUAUGUAACUGCUGUGUACGUGAAUAACUGAUCCUGGCACGUACAUGGUUCGCAUUCGAUUUGCCUUCUAAAACCGGGUGUGACACAUAUUCUGUCUAAGUGCUAGAAACAGAGAAAAGAAAAGAACCAAAAGACUUGGCUCGGUGCAGCCAAAUCUCUGCUCAGUCUGGCACACCGGACAGUGUCCGGUGCGCCAGGCUGGACUCCGGUGAACAGGCCGCUCUCGGGAGAAUUUGGCGGCGUACGACUAUAAUUCACCGGACUGUCGAGUGAGCCAACAGCCGCCAGCGCAACAGUCGGCCGCGCAAUCCGCGGGCGAAGCUUGGCCCACGCCAACGGUCGGCAGGGGCACCGGACUGUCCGGUGUGCACCAGACAGUGUCCGGUGCGCCAACUGCCAUGGCUCUGCAAUGAUCGUCUGCGCCAAAAUAGGAAGGAGAUCGUGCACCGGACAUGAACAGUGGCUGUCCGGUGGUGCACCGGACUGUCCGGUGCGCCACCCGACAGAAGGCAAGGAUAGUCUUCCUUGUUGGCCUCCAACGGCUCCUAGCUGCCUUGGGGCUAUAAAAGGGACCCCUAGGCGCAUGGAGGAGCAACCCAAGCAUUCACUAAGCAUUCUAAGUCUUACACACUCCGUCUCCGCGCACUUGAUCGAUCGUGUUAGUGAUUUGAGCUCUGUUCUAGUUGUGAACUCUUUGUGCUUCAUUUUGAGCUCAAGUCUUGGCUUGUGUGCGUGUGUGUGCUGCGGAUUUGUGUGUGUUGCUCCCCAACCUUACUCUUGUGUUUUCAUUGUGAUCUUUGUUGUAAGGGCGAGAGACUCCAACUUAUGGAGAUUCCUCGCAAAUGGGAAAAAGAGAAAAGGAAGAAAAGUCAUGGUAUUCAAGUUGAUCAUUGGAUCACUUGAAAGGGGUUGAGUGCAACCCUCGUCCAUUGGGACGCCACAACAUGGAAGUAGGCAAGUGUUACUUGGCCGAACCACAGGAUAAAAAUCGCGUGUCUCUUGUGUGCUUUACCUUUGAUCAUCUGUGUUCACAAGAACUCAUUUCAAGCUACUUAGCCGUUCUAACUUACAUAACAAAGUUUUGUGGCUAUUAGUGUUGAAUUUUAUAGGAUCACCUAUUCACCCCCCCUUCUAGGUGCUCUCACUCUCCUUCCCAUUCUUAUUCUUAAGUGCUUUGUAAAGCUAGCAAGAGACACCUAAGUGUGUGGUGGUCCUUGCGGGGUCUUAGUGACCCGAUUGAUUAAGGAGAAGGCUCACUCGGUCUAAGUGACCGUUUGAGAGAGAGGGAAAGGGUUGAAAUAGACCCGGCCUUUGUGACCUCCUCAACGGGGACUAGGUUCUUUAGAACCGAACCUCGGUAAAUUAAUCACCGUAUCCACUUGUGUUGAUUUCCAUUUGAUUUGUUUUUCCUAUUUCCUCUCUCUAAAGUUUCCUUGCUAAUAAUUGUUUUGAGUUUGCUCCCAAACGACAUCAGCAUCAUUUGAGCAACUCAUGGCAAGAGAAACAAUCUUCCGCCUUGGAUUUAAUUCUAACACUAACCCCGGCCUUAGUGUGUGUUUAAGUUUACAAAUUUCAGGUUUUGCCUAUUCACCCCCUCUAGGCGACUUUCAGUUCGCACUAGCACGCCUGCCAAACACAAAUCUUAUUGUCCCUCGGUUUUCGAAACCACGACAGUUGGCACGACAGGUAGGGGAUCGUUAGUGUGCUAAGCGACAUUACCCGCACCGAUGUCUAACUUAUCAGCAUCUGCCAGAGGUGGGAUUUUCACCCCUGGGAGUAGCACAUCAAGUUCGGCUCCCUCCAUUUCCUCGACAACUUCGCUGGAGAGCUUCGCCUCGCCGAUCCCGACGCGUAGGCCAUCGCGCAGCGAGGCACCCGGGCGCUCCACCAGGAGUAGGCCGAAAAGGCAGCAUCGCGGGAAACAUGCCCCCACUCUCAAGCAAUGCCCCGGUCAACUUGAUGCCUCCACUAGGGGGCAAGUAGUGAAGGCACCGUCACCAGCGUCCGAGGCCGCUGCCAACCAUCCAAAUGCCCCCACGAGUCUAGCAACCGGGAGAUCUACGCGGUGGAGUCCUCCGACUCGCCAUGUGAUGCGUCACGAUGCCCGAUCUUCACGACGUAGGAUCAAUCUUCAGAUAACUAGCUUCAAAGAAGCCAAGAUAACUUGCUGCAAGCAGCAAUAACUAGUGCAACCUGACAAAUAAAACUCGAAGCCAACCACCGUCUUUAACCGGCAGCCUGAAUCGAGGAUUCGCCCAACCAUACUCUCAAAGAACCAACCAACACAGCCUACAAUCAAUCGAGGAGACCUCGAAGGGAGUAGGAGCACCAAUUGGGAGCGGAUGAAGCCGCCGCUUCUGCAAUCCCGCGAAGGAAUUCACAAGAGCAAAGGGGUAGAGAUCACUCUCAAUAUUUGUUAGCACACAGCUGAACAAAGGGGUUCUGUUUUAGAUUAUCAUAAGCUGCCUUACAUCUUAGACAUAGGGGGUAUUUAUACUAGUAACAACCAGCCUUAGCGAGGUAUAAACACAAAACAAAAGUAUUUUCACGAGCUAAUGUGAAGGAGCCUCUUCGGGAGAUCUGCAUAGUUGAUUUCCGUGUGGCUGUUUGACUUCUGCGCAGUCUUCAGUAUUUUGACAAUAACUUCUUCUAGGAAUCUUCAAAUGACGUGGGACUGGUUGCAUUGGAAAGCUAACUUGAUAAGCUUUCUCACCAUAUAUAGCAUGCUUAAUGAAACUUCGUAGAAUGAUGCAGUUUAAUACGAAAACUUGGUCAUCAAGCUGACUGUUGACCUUCUGACCAGUCGGCACUAAAGUAGGUCGGCUGCCUUUCUGGUAGAUGUGGUUAAGUCGGCUUUAGAAGCAUUGGAAACUAGACUUCAAGAGCUUUCCAAAAAGUACUUAUGGGCCUUCAUAGCUUUUGGGAAUCAAAAGAUAUGACUGUUUCUUCUGGACGGUUCUGUUGCGCUGGACUGACUCGGAUAUAGCUCUUCUUGCUGAUUCGCCCUUGAUAUGUUUUGUCCUUUCUCUUUGGUGAACCUAAGUAAUAUCAACAUACACGACUUAGGUAGCAUAAAAUUCUCAUUAGUGUUUAAAUGAAAUUCAUAAAGUAGCGCGUGCACCUCUUGCUGUAUCUUCUUAGCUCGGCUACGUGUAAUUGGUCCAUCAAAGACUUGGGUUGGUGAUGAUGUUGGUUGUACUUGAGUUGAUGUAGUAUGACUUGGGGGUUGUAACAUGUUGCUUAAUGGCGUGGUCAUAUCACCAUGCCCCUCAUGCUGAAGGCCUCAAUCGCAUACGAUCGACGCGAUCACCCGAGCAGUAUCCCGCAUCCGGGAACUUACCCCCGUGCUGCUGAAACAAUCGUCGGCCCAAAGCGUCUCUCCAAAGUCCUCAUGGACGGAGGGAGCAGACUCAACGUCAUGUACAUAGAGACAUUCGACACCUUGGGGAUCGCACUCUCCGCGUUGCACCCUAGCACCGUGUUGAUCUAUGUCAUUACGCCCGACCACAGCGCCUGCUCGCUCGAGCAAAUCGUUCUACCGGUUACAUUCGCAAACCCCUCUAAUUUUCGCACCGAGCAGCUACAGUUCGAAUUGAACUUUCUAGGGGCCUACAACACCAUAUUGGGGAGGUCGGGCUACGUCAAGUUCAUGGUCAUUCCCAACUACACAUACCUCAAGCUAAUGAUGUCUGGACCCCAUGGGGUCAUUACGGCGUCCGCUUCAUUCCAAGCGGUCUAUGUGUGUGAAAAAGCUAGCUGUGAGCUCGCAUCAGCACAAGCCACCGCAAGAGAGUUGGUGGAGUUAUGGAGGGGCAUCGACUCUAGGGAUGGUUCGGACGCACCCAAUGUCAGUUCUGACAUUCAAAUGCGUCGAGGACACGAAGGACGUUCGGAUCGACAACGCCGACACCUCCAAGCAUGUAAGAAUCGGGGUGACACUCUCCACAAACAAGAAGGUGCCCUUAUCGACUUCCUCUAGACCAAUCGUUGAAUAUGCCCUAGAGAUAAUCAUAGAGAUGAACAUAUUUCUUUGUAUCCAUGAUAUAUAUAUUGCUUAAUUAAUAUCCAUGAAAGGCACAUACCUGUUAACCCGUGGGUAUAAAAUACCUGGUAUAACUUAGCCCAGAAACAUAAAGUUGAGCUUCAGCCAUCCAUCUCUUUUGACUAUUUAUCAACCUUUUCGGCAAUAAUAUCAUAAAAGACUUAACAACUAUUUGAUGAUCAAAUAAUGGAACAUGUAAUGUGUUAUGUGGUACUAUCUUAGUGUUGUUACUUUAUCCAAUUAUUUAUGAUGUUCUUAAAUAGAUGAUUAAAUGAUCCUAGAAAUUUCGUAAUGAUAUUUAGAUGGAUAUACUUAACAUUUGUAUAAUGUAAAUGUUUAAUCUUUGUGAGUACCAGUGACCCGACAAAUGAUCCAUACUCAUAUCUAUACUAUACUUAAAGCGUCAGUUUCAACGGUCGUCAUGCGUCAUUUUUUUACAAAUAACCCCUCACAACUAUUUCAAAUUAAUUCGUUGCACGUCUAUAGAUGUCAAACGACGCUCGACACGGGCUAGAUGCACAUGGGCCACAACUAUCACACAAGCACGUCAUGCCGGCCUGCUAAGUGUGUCGGGCCAGCCUGUUAGCCCGUCGAUCCAUUUAAUUAAAUCAGCGUAACGACGCCCGACACGGGCUAGAUGCACGCGGGCCACAACUAUGGCACAGGCACGCCAUGCCGGCCUGCUAAUUGUGUCGGGCCAGCCCGUUAGCCCGUCGAUCCAUUUAAUUAAAUCAGCGUAAAAUGUUAAAAAACGGUACAGGAGGUGGGGUUCGAACCCAUGCCCUGAUGGAAGAAGGGUGGGAGACACUGGGUGAAACUGUCUAACCAGUAGAACAUCACGCUAAGAUGUUUUUAAUAUUAAAUAUAAAUUGUAUAUAGGUAUAUACGUUUUUUGUAAAAUAAAAAAAAUAAUCGUGUCGGGCCGCACCAACACUAUGGGUCGAGGCUACAGCCCAAACACGGCACGACGUUCUUUGCUCUUGCAAGCAUUAGGUCGUUUCUGAGACCACAUUGGCACAAUGGACUACAUGGUAUUUGAGGUUGCUGAAUUGGAUGGAGCAGCAAUGAUUUGUCACACUAACAACAAAAUGAAAGGUUAUUUGUUGGUUUUAAACGUUAGUAAUUGCUACGAAGUAGCGUAAUUUAUAUGGAGCACAUCCAAUUUUUAUUAAUGCCUGACUUUACCAAUCACUCCAUAUUUUGAUCUAUCUUUUUUAUAAGUUUGACUUCAUGGGACUUAUUUUAUAAACUUGAUCUCACAAACUCUCUUAUUUGGUCUCUGUAUGAUGGAAUUAUGCUAUUUUAUAAUCUCUGUUCAUUCAGUCAAUCGUUGAACUCUCCUCUAAUCGCUCACUUUAUUAGCCGUGUUGUACCAAGACAUAUUUGCAUGGAGUAAACAAUAACAUCAGUUAGCUAAAUCAAAAAAUAUAUUAUACAGAGAGCGGAGACAAUCAAUAAAAAAUCUUAAAUUUUUUAUGGAUAGUUUACGUGGGUAUUGUUGUAAGCCGUCGCAACGCACGGGCAACCGACUAGUAAGUAUAGGCACGGGAGUAAAUACAUAUUCACGAGUGGAUAUGAGUAUGCGUAUUUACCUAUUGCCAUUCGUAGGAUAGGGCCCUAGCGCGAUUAGAAGGGACACGAGCAACCGAUGCUGCCGCAGCCUCACACUCAACCAAUAUUUCUCCUGUAUACAAAGAAAAAGAAAUCUUCCAUACAUCAGACUUUGACUCGCUUCUAUCUCGCGCAAGCCGAGAAGAAAGGAGCCCGUCUACGCGAGAGAUGGGCGGCUACGAGAACGGCGAGUCGACGGCGGCCGCGGCGCUUGCUGACGGUGGUGUGAUUCUGGGCGUGGACGGCGGCACCACCAACACCGUUUGCGUCUGCCUGCCGGCUGCAAUGACGCCGCCGGAGUCUCCGGCCACCGUACCCGUGCUUGCACGCGCCGUCGCCGGCUGCUCAAACCGCAAUUCCGUCGGAGGUAAUCGCCAGAGCUCUUCCCAUUCAGAGGAUGCCUGAUGCGUGCCUUGUGUUCAAAAUUCGAUCUUGGUGAUUGACGAGUUGUCUCCCUGUCGGUUUUUUUGGGGGAUUUUGACUUCACUCCUAAGGUGUUGCCUAAUCGCCGUUGAUUUUGUCAUACAUAGUUGCGGAUGCUGUAAGGAUUGUAGGGAAUACUGGAUCUUCACAAUUGAGGGAGAGUUUCAGGGAAAUAGAUGAAUUGUUUGCAUAACAGUGCUCGUGUAUGUUCAUUUUUCCUCAUUUUUCUUAAAAAAAACUUAGCUUUUGUUCUAUAGAUUUUUAAAAGGCUGUUUGCCAUUUUGUUGUCCAUCUUGCUUAUUUCCGAUUAUUUAGGUUCCUAUGGUUGUCAAUCAUUUAAUGAAGUUGCUGAAGAGGUAGUACUCCUUAGUCCUUACCAUUACUUGUGCUAAGCACGGUGCUUGUAAAGUAGUCUGGUAACUUCAACUGAUGAGGAAAUACAGCACAACAUUUACCCAUGUGUUGAUAGCACUGUGGUUUGGACUUUGGACUUCCUUUGCUAUUCUAGAGGAAUACUGUGCCCAAAGUGCAACAAGAAUCCAUAGUUCUGUACACAAACCAUGUAUGCUUCUGUAAGCUGUAACACAGUAUACAAUUGAAAUAUGGUAAUGUUUUCUGAGUGAUAUUAUAUCAUUAUCUCCUUUUUUCCCUUGCCACGUUGUAAUGUGGGAACAAUAGCAUCUGGCACAAUUCUUCGGUCAAAGAAAUACUUACCACUUUGUCCUCUAUUCAUCAGAAAAUGCUGCCUUGGAAACUCUCGAGCAGGUCAUGACACAGGCUCUAGCAUUGGCCAACACAGAUCGUUCAGCUGUCCGAGCAGUUUGUUUAGCCGUAUCAGGAGUGAACCAUCCUUCAGAUCAGCUGAGGAUGCUGGAAUGGAUCCGGUAUAGUUUUCUCUGUGUUAAUUAAAAUGCAUUUUAGUAUUGCACCUAAAGGGAAGGGUUGCAUUGUUGUGCUCCACAGCAACCACUUCAUUUCAAUUGAACAAAUGCUGAUAUCAUGAUGCUCAAAUGUUUGGGCCUAUUCAUUUGGACAUCCCUGAUGCUCUGGAUUGUCAGAAUGAUGCUGCUUUUGUGUAUGUCAUUACAAAUCAGAACAUGCUGACAGCCAGAAAUGCAGAACUGAUAGUAAGUCAUCAUUUUCUUGUAUAUCUGCUAAGUGAACCUUGUUUGUUCUCCAGGGAUCUGUUCCCAGACAAUGCAAAAAAUUAUGUAGAAAAUGAUGCAGUGGCGGCCCUGGCUAGUGGUACAAUGGGAAAGCUGCAUGGUUGUGUGUUAAUUGCGGGCACUGGAUGCAUUGCUUAUGGAGUUACAGAAGAUGGAAAAGUAGCAAGAGCAGCUGGUGCUGGGCCUGUUUUGGGCGACUGGGGUAGGUGAGUAAUAUUAUUUAUGGCAACAAGAUACUCUAUGACCCUUGAAACUGGAUACUUUAGGUGGUGCCACUGCCUUGUUUGAACUUUGAAGUUGGAUUGUUGGAACAUCAUUCUUUGUUUAUGAUUUUUGUUGUUGGAACAGAUAUUAGUGCUUUCAGCUGCCAUGUGUUCUGUUCAAAAGUCCAUACCUGAUUUGCAACAUGAGAAUCAGAAGUUUAGAGGGUGCUCAACUGACAAGCAUCAAUUGUCUGUCACACACCCAGUAGAAAUUAUAGGGCUAUUUUCAGAUCUUGUUUGGAUAUAAGGAUAUGGGCAUAUAUCAUGCAAAGAAAACAAAGCUCCUUAUACCCCGAACAUAUCACAGAAAGGCUAUUUAUAGGUGCUUGGGUUGCUGAACUAUGAAUUGGGGAAUUGGGAAGAUGACCACUUACUGCCUUGGUUAAGAGACCUGAGUGGAGGGUUACCAAACUGUGAAUUGAGAAUUAAAAGCGAGUGAAAUAUUGUCAUCUUACCCUAAAUGAAACUAGAGGAACAUAAACCAUGAGCGAAUGGUUGGCCGAAUAGCUUGUCCACUUCUCCUUGUAGUCCAUUUGACUCAGCCUUGCAGCUCCUUCCUCUCACCCAAAUUGAUGGGUCUUCCAGCAUCUUGAAAUCCUUCACCAUUGACCGCUGUAGUUUAAAAAGAUUUGUUUGGUGUUUAUGAAACCUAUUAUUCUGUGAUUUCAAUACAGCCUGUCUGUGACAAAGGCUAAUGUAGACAACUAUAUGUGUACAUUAAUGCAGUGGAUAUGGCAUUGCUGCACAGGCCCUGACAGCAGUUAUAAAAGCAUACGAUGGUCGUGGGCCACAAACUAGACUUACAAGAGAUAUCCUUGAGAAGCUUGAUCUUUCUUCACCAGAUGAAAUCAUAGGGUAAGUUCUGUCACAGUGAUGCAUAAUUUGUAUACAUUUCAAUUAUCUGCCCUAAUGGUAGCUUAAUAUGCAAAAGAAGACAGUAGGGUUUCCCCUACUGUUUUGACUGAAAAAAUAUGCAAAAAAAAGGUACACUAAUUUUAUUGCAUAGCAUAUGUUAUUUGUGUUAAAAGUACGUUCAGGACCUUCUGUGACCAUGCUAUGAUAUUUUUCAUCAAUGUAUAUAUAAACCUUGCCAGGCUUGCAUUGUUCCGACAGGAUUUGCCAUUAUGCAUUAAUCCUUAUCAUUAUUUGGUUAUACUCCUUUAAUUUCCUUUUUUUUUCUCAAACACGCAGGAGAGCUGCACAUCUUUGUAUUGAGAAGAAAAAGGGAUAAGAACCUUUACAACACAAACCCAUAAACCCAAGAGAGUUGACAAAUAUUUGGCUCCUUGUGCUCACAACAAAAGCGAUCUCGACCAAGAAACCAAGCACCUACUGGUUGCCUGCAGGCUCUAGGGCCAUAGGAAAGGAAAUGCCUCGAGCCCCUGCCAGACUCCGAUAAACCAUCUCCUCAAUGUCGAGCUGCAAGGCUCUGGCCAGACUAGGGUAAAGGCCAUAAAAAACACACCGGCUACCAUGAUUCCAUAGUAUGCAUGCCCCAAGAAUUAUUAUCGAGUUUAACCCUUCUUGACCAUGUUUGUCACUCUCAACUCUACAUUAGCCCACCAAUAGUUUCAAGAUUCAUCCUGUUAGUGCACUAUACCCAUUCUCAGUAAUCCAUAUUUAAAAAAAAACUCGGCCGGGGAGGGAAAGACCGCCCUCCCGGUAUUAUAUUAAGAAGAGACCGAAACAAUGGUCCCGGCCGAGAAAAUCUCCAAACCCUGGCCCCCAUCACUAACGGGCCGGUGUCAACUGUCCACUCUGCAACGGCCCAACCGGAGGGUGACGCACAGGACAUCAUAACCCGAGAGCGGAUGAGUCAUAGCGAGGGGAUUUUUUUAACCAAGCCUGAAGAUUCGCUCCCGAGGGGAAUCGAACUCAGGACUUGGAGGUGCUACUCGGAAGUCCUUAACCAUUAGGCUAGAGGCCCUUUCGCUAAUCCAUAUUUUUAAGGUCAUAGAAUGAUUAGUAGUGUAGUAUUUCAUAACUUAAUUAAUGUUUGCUGAAGCUUCUAGUGUUUGUGAAUAUUUCUCGUGCUCUAGCUGAGAAAAGCAUUGAUAUUUGGAAUCUUGUACUUAAUUGCUGCACUUGUUCUGGCACAGGUGGACAUAUGCGGAUCCAUCUUGGGCUCGUAUUGCAGCACUUGUACCAGUUGUGGUAUCUUCUGCUGAAGAUGGUGAUGAAGUAGCUAACAAAAUCUUGCAUGAUUCAGUCCAAGAGUUGGCUGACACUGUUAUAGCGGUUGUUCAGCGUCUUAGAUUGUGUGGCGAAGGUAAUGUGUAGUUCGUGCAAUAGUACUUAGCUUUAAUUUUGUUCAACAGGUCUAUUUGAUUAUUCGAAUGGACUAGUGGCAUUUUAGGUAUAAAUAGUACUUCUCUGGGGUCAGGACAUCAAGUCAAGUCGUUCUAAGAUAGGGAUGCCAUUGUAUAUAUUACUAAUCAAGCAAAGAAUGAAAACUGGUCUUUUCCCGGCAAAAGGUUCUUUCGGUUCAUUCCGUCUGUCGUCUGCAUGCCAGUUGUCAUGUCGUAGAGCAUAUAGCAACUGGUUUUCUGUGGUAAAUGAGCUGUGGGCUUAAGAUACUCUUGUUAUGGUUCGAUGUACUAUAUUUCUUUAGAGUGGAGUACUAAGGAUUCCGAUCAUGGAAUUGUUUCUUUGGACACAGAUAUUAUUCUGCUCAAAUUCUGUUUCUGUUUCCAAAUGCCGUCUCAGUGUUAGGAACUGACAACAGGAGAACAUGUUCUGUAUACCUGAAAGUUCAUCUUUAAUCUGGCAGAUGGAAAGGACAUGUUUCCACUUGUUUUGGUUGGAGGGGUCCUUGAAGGAAAUAAAAAGUGGGAUAUCAGUGGUGAGGUCAUAAAAUGUAUUUCCAAGGUCUUCCCGGGCACUGAUCCUAUUUGGCCUGAGGUUAGUAUACCCAUUACUAUUCUUGUUCCAAACUUUAUGUCUCUGUUGCACACAUCCAUGCUGGUUUCUGGAUACUUAAGGAGUCUAAGUGUUCAAAAGAUUUGGGAUGUCUCGCUUUUUUAUAUCAGAAGUCAUGUUUUUUUUAUCUCUGACUUACUUGGUAUGAUAAAUGGCAUAUGUCAGUAACAUAUUUUUGGAUAAAUGCGCAUACAUUUCUCUCAUCAAGAAAGCAGUGAUAUAUCUAUCUGAAAACAUGGGGAAAAAACUUUAGUGCCAAGAAAGUUGGUAUAGGCAUUAGUGAUUUUUUUAAGAAAAAUGGAUGAAGUACCAUCCCUUCAGAAGUUAAACAAAAUGCCAUGAAAUUUCAGGUGGAACCAGCAAUCGGUGCUGCCUUGCUAGCCUGGAGCCAUCACCACAAAGGGUUGAAAUUGGAGAAUGGAAGUUGAUUCCCAGCAUUUAAGGGUGUCAAUUGUACAUUGAGGAGUUGGCGAGCCAAAGGGGUAUUGGUCCCAAUGAUACAUUCAUCGGCAUGAAGGCUUUUCGUUCCCAGCAAAAAGAAUAAAUCGUGGAUGGGUGCAAACAUGCGGUGUGGAUAGAACAUAUUUCUGAUGUAAGUAGGUAGUAAGAAUUGUUCAAAUAUUCCUCUGAUUCUAACUCUCGGUGAUUGUUGUAUGUGUUCUGUUUGUGUUUGGAGGUAGUAACAUGUAUCUGUCUACCAUGGAUAAUUGAUCGUCAAAUGUUCAGAUCUUUUUUUACAUACAUUGUGCUUGGCCUCUAUAAACUUUAGUUGGCAUACUCGUAAAAGCUGAAUGUACAGCAUUUUGUGUUGCUACUGGGAAUACGAAGAACGCAGAGCUCUCCUCGUGACAAGGGAGCCAGGCUCCUCGUGAUCCACUCGGCUCAAAAAAAAAAGUCGGCAGAUACCAAUGAUUUGCAAUCGAAAUUUUGCCGCCUCGUGGGCAUCAAACGUUGAAGGGACCAAAUUCUCUUCAAUGUAUUAUUACAUUGAAGGGAUGAGCUUGCACAUAGUUGUUUGAAAUUACAUGAAUCCUGGUAACCGAGGUCGUCCGUUCAUCCAAUCAGGAUAGUGCAGAUUCUGAAUCGUCUGCAUUACAGCCUACUUGCAUUUCAAUGUAAAUGUUACUUUGGUGGCACGCAUGAUCACUACAAAGCCUGAACGCCAGGCUAUAGUGUAGAUUUAUCUACCAUUGUGCCAGGAAAAAAUAAAGAUCCACAUGAAAACUCAGCUUCUCUAACAUCCUCUCGGCUACCAAUGUUACAAGAGUUCACCUUUGCAACCCAGCAUAGCAGGUGGCAAAGCCCAUAGGCCAUAGCAUCAAAAGCCAAGCACAAGAACUAAUAGCUACGGUUGGGUUGGGUCAUUUACAGAGUGCUCAAAAGCUACCAAGACCACUACUCUGCCUGCAAAAGGGGGUAAUCACCUAGUCCUUGAGUCGGAAACAAAAGCUUGCUGCCAUCUACAAUUCUACAAACUUAUGUCAAACCACUGGAAGCCUGCUGUCAAACCUACAAUUCUACAGUGUCAAGCCGACCAGAAGCAUUUUACUUCGCCAUGCUAAUGUGCUUCUUAAUCAUGCUCAAGGUCUCCAUAACCUGCAAAAAAGAUAUUAGUACAGUUAAUACAGAACAAAAAUAUCAUACACGAAACCAUGCGAAUUGGGUGAGCGCAAUGCAAUUGCUAGUGAUUAUGACAUACGGUAGCAUCUGGCAUAACAUGGAACCUGUGGUUAGACAAGACAUGCGAAUACCUAAUAUCUCAUGUCACGCAACAAAUUAAUAUUGGAAGAAAAACCUAACAUCAAUCUUGUUAAAAAUUUAUGUUAGGUCACUUCACAAAUUUCUUUUACUGAAAGAUCUUGAUAAAAAAAAGGAUAUACCUAGAAUAAUGAGGAUAAGUUAUAUUAAAGACAAACAACAAACAGGUCAGAGGGCACUUUAUGGACAAUACAGCAAUACUUCUUAGAUUAGGCACGAAGAGAAACAACAGAAAACAUAAGAAUCAUGCCCGAAGCAUAAAAACAAAACUUACGCCGGUGUAGUGUUGCAGUACUGGAGAAUAGUGAUCAAGUGCAGUAUAGAUUUUUGCAAGAAGAUCCGUUAAGGCCUCAACCUCAUCACCAAGCAAAUCCACCUGGGAAACAAAUAAAACCAAUUAAUGUGCUUUAAUGCCUCAAUCCUUUCAGGGUGACAUCUAGGUCAUAACUUUUUUCAUGGUUUGCAAGUUAAGCUCUAGAAGAGCAGGCCUAGUGCAAUGGUGAGAACAGUCCAUUGAGUCACCAGGUCAUAGGUUUAAAGCAGCCUCUCCGCAUUUGCGGAAGGAACUCGGUUUACCCCUUUCCCAUACCCCACUCAUGUGGGAACCUCCGGCACUGGGUCUGUCCUUGUUUUUGCAAGUUAAGCUCUGCAAAGUGAAGCUAAACACUAACUUGUUAGGUUUGGCAAAUAAAUUACCUCAAGUUCAGCUUUCUGAAGAUUAGAGUCUCUUGUCUCAGAUAUCUCUUUGUAUCGUAAGGCCUUCUUUCUUAAAAGAUUGCCUUCUUUUGCAAGGUGUUUACAUUGUUCUUUUAAUAAACAGAACCUGUGAAAGAAAAAAAACAUACUAGCCUCUUUAUUUACAGAACAUUACAUAGAUAGGUAAUAGGUACCAAGAACUAUAAAGCUAAUAUUAAGAUGGUAUAGUGAUAAACAAAAGGCUAGGAAUUAUAUAAUCAGCUCAUUUGCCUAGAAUAAGUAAGUUGAGUGAAUAAAAAUCAAGCACCUUGAUUCAUGAUGAUCGACUUUAUUUGCAACAACAGCCUGCUGAUUCAUCAUGACAAUUUCAAAAUCUUUGAUAGAUUUAACAAGAUUUUCCAUGAAUUCUCUCAUAUCAUUGUCUUUGGAAACAGCAGAUGUUAGCAUCUUCUCUUUUUCUUCCAUGGCAUAAUGUAGAGCUUGAUUCUGUUUCUCUAGGUCUUUUAGAGAGUUUGAAAUGGUUCUAAGUCUAUCAUUCAGCUCAACCAAGGUAACAUCAUUGUGUUGAACAUGCUGCUGAGCUUGCUCCAACCUGCACAUAAUGGCAUCAAAUUCCCUGUUCUUUUCAGAUAGGUAGGAAUCUUGCUUUGCCACUUUGUCCCUUAACAAAUCAAGUUCACAACACAUUGACUCCACGCGAGUCUGCAUCGCUUCCAAUCCAAUCUGUGAUACAAAUUUCUCCUUUUCACUCAAUACUUCAGUGAAGGAAUCCACAAUUAGUUUCAGUUUUUCAAUCUUUUGCUUAUGUAGAGAUUCCUCUUCAGCAUGACCCUUUUUCUCCUCGUACUUCAACAACAAAGAAUCAAUGUUUGACAUUGCUCUAGCAAUAGCCUCAUUGUGAAUUAUUGAGCAAACUUCCUGCUUCAUACCACCCUCAAUCUCAUAACCAUGCAAUUCUAUGUUUAUUUCACUAAUGAACUCUUUUAUGAUAAUCCUUUCUAUUUCUUCUCUAAAGGUGGCUGCAAUUCUGGCAUCUUCAACGUCAAAUUGAGGCCUUACAAUAUUCAGUUCAUGAUCUGCCUCUCUGGAUGCAAAAUGUGAUGAGUGAGUUGGAAUAGAGCAAUGGUAGUCUUCAUUAUUACUUGCACCGCUUUCUAGUUGCUCGAUUUCAGAACCUAAUACAUUGUUCUUAUCUUGUUGACCAGGAAUUGCAUUUGACUUGAUACGGACAGAGGCUCUUUUAUUCUCCAGGAGGAGCACAUCCAACUUUGAGAUGACUUCCUCAAUUUUCUUCCUUGUUUGCUCAAGUUCUUUGUUAUUUCGUAAAUGAAAAGGGUUUGAUCCAUCCUUCUUCAGGAUUUCACGCUUCAGUUUGAAUAUCUCUUCCGUCCUCUGGUACAGAACUGAAUCAUGCUGCCUUUUCAUCUCAUUCAUUGAUUUAUUGAAAUGGGCUAUCAAAGCAACCUUAUCCAUGUGAUCCAAGAGUUUCGGAUCACCAAAAACUUCUUCUUUAGAGUCUCCAGGAUGAAUGGUCUUUGCUACACCAUUUCUAGAGGAAUUUUCUUUGUCCUGCUGCUUGCUGGCAUUUUCUGAAUCUUCAAAGUUAUGCUGUGAUCCCGAUAGCCCCCAUUCAGAAUUCAACAGUGACUUGGAAAUGGAGUCAAGCUGCUGGCGGAGACUAUAAAACUCAUCAUGUCUUUUAUCCCGUCCCUCAGAUAAACUCAAGCUGCCAUUUACUGGCUGCUGCAGCUUCUGGUUCAGUGAUGAUAUCUCUGCAUCCUUGAGAGCAAUUUGGCUAGCAGCUUCUUGCCGCACAUCACUUAGGAUCCCCUUGAUGAUAGCACCAGUCACAAUUCCUGAAACAUGAACCCUGUCGUUUACUUCAUCCAAGAAAGAUUCCAUGUCCUCAAUGGCGUCUUCAUGGCAAUAAGGCUCAGUCUGAACUGCAGCACUUCCAUUGCCAUCAUCGGGCAAUACAUGCAAGGUCUCUGCCAUCUCCAUCUGUAUGUGAGUUUGGUGUGAUCGCCACUGUAACAAAAAAAAGGAAAGGCACAAAAAGGAAUGUUAAACUCGGGGAUUAUAAUCAAACCAGCAUGCUAUUUCCCUCAGGAAAUCCGUCUGAACAUUUAUUGCCCAGCAGCAAACGCGCAUGUAUCAUUCAAUAAACCACGUCAAACAUGACGUGCAGUCACAUCACCCCAAGCUUGUGACAGCAUAAUGGUCUCUGAGCAAAACCCUACCUCAGCAAGACGACGAAAAUCUUACAAAUUAAAUUACCAGUAUAAACUGCCUUGAAUGCUCAGAUAAUAAUGAGUUUAUGACAUCAAAUCUAAAGAGACAGAACAUCCAUCCCAGUAAUGGUAACUCGAUUGGGGAAAGUGACAUGGACGGAAAUACAUAGCCCAAAAAAAGGAGAUAGCAGAAACAAAUCAACAUCUAGCUAAACUAGCCGAAUCAGAUAAACCAAAAAAAAUAAAACAGGCAACAAAUUGAACACUAACCAAUCGUCUAGGUUAAAGAGCUCAAGUGGAGGAGGCCGUCUAAACGAAGCUAACCCAAGCUCAAACCAAGAGGGGAGGGGCGAGACGAAACAAUCCGGAAAACCACCAGCGCCUCCUAGGACGGAGAGCUCCGCCACCACCACCACCACCAGUGAAUCCGUAGAGCAAGAAACAGCAGCGAGGCAAGGAAUGCCGCCCCCCGAAAUACAACGGCGGUAAAGGGGAAAAGAAAGAAGCUGCGCUGGUGACUGAUGCUCUACCUUUCCUUUCCUGCCACCGUCAGCGCCGCCACUGUGCGCGGGUGGUGGGGAGACAGCGAAAGCAGCCGCCUUUCACCUCCAGUCCCCCUCCCCCGCCUUUUCUCACCGCCGCCGCCGUUAACGUGCUAAGGUUAUCUCUUGAAGGUUGACUGUAGUUGCUGCUCAAGUGCCACCGCCGUGAGGCCGGCCCGUAAUGCUUGCCUCUCCUUGAAGCCCAGCCCAUGGCUCAUGGGUUUGGCCCAAACUCUAGUUUCACUCUGACAGCCCGAUAAGAGAGUAACACAUUUCAUUUCAAAAUUAAACGCCGGCGAGAGCCGCCCCGGCGGAGGGAGCUCUCUGGACGCGAAGCGCUCCACGCCGGUGACCACUGACCUCCUCCCUGGAGGCGCCCCGGCGAAGGGAGCGAUCCUGGUACCGGCUGCGGAAGUGCGGAGCCAAGGGCGGGGCCGCUCCGCGGAGCGCCGGUGGCAGCCACGGUCUGACGUCAGGUAUUGUCAUUUUCGAGUCCUCCGAACCCAACUGCAAACAACAGGAACCCAUUACCAAAUAAAUGAUGCUAGAAAUGGUUUCAUCUUAAAAAAUGGGUCGGAUCCAUCUAGAGCGUGGUAAUGUAUCACGAUCUAAAGGUUUUUUUAUAAUUUGUUAGGACACUAAACUAAUUUUAGUUCAAAAUAAAUAAAAAUAGAGUUUCAUCCUAUCUAAUUUUAUUCUUAAAUUUUAUAGCGUAAAAUCUAAAACCCAUUGUCCCUCCUAGAUCCAUCCCAUCCAUAUAGUCUGAUUUUCAUUCAAGUUAAUAUCAUUUUUGUUAAGCUCUAAAAAGAGCAAUGCGGACGGUCCGGCCCCGAGGCCGGACGGUCCGCGGUCUGGACUGUCCGCGGUGGUGACGCGGACAGUUCGCGCGCGCGCAGAGUCAGUUAGGGUUCCUAGUUUCUCGCGGGAUUUGUUACCUAAAACCGCGGGAUUAACUCGGGAAACAGUUGAAAACGGAUCCAGACCUCCCCCUUUAUAUAGAUGAAGGGCUACGGCCGAUUGAACCCCCAACAAUCGAACAAAUCAAGUCUAUUACUCGUUUUUACCUUAUGCAUUAGGAGUAGUUCUAGUCUAGUUCUAGUUUAGCCCUAGUUUAGUAUUCCAAUCCUCAAAUUCUCUGCCUCUCCUCGACUCUACGUCGAUUAGGGGAGUCUAGGUCGGCCGGCCCGAGCCUAGACAACUCCUAGGAUCUCUCCUCCCCGACGGGGUCCCUCCCGGGAGCGAGAUCCAGGCGCCGCCGGCGAUCCUCUGCCGCCCCUGCGCACGCGCGGACCGUCCGGCCCUAGGGCGCGGACCGUCCGGCCGUCAGGCAGGGAACCCGAGCUCCUGCACCAGGUCGCGGACCGUUCGGCCCUGUGUCGCGGACCGUCCGUGUCUGACCAGGGAGCACCGCCGCCUCACACCAGGUCGCGGACCGUCCGGCCCCAGGCCGCGGACCGUCCGCGGCUGACCAGAGAGCACCGCCGCCGGUUCUUCUUGAGUGAUUGGCGCUCCGAAAAGGCGUCAACAUACUUUUUGGCGACUCCGCUGGGGAAUAGGUGUCUAGAUCUGCUAAAAAUCGGCCCAUAAAUGGUCGGUUCUAAGGAUCACACCAAGAUCUCCACUACCAACAUCAUCAAGCCAGCCAUGGAGGCGCUCCCGGCUGAUGACCAAAGGCCCUUUGAAGACCUCGUAAUGCGCGAUGAGAAGGAGGUGAUGCGGCAAUGGAACGAACAACGCGACAAGGAAGAGGCGGAACUGCUGCAUAAACUCUCCGAACGGCGCAAGGAGGCGGCGGACAAGUACUUGUCACACUUCACGAUGGAUCGCCACCAGAAGAUCGUCCGUCAAGGGGAGAUCGAUAUGGAAUCUCUCCUACCUCCACUGCAGGGUCCCGCUGUAAGUACUCCAGAUCUAUCUCUUACAACUUUCAUGGAUCAACGAGGAGAUCAGUUAAAGCAAUAUGUAGAUGAAUCUAUUAAAAUGCAUUUACGUGCAUACGAGAAAUCAGCUGCUCCUAAUUUUCCAUCGCGAGAGUCUAAUACAGUGCCACCCACGUCAAACACAUCGGCUAUAAACAGGUCACCUUUGACCUAGCCAUCAUAUGGUAUGUCGAUGCACGCUUUCGUGUCACCAUCACAGCCGCAACCACUAGGCACGCGACCGGACCGUCCGAGCAUCAUCUCAGACAGUCCGGUUAUACCGCGGACCGUCCGGCGUAUUUCGCCGGACCGUCCGACCAGAUGCAGGCCCGCACACAAAACACUCAGGUCGCACCGUACAUGGCCGGAUCAUCAGGGUACAACCCCUAAACACUUCGGCCCCAUCACGGACCGUCUGGUACAUCACGUCGGACCGUCCGGAUAUGUUGCGGACCGUCCGCCAUCUUACGCCGGACCGUCCGGAUAUGGCAUGAACCGGCCGAUGUAUUACGCUGGACCAUCCGACUCUACACGAGUCCAUGCGCAAACUGCCCAAGUCACGCCAUAUAUGGCCGAUCCAUCCGGGUACAGCCCUGGACCAUUCGGCCCGAUCGCGGAUCGUCCAGUUCUUUACGACAGACGGUCUGGGUACGAGACUACCCACGUAGCACCAUAUAUGGCUGGACAAUCCGGAUAUACCUUCAGACCAUUUGGCCAGGUCGCGGACCAUUCGGCCUCUUACGCCGGACCGUCCGGAUAUGCAUACGCAGAGCCGAGAGCUGCGCAAUACGCACAGUUCCCACAUUCAUCGCAGCAACAUUAUGGUGCCCCACCAGCAACACAUUAUAAUCAUGCCAUACCACCUCAUGGACAUAGGGCUGAAUAUUAUUCGACCACAAGAGAGCCUGAGGGGUAUAGGGCAGGAGCUGGUGACAUUAAUAGGACACCUAACACACACCUCAAACAUACCUGGGAGGAAAGCCGACAGAGUAAUGUCAGGCAACCUGAAAUCUCCACCCACAAACUCAAUGGAUGGUCGCCAGACAUGGCAGAGAGGGUCAGAGACGAGGUAGCCGGGAUGUUCAGGGACAAACUCGGUGUUAGUGUGUCAGGUACAGGGCAAUCGUAUCGGAAGCCUUAUAGUCACCGAUUCGACACCGUGCCAUACCCACAGGGAACUAGAAUACCAGACUUCUCUAAGUUUUCUGGUGAAAGUGGGAAAAGCACACACGAACAUAUAAGCCAAUUCAUAGCACACUUGGGAGAAUUGGCUGAUGGGGAAGCCUACCGUGUUCGUUUAUUCUCGUUGUCCCUUACUGAUACUGCAUUUGCAUGGUACGCAGCUUUGCCACCAAACUCUAUUAACUCUUGGGAAGAAUUAGAGCAAAAGUUUCAUGAACACUUCUUCUCAGGAGAACAUGAGUUAGAAUUGGCUGACUUAGCUCAGUCCGACAGGGGCCUGAAGAAUCGGUUAAUGACUAUAUCCGGAGAUUCCGGGACACUAGAAACCGAUGCUUUCAGAUUCAUGUCGCAGAAAAACAACUGACAGGGCUAGCUUUCAGUGGGUUGCGACCCUACUUAAAAGAAAAAUUAGAUGGCACCCAAUUAUUUUCACUAGUGCACUUACACCAGCGGGCUAUGACCUGUGAAAGCCGAAGUAAGGAAACAUCAAAAUCGGCUAGCCAUAAGAUGCAUCUAGUGGGAUACGAUAAUUCGGACGAUGAAUCCACGGAUGUAUACACCGCCGAACUGGUUUGGCCAGGACAGGCUAAACCUUCAGCGUGUUCUGCUUUACAGUCGAUUCGAAAGAAUCGACAAGACGAAGUUAAGUUUACUUUUAAUGUUGUCAAAUGCGAUAAAAUAUUUGACGAGUUACUGAAAAACGGCAACAUUAAAUUAACUCAUACUAUUCCUCCUCCUGAUGAAUUAAAGAGGCGUGCUUAUUGUAAGUGGCAUAAUUCCUUUUCUCAUGCUACCAAUGAUUGUAAUGUUUUUCGUCGACAGAUACAAUCGGCCAUAAAUGAGGGUCGAUUGGCUUUUCAGGAGAUGCAAGUAGACACACAACCCUUUCCUGUUAAUACAAUAGAACUCACAUGCAAAAAGGUCUUGGUUCGGCCCGAAAUGGCCGAUAAAGACAAAGGCAAGGGCAUCGUCAUCAGCAAUCCUCGCAUGUCAGAUAUAUCACAAAAGGAGAUUGCUCGAAAGGCUUCGGACGAGAAGGCUAAAAGGUCCGAAGACGCCGGGGGGCAGGUACAGUUAAUAAACCAAACACAUCAGCCUAGCCCCAGCAUCGUAGAUGGUCCGGCACCUACGUGCGGACAAUCCGGUGCUCAGACAAACGGUCCGGCUAACUCAGCCGGACAGUCCACCUAUGACCAAAGGCGUCAACCUCUACACAAAGCAAGGAAAAAGACGCAAGGUCAAAGCACAUACAAUCGGCUGAUCAAAGCCGAUCCUACUUUUGAUCAGUUGCUCUCCAAAAAUACUAGCAAAAAGACUGUUCCACGUGAUCGGUCAACAAAGAAACCCCGGUCACCUGCUAAAACAAAACGGUCAAACAAAACGACCCGAAAGGCGACACAACAAGCAUCGCCUAUUCAUUCUAUGAGACCAGGGUACUUUCCACCUAUUUACUCAUCGUCGGUAUAUUAUCCUGUUCAAACAUGGAAUGGCACGAUGAUGAAUCCAUGGUACAUGUAUAGUCCCUUCGUCUAUCCAGACUGGGGGGCACCUCCAUUCUAUUCCUUUUGAUCCAUUGAUCAAAUGGUCAUGGCCGAGAAAGAUACAAUCCGAAACGGCCUUUAUAUUGGUGCUUUAUUGAACAAUCUCCAUAUCGAAAAGCCGGUGACCUACAUCAGGAUUAGUUCAUAUGCUUUUGGUUCGUCAACCUUCACCAAAAGGCAGGGGGCAUAUGUUGAGCUCUAAAAAGAGCAAUGCGGACGGUCCGGCCCUGAGGCCAGACGGUCCGCGGUCCGGACUGUCCGCGGUGGUGACGCGGACAGUCCGCGCGCGCGCAGAGUCAGUUAGGGUUCCUAGUUUCUCGCGGGAUUUGUUACCUAAAACCGCGGGAUUAACUCGGGAAACAGUUGAAAACGGAUCCAGACCUCCCCCUUUAUAUAGAUGAAGGGCUACGGCCGAUUGAACCCCCAACAAUCGAACAAAUCAAGUCUAUUACUCGUUUUUACCUUAUGCAUUAGGAGUAGUUCUAGUCUAGUUCUAGUUUAGCCCUAGUUUAGUAUUCCAAUCCUCAAAUUCUCUGCCUCUCCUCGACUCUACGUCGAUUAGGGGAGUCUAGGUCGGCCGGCCCGAGCUUAGACAACUCCUAGGAUCUCUCCUCCCCGACGGGGUCCCUCCCGGGAGCGAGAUUCAGGCGCCGCCAGCGAUCCUCUGCCGCCCCUGCGCACGCGCGGACCGUCCAGCCGUCAGGCAGGGAACCCGGGCUCCUGCUGCACCAGGUCGCGGACCGUCCGGUCCUGUGCCGCGGACCGUCCGCGUCUGACCAGGGAGCACCGCCGCCUCACACCAGGUCGCGGACCAUCCAGCCCCAGGCCGCGGACCGUCCGCGGCUGACCAGAGAGCACCGCCGCCGGUUCUUCUUGAGUGAUUGGCGCUCUGAAAAGGCGUCAACAAUUUUCAGUUCUCCAAGAAUCGGAUGCUCUGAAUUUCAUGGGACUUGCCAUUGACUCGACUUCUUUUGUCAAGGUGAAGAAAAGUCAUGGAUGUUACAGGUUUCCAAUAAUCAAACGCUCUUUUUUUCGCAUCUUAAACUCCAACCAGGUAAAAGCUAAAAGCACCUACAGACCAAAAAAAACAGAAGACUUCAAUCGGAGUCGAACUGAACCAAGAUUUGGUCCAAAAACAGAUCAUCGCCUCAAAAAGCUACAGGUUGCUGGGCAGUCGAAUUGCUGCCAGGAGUUCCCUCUUCAGCUCCUCCCUUCUGAUCUUCCCCGUCGUGGUCACCGGAAAUGGCUGCCUCCACUGGUAAUAAGACCUUGGCACCUUAAAUCUGUUCAAUAAAAAGAAAAGGAUAUGGUAAGAACCAAGAAACCUUUGCUGCUGCUCAAACAGACGCGCGUUCACCACACGCGCUAACAUGUUUCUCAUCAGAAGAGUACAUCUGUACAUGAGGAGAGUGGAGAACACCUGCUCAGUUCUUUCGUCCUGCAGUGGCCAUGGAGGAUCUGAGGAGACACCUCCUCGCCUCCGCCUCGGUGCUCGUGCUCAGCUCUCGCAUCCACCCAGUUCCAGCCGUCCUUGACGCUGACACACGCAACGACUCUCUCCCCGAGACGGCUAUCCGGCACGCCGACCACCACAGCUCUCGCCACUCCGGGGUGCUGGGACAGCACCGAUUCAACCUGAACAACUCCAGGCGUUAGUUGUGAAACCAACAUGUUCACAUGUCUGCCAUUGUUAGAGGAUGGAAGAAGACAUGUGGAGUCUGAACUCUGAAAUGGUCAUGGAACAACGAGUACCUCUUCCGGGUAAACAUUUUCGCCUCCGGUCUUGAUGCGGCCCUUGUGCCUUCCCAAGAGCCACAGAUUACCCUCCUCGUCCACCCACCCAGUGUCUCCGGUGUCAAGCCAUCCGUUCCUGUCACACUCGGAUGAGUCCGCCUUGCCGUUUGCCCAGUAGCCAACCAUGGUGUGCAAGCCUCUGGUCAAGACGUUCCCGGUCGGCGAAGAACCGGCGGUGGUGCCGUCGUCAUCCAUGCCGAUCCGUAUCUCAACGUGCGGCGCCGGUUUGCCGACGCAGACACCUCCGUGGUGGCCGCACGGUUGGGUCUCCGGCUCCGGCUCCGGCUCUUGAAGCUUUGGCGUGGUGAGGGCCAUGAACGUCAGAGACGAGCAGGCCUCGGUCAUCCCUGUUGCAGAUUACAGAGCUACUGAAAUCCAGUCGACGUGUUACUGUCUGCACACGACGAAUGAAUCCUCAUGACACUGAAGAGCUAACUGGCAGAGAACGCCGUACGGCCGUACCGUAAGCUGAGAAAAUAGCAGCCCGAGGAAAGGAUUGCGAGGCUGCGUUUACGAGGUGGAGCGGCAGCCCGCCGCCGCCGUUCAGAAUCUUGGUCACCGUCGUCCUCCCGCAGCCCGGCGCCAUCUCCUCUUUCCUGGUCGAAGAAGACGGGAGAAACUCCGGUUAGGUGACUUGACUACCACUACCAGCGGCUGCGGCCUGCGGGGGCUCGUAGGGUUUCAGAGUGCUCUGGAGAUCGCUACCGAGCGUAGGACAGCAGGUCAGCCAUGAUCGCGGGGACGGUGAUGAAGCAGGUCACUCCGUGCUCCUGGAUGGCGGCGAACGCCGACCUGGCGUCGAACUUCGGCGCCAGGACGUGGCAGCCUCCGGCCAUCAGGACUGCCAUGCACGACGAGACCCCUCCGAUGUGGCACAGAGGCGCUGUGUGCAGGUAAACCUGCAGGGGCCGAAGAGUAGAGAGAGGGAUGCGAAAUUCUGGAAGUCAUACAACUUUUGGUUCUCUUGAGUCCUGAACUGCGUAAAGAGUCGCUAACAUGGCAUGGAAACUGUAUGCGAUAGUGCUUGUUGGGGUCCUGAAACCGUACGUACAUCGUCCUCGCCGUAGCCGACAAUGGCGAUCUUGGCGAGGGACUGGAUGAUCAAGGACGUGUGGCUUAUCGCUACGCCCUUGGGCCGCCCCGUGGUUCCUGGUUGGAUCAGAAUCAGAGUACGUACCAUCAGCUAUACAUCCUGUAGCCAAGUUUCUCGAUUUCAAUUCUAUUCGUUCUGUAACAGCCUGGUUUUUUCACCGGAUGUGAAGCAUAUUAGAGCAAUGUCGUCUGGAGCCGACACGGGCUCCAUCGCCGCCGCUGCCGUAGCUCCGCCGAGGCUCCCCGUGACGUCGGUAAUGGGUACAGCUGAAACCAACAUGUGUCCAAGACGAAAGCAAGCGUGUGUAAAUUGCAAGUGCUAGGUGCGUGCAGAGUCUCUUGUAAUGCCCACGCAUGCAACGCAAGCAAGAACCUCACCACAACCUGCAGCAGCGCGGCCGGUCCUGCAAGGAUCGCCCAGGAGGAGGUAGAGGCCGAUGGAUGGGAACCUGUCGCCCUCCAUCAGCCGAAGCGCCCAGGAGCUGAACGCGCCGUCGAAGGCGAACGCCGUCGGCCGCACGAGCUCCACCGCCUGCGCCGCCUCCUCGAAGCUCUGCUUCAGAACAGGGGGAGACGACGACGAAACUUACUUGCACUCUUUGCCGGAGUGAGUGCUGUGUGCUGUAAGAACCGAGAAAAGGAGAUGAAGUGGAGGAGCACGCACGCACCCAGCGGUAGUUGAGAGGGGCGAUGAUGGCUCCGGCGUAGGUGACGGCGAGGAACAGCUGCACGUACUCGACGCUGCGUUCAUGUACAGCAAUGGCUCAGCCCCCGAUCGUUUCCGCGGCUAACGAAUUCCAUGCGCCUAGGUAAGCAGGCAGGUACCUGUUGAGGGCGACGGCGGCGACGACGUGGCCAGGGCGCACCCCGCGGUCGGCGAGGCCAGCGGCCAGGCUCCGCACGCCGUCGACGAACUCCGCGCCGGUGAGCCGUCGGCCGCCUGGGCCGGCAGCGACGGCGGCGGUGGCGCUGCCGCGGCAGGCGAGGAUCCUGCCAAGGCACUGCGCAAUGUGGCCCUGGCGGUGGCGCGGCGCUGCCAUCGCCGGCUGGCGCCGUCGACCGAACUCUCUUUGCAAGGUUUGACGCGUGCGGCAAGGAGGGAGGGAGGAGGAAGAUAGCACGCGGCCACGACGGGGGACGUUGCGUUGCGACCACAGAUUGCAGUGCAGCUGACGAUUGACGAGAUAGUUAGGGAAGGCUGUGCUGACCGCUGACUACCACGGUACCACCUACUAAUGGGUAGCCUGCUCCCAUGUUUAAAUAGUAAAAAAAGGCUAAAAUUCAAAUAGGAAUUUGAACCAAUCUCACACUCACACACAGAUCACACACUAGUUGGGAAAAAAAGUGAGACGAUGCUAUUUAUAUUUGAUUAAGCAGGUGCUGACUGUUGGCGGUUCUGCCUACAGACCCGACUUGCUGUGUGUGCAGCAUAUUUCUUCGAAUUUCAAGUGCAUCAAUCAUUUAGAAUUUCGGACAAUGUGAUUUUAACUUGGGCCAAGCUUCUGGGCAACGUUAAGUUUCAUGACACUUUCAUCUUUCGCCGAAAGAUGAAAGAUGUGCUGAACUCUAGUUCGGAGACUAACCAAUCUUUUACGCAAAAAAAAUCCAAACGGAUUUGUUAGGUAAACAGCAUCAACCCGAGUGACACAACACAGGUACUUAAAAUUUAAGGAGAUAUCAUUGUCGAUUACACACGAUAAUUUGUCUGCUAAAAAAUAUAGGAAACAGUACUUGUAGAUGAUAAAAAAAAAAGCCAAAACUUGCAGCAGUUUGACGAAAACAGCAGCUCUAGUCGUCGAAGAGGCUGAAGCCCAUUUCCUCGUCCGACUCCUCUUCAGGCUCCGCAGCCUUCUCUUCUUCCUUGGGAGCAGCUGCAGCGCCAGAGUCCCCAGCAGCAACCGGGGCGGCAACAGCAAACUUGCUUGGGUCCUGCAAAACCAAACACAGAAAUUAGAAUACCUCAAAACACAUGGUUCCAAGACAUAAACUAGCUACAUCGUGAUCUGAUGAUACAGUACAUAUGAUAUGGACAAAGAAGCAUAGGUAUGCAUGGUAGUUUAAAUGCCAACAAGACACGUUCAUAGAUAUGGACUGUAAUCAAAUUAAACCAGAAUUAUACAAGGCCUUGAGUUGCUUAACAACUACCAUAGCCCGAGAAAACAAGUUUUACCUUGAGGUACUCCUUGAUCUUGUCAGCAUGUGGGUACGAGUAGUCUGUCUCGACAGCAACAGCAAGCACAUUCUUGUACCCAUUGAUGAACAUGUGGGGCACAGCAGCAAGGGUCGGGUACGAGAUCGCCAGUGACAGGGAGGCAACCAUGGAGACACCAGUGGCAAACUUCUCAAUCAGGUCCUCCUCGGAAAGGUCAAGCACCUCAGGGCUGAACACGGACCCAUCCUCGUAGACACUGGUGACCUGGAGGCCGUACGAGAAGGGGCGGAUACCCAGCUUGGCGAGCAGGGCAGACUCGGACGAGCCCACCUUUUCACCCUUCUUGAUCAGCUCCACAGGGGUGAUAAUUUCCACGGUACCCUUGUUAAUCUUGGUGGGGAUGUUAAGCACCUGGAACAAAUGACAAAUGAGAAAAGCGCCUUUGUGUGCUUGCAUUUUAGCUGUAUCACAGAGGUGUUGCUUCCAAGGUCACCUGGAAGAAAGAGGUCUGGGACGGAUCCAGCCCAGUGUUGCCAGGGGGCACAACAACAUCAACUGGAGCAACCAGACCAACACGAGCAGGAGCCCCCACCUGUAGCAAAAACACAUCAAAUUGUCAUUAUUAUUAAUAAUGAAUAAUAGCUUGACAUUGGUAGUGUAUGUGUAACAGAAACAACAAUGAUAAACAACAUCAAAAAGUGUUACAACACAUAUGCUUCCACAUUAUGGCUAUCAACAUAGGACAGAUAUGGUGCAUGAAAAACUGACUUGUUAUGCUAUUAUCAGAGAUGUUUAAUCAUGAAACUAAGCCCAGACAUUCUUAAAGCGAUAUAUACAUAGACGUGAAUUUAAAUUUAGUCUCACAAGUGCAAUAAGCGAUAUCACAAUACAGUAACAAACUUUUACAGCUAAGCUACCAACUGAAUGUGAAACAAUGCUAUGAAUAUAGAAUCCUCAAUACAUACAAAGAGCAUGUUUGGGUGCAUGAACUAAUUGCUACCUAUCUAAAAAUAGACAAAUUUAGCUCUGGUGCAUCCAAACAGGGGAGCUAAUUGGUAGGCUAUUUCUUUUGCGAAGUCUUCAACUAGUUGCUAGAGUACUAGCUAGCUAACUAUAGCUAAGUUUGGCUAAUUUUUAGCACUAACUAGUAAUUAGACAUGUGUAUACAAACAUGGCCCUAACAAAACAAUCUGCAAGUAUUUAGUGCAGGACAAUAGCAUAACAGAACGACUAUAUCCAGGUCACGGACCCGAGUUGCACAGAGCUAUAUCCAGGCAACUCGAUGUGAAUUUAAAUCUACUAUACGUGACAUCUCUCCAAGAGUACGGGACACGUACGACACAAUUUGCAUAAAAAAUAAAUUUUGUGCCGUGAGCCAUCGAAUUGCUACUCCGAGCAAGUGAUGUUCGCAUUAACAGGUAACAGCAAACAACAGGUGCCGGAAAAAACUACAGUUAUUCACCUUGUACUUGGCGACCUCCUCGCGCACCUCCUUGAGGUCUCCCUUGGUGAAGAUGAGGCCUACGUUGCCGACCAGGAGGUCCAUGAGCGGGUCAAAGGUGUGGUUACCGGUCUUCUCGGCGUACACCUUGAUGCAACGCCUGAUGAGCGUGUUCUUCCCCAUGAGCACCACCGAGUCGCCCCUGAGGCCCCGGCGGAUGUCCUGGAGCUGCUUGGAACCGACGUUGUCGGCCAGGGCGAUGAGCACCUUGGUGUACUCAUCGAGCAGGCUGCACAGCUUCUUGUCGUACGCGAUCUUCUUCUCCGCCUUAGUCCGCUUGAUCGCCAUCGCUGCAGAGGAACGCUAACCCUAGCUGGAGGAACGGAUCUGUGAAGGGGGGAGUGGAGAUACAAGGAGGAGGACCAAGCCUUCGUGAAGGGCAAGGCGGACGGCUUGCGGCGGCGGCGUCGCUUUAACCUAGCUGAUAAACGGCUGCGGCCGUGGUUUUUAUAGUGUUGGAGGGAGCAGGAGCGCUAGGGUUUCCUCCUUCCAUGCCGGCCAAGAUGGGCCUGCCUGUUUGUUGGGCUCCUGUAGUCGUAAACCGGGGCAGCAUCUUUUGCAUAGAAGCCCAAGCAUGAGUCCACUACAUCUCUACUCUCUACUUUUUUAUUUUUUUUUAUACUUAAAGCACCAGUUUCAACAAUCAUCCGCGUAAAAUGUUAAAAAACGGUGCAGGUGGUAGGGUGAAAGGGAAAUAGGCUUACACCUUUUCCUAGAUUGAUUUUGGUGGUUAAAUUGUCCAACACAAAUAAUUGGACUAACUAGUUUGCUCUAGUCUAUAAGUUUUACAGGUGCCAAAGGUUCACAACAAGCCAAUAAAAAGACCAAAGAUGAGUUCAAAUAAAGAGAGCUAAAGACAUCCCAAAGGCACCCUGGUCUGGCGCACCGGACUGUCCGGUGCACCACCGGACUGUCCGGUGCACCACCGGACUGUCCGGUGCACCACCGGACUGUCCGGUGCACCACCGGACUGUGUUCGGUGCACCAGGGAACUCGAAGCUGAACUUGCCACCUUCGGGAAAAUGGGAGGCCGCUCCGCUAUAAUUCACCGGACUGUCCGGUGUGCCAGCGGAGCAAUGGCUACUUCGCGCCAACGGUCGACUGCAACCGCAUUCAAUGCGCUACAGUGCGCGCCAGAGUCAGAGCACGCGCAGUUGGCGCACCGGACAGUCCACAGGACCUGUCCGGUGCACCACCGGACAGCCCAGAGGCCCCACCAGUCAGAGCUCCAACGGUCGAACCCUAACGGCCUGCUGACGUGGCUGGCGCACUGGACUGUCCGGUGCGCCAUGCGACAGACAAUCUUCCAACGACCACUUUUGGUGGUUGGAGCUAUAAAUACCCCAACCACCCCACCAUUCAUUGCAUCCAAGUUUUCCACCUUCCAACACAUUACAAGAGCUAUAGCAUUCAAUUCUAGACACAACCAAAGAGAUCAAAUCCUCUCCCAAGUCCGGAAUCACUCCAAAUCAAAUAGUGACUAGAUAGAGCGACAUUUGUGUUCAUUUGAGCUCUUGCGCUUGGAUUGCUUCUUUUCUUUCUCAUUCUUUCGUGUGAUCAACUCAAUUGUAACCGAGGCAAGAGACACCAAUUAUGUGGUGGUCCUUGCGGGAACUUUGUGUUCCAUUUGAUUGAGAAGAGAAGCUCACUUGGUCUAAGUGACUGUUUGAGAGAGGGAAAGGGUUGAAAGAGACCCGGUCUUUGUGACCACCUCAACGGGGAGUAGGUUUGCAAGAACCGAACCUCGGUAAAACAAAUCCUUGUGUCAUACUCUUUAUUUGCUUGGGAUUUGUUUUUCGCCCCCUCUCUCGGACUCGUUUAUAUUUCUAACGCUAACCUGGCUUGUAGUUGUGCUUAAGUUUAUAAAUUUCAGAUUCGCCCUAUUCACCUCCCCUCUAGGCGACUUUCAAUUGGUAUCAGAGCCCGGUGCUUCAUUAGAGCCUAACCGCUCAAAGUGAUGUCGGGAGCAUCCGCCAAGAGGGAGAUCGGGACCGGCGAGAAGUCCGCCACAAGCCAUGGGAAGGCUCCAUCCGGGGAGUCCGCCAACAAAGUGAAGGGAUCCCCUUCACACAACAAGUCGCAUCGGAGCGGUGACAAGAAAAAGAAGAUAAGGAAGGUGGUCUACUACGAGUCUGACUCUUCGUCGCCAUCCACCUCCGGCUCCGACACGCCAUCCGUAACUUCUAAGCGCCGUGAGCGCAAGAAGUUUAGUAAGAUCCCCUUAUGCUACCCUCGCAUUUCCAAACGUACUCCAUUACUUUCCGUCCCAUUAGGCAAACCACCUAUGUUUGAUGGUGAAGAUUAUAAUAUGUGGAGUGAUAAAAUGAGACAUCAUCUAACCUCACUCCACACAAGCAUUUGGGAUGUUGUUGAGAUUGGAGUACAGGUACCAUCACCGGGGGAUGAAGACUAUGAUUCGGACGAGGUCGCCCAAAUCUGACACUUCAACUCUCAAGCCACCACUAUACUCCUCGCCUCUCUAAGUCGAGAGGAGUAUAACAAGGUGCAAGGGUUAAAGAGCGCCAAGGAGAUUUGGGACGUGCUCAAGACCGCGCACGAAGGAGACGAGGUGACCAAGAUCACCAAGCGGGAGACGAUCGAGGGGGAGCUCGGUCGCUUCCGGCUUUGCCAAGGGGAGGAGCCACAAGAAAUGUACAACCGGCUCAAGACCUUGGUGAACCAAGUGUGCAACCUCGGGAGUAAGAAAUGGGAUGACCAUGUAAUGGUCAAGGUUAUUCUUAGAUCACUCGUUUUUCUUAACCCUACGCAAGUUCAAUUAAUAUGUGGUGAUCCUAGAUAUACACUAAUGUCUCCCGAGGAAGUAAUAGGCAAAUUUGUGAGCUUUGAGUUGAUGAUCAAAGGCUCAAAGAAAAUCAUCGAGCAAGAUGGCCCCUCCACGCUCGAAGCACAACCGGUCGCAUUCAAGGCAACGAAGGAGAAGGAGGAGUCUACAUCAAGUAGACAACCCAUCGACGCCUCUAAGCUCGACAAUGAGGAGAUGGCGCUUAUCAUCAAGAGCUUCCGCCAAAUCCUCAAGCAAAGGAGGGGGAAGGAUUACAAGCCCCGCUUCAAGAAAGUUUGCUACAAGUGUGGUAAGCCCGAUCACUUCAUUGCAAAAUGUCCACUAUCUAGUGACAGUGACAGGGAUAACGACAAGAAGGGCAAGAGGAGAGAAAAGAAGAGGUACCACAAGAAGAGGGGUGGCGAUGCCCAUGUAUGCCAUGAAUGGGACUCCGACGAGAGCUCCACUGACUCCUCCUCCGACGAGGACGCCCCCAACAUCGCCGUCACCAAGGGCCUCCUCUUCCCAAACGUCAGCCACAAGUGCCUCAUGGCAAAGGACGGCAAAAUGAAGAAGGUAAAAUCAAAAUCCUCCACUAAAUAUGAAACCUCUAGUGAUGAGGAUAACUCUUGUGAUGAGGAGGAUAAUUUGUGUACCCUUUUUGCCAACCUAAACAUGCAACAAAAAGAAAAAUUAAAUGAAUUAAUUAGUGCUAUUCAUAAGAAGGAUGAACUCUUGGACUCCCAAGAGGACUUCCUAAUUAAGGAAAAUAAGAAGCAUGUUAAGGUUAAGAAUGCUUAUGCUCUAGAAGUAGAAAAAUGUGAAAAACUAUCUAGUGAGCUAAGCACUUGCCAUAAUGUUAUUACCAACCUUAGAAAUGAGAAUGCUAGUUUAAUUGCUAAGGUUGAUUCAAAUGUUUGUGAUAUUUCAAUUCCCAGUCUUAGAGAUGAUAAUGUUAAUUUACUUGCUAAGGUUGAAGAAUUGAAUGUCUCUCUUGCUAGCCUUAGAAAUGAUAAUGAAAAAUUAAUUGCUAAGGCUAAAGACUUAGAUGUUUGCAAUGUUACAAUUUCCAAUCUUAGAAGUGAAAAUGACAUUUUACAUGCUAAGAUUGUUGAACUAAAAUCUUGCAAACCCUCUACAUCUACCAUUGAGCAUGUUUCCAUUUGCACUAGAUGUAGAGACAUUAAUGUUGAUGCUAUUCAUGAUCACCUAGCUUUAAUUAAGAAACAAAAUGAUCACAUAUCUCAACUUAAUGCCAAAAUUAAUGAGCAUGACUUGGAAAAUGGAAAAUUUAAAUUUGCUAGAAGCAUGCUCUAUAAUGGGAGGCGUCCUAGCAUCAAGGAUGGCAUUGGCUUCCAAAAGGAGACAAUGUCAAACUUAAUGCUCCUCCUAAAAGAUUGUCUAACUUUGUUAAGGGCAAGACUCCCAUGCCUCAGGAUAACGAGGGUUACAUUUUGUACCCUGUCGGUUAUCCUGAGCACAAGAUUAGGAGAAUUCACUCUAGGAAGUCUCACUCUGGCCCUAAUCAUGCUUUUAUGUAUAAGGGUGAGACAUCUAGCUCUAGGCAAUCAACCCGUGCUAAAUUGUCUAGAAAGAAAACUCCUAUUGCAUCAAAUGAUUCUAACAUUUCAUUUAAAACUUUUGAUGCAUCUUAUGUCUUGACUAACAAAUCCGGCUAAGUAGUUGCCAAGUAUGUCGGGGACAAACACAAGGGAUCAAAGACUUGUGUUUGGGUACCCAAAGUUCUUGUAUCUAAUGUCAAAGGACCCAAAACCAUUUGGGUGCCUAAAAUUAAGAACUAAAUUUGUUUUGUAGGUUUAUGCAUCCGGAGGCUCAAGUUGGAUCAUCGACAGCGGGUGCACAAACCAUAUGACAGGGGAGAAGAAGAUGUUCUCCUCCUACGAGAAAAACCAAGAUCCCCAACGAGCUAUCACAUUCGGGGAUGGAAAUCAAGGUUUGGUCAAAGGAUUAGGUAAAAUUGCUAUAUCACCUGACCAUUCCAUUUCCAAUGUUUUUCUUGUAGAUUCUUUAGAUUAUAACUUGCUUUCAGUUUCACAAUUAUGUAAAAUGGGCUACAACUGUCUUUUUACGGAUGUAGGUGUUACUGUCUUUAGAAGAAGUGACGAUUCAAUAGCUUUUAAUGGAGUGUUAGAGGGUCAGCUAUACUUAGUAGAUUUUGAUAGAGCUGAACUCGACACUUGCUUAAUUGCUAAGACUAACAUGGGUUGGCUCUGGCAUCACCGACUAGCACAUGUUGGAAUGAAGAAUCUUCACAAGCUUCUAAAGGGAGAACACAUUUUGGGACUAACAAAUGUUCAUUUUGAGAAAGACAGGAUCUGUAGCGCAUGUCAGGUAGGGAAGCAAGUUGGUGUUCAUCAUCCACACAAGAACAUCAUGACGACUGACAGACCACUCGAGCUCCUACACAUGGAUCUAUUUGGCCCGAUUGCUUACAUAAGCAUCGGCGGGAGUAAGUAUUGUCUAGUUAUUGUGGAUGACUAUUCUCGCUUCACUUGGGUGUUCUUUUUGCAGGAAAAAUCUCAUACCCAAGAGACCUUAAAGGGAUUCUUGAGACAGGCUCAAAACGAGUUCGGCUUAAGGAUCAAGAAAAUAAGAAGCGACAACGGGACGGAGUUCAAGAACUCUCAAAUUGAAAGCUUCCUUGAGGAGGAGGGAAUCAAGCAUGAGUUCUCUUCUCUCUACACGCCUCAACAAAAUGGUAUAGUGGAGAGGAAGAAUAGAACUCUAUUGGACAUGGCAAGAACCAUGCUUGAUGAGUACAAGACUUCGGAUCGGUUUUGGGCCGAGGCGGUCAACACCGCUUGCUACGCCAUCAACCGGUUGUAUCGACACUGAAUCCUCAAGAAGACAUCAUAUGAACUCCUAACCGGUAAAAAACCCAAUGUUUCAUAUUUUAGAGUCUUUGGUAGCAAAUGUUUUAUUCUUGUUAAGAGAGGUAGAAAAUCUAAAUUUGCACCUAAGGCUGUAGAAGGCUUUUUACUAUGAUAUGAUUCAAACACAAGGGCAUAUAGAGUCUUUAACAAGUCCUCUGGACUAGUUGAAGUUUCUUGUGACAUUGUGUUUGAUGAGACUAACGACUCUCAAGUAGAGCAAGUUGAUCUUGAUGAGCUAGAUGAUGAAGAGGCUCCGUGCGUCGCGCUAAGGAACAUGUCCAUUGGGGAUGUGUGUCCUAAGGAAUCCGAAGAGCCACCACAAGCACAAGAUCAACCAUCUUCCUCCAUACAAGCAUCCCCACCGACCUAAGAUGAGGAUGAGGCUCAAAAUGUUGAAGGAGAAGAUCAAGAAGAUGAGCCACCUCAAGAGGAGAGCAAUGAUCAAGGGGGAGAUGCCCAUGAUCAAGAUGAGGAAGAUGAACAAGUUUCAAGACCGCCACACCCAAGAGUCCACCAAGCAAUCCAACGAGAUCACCCCGUGAACACCAUCCUCGACGAUAUUCAAAAGGGGGUAACUACUCGAUCUCGUGUUGCUCAUUUUGUGAACAUUACUCUUUUGUUUCCUCUAUUGAGCCACACAGGGUAGAGGAAGCACUUCAAGAUUCGUAUUGGGUAAUGGUGAUGCAAGAGGAGUUCAACAAUUUCACAAGGAAUGAGGUAUGGCAUUUAGUUCCACGUCCUAACCAAAAUUUUGUAGGAACCAAGUGGGUUUUCUGCAACAAGCAAGAUGAGCAUGGUGUGGUGACAAGGAACAAAGCCUGACUUGUGGCCAAGGGAUAUUCACAAGUUGAAGGUUUGGAUUUCGGUGAAACCUAUGCACCCGUAGCUAGGCUAGAAUCAAUUCACAUUUUACUUGCCUAUGCUACUUACCAUGGCUUUAAGCUUUACCAAAUGGACGUGAAAAGUGCCUUCCUCAAUGGACCAAUCAAGGAAGAGGUCUAUGUUGAGCAACCUCCUGGCUUUGAAGAUAGUGAGUAUCCUAAUCACGUAUAUAAACUCCUGGCUCAAGCAAGCUCCAAGAGCAUGGUAUGAAUGCCUAAGAGAUUUUCUUAUCACUAAUGGCUUCAAAGUCGGAAAGGCCGAUCCUACUUUAUUUACUAAAACUCUUGACAAUGAUUUGUUUGUAUGCCAAAUUUAUGUUGAUGAUAUUAUAUUUGGAUCUACUAACGAAUCUACAUGUGAGGAAUUUUUAGUAGGAUCAUGACAAAGAAAUUCGAGAUGUCUAUGAUGGGGGAGUUGAAGUACUUCUUAGGAUUUCAAGUGAAGCAACUCCAAGAGGGCACCUUCAUUAGCCAAACGAAGUAUAUUCAAGACAUUCUAAACAAGUUUGGGAUGAAGGAUGCCAAGCCCAUCAAGACACCCAUGAGAACCAAUGGGCAUCUCGACCUCGACACGGGAGGUAAAUCCGUCGAUCAAAAGGUAUACCGGUCGAUGAUAGGUUCUUUACUCUAUUUAUGUGCUUCACGACCGGACAUUAUGCUUUCCGUAUGCAUGUGUGCAAGAUUCCAAGCCGACCCUAAGGAAGCUCACCUUACGGCCGUAAAACGAAUCUUGAGAUAUUUAGUUUAUACUCCUAAGUUUAGGCUUUGGUACCCUCGGGGAUCCACAUUCGAUUUAAUUGGUUAUUCGGAUGCCGAUUGGGCGAGGUGUAAAAUUAAUAGAAAGAGCACAUCGGGGACUUGCCAGUUCUUGGGAAGGUCUCUGGUGUCUUGGGCUUCAAAGAAGCAAAAUUCCGUAGCUCUUUCUACCGCCGAAGCCGAGUAUAUUGCCGCAGGCCAUUGUUGCACACAAUUGCUUUGGAUGAGGCAAACCCUUAGGGACUAUGGUUACAAAUUAACCAAAGUUCCUCUUCUAUGUGAUAAUGAGAGUGCAAUCCGCAUGGCGGAUAAUCCCGUUGAACAUAGCCGCACUAAACACAUAUCCAUUCGGUAUCAUUUUCUAAGGGAUCACCAACAAAAGGGGGAUAUCGAGAUUGCAUAUAUUAACACCAAGGAACAAUUAGCCGAUAUCUUUACCAAGCCACUUGAUGAACAAACAUUUAACAAACUUAAGCAUGAGCUAAAUAUUCUUGAUUCUCGGAAUUUCUUUUGAUGUUUUGCACACAUAGCUCAUAAAUAUAUCUUUGAUCAUGUCUCUUUUAUAUGCUAUGACUAAUGUGUUUUCAAGUAUAUUUCAAACCAAGUCAUAGAUUGAAAGGGAAACGGAGUCUUCGGCGAAGACAAAGGCUUCCACUCCACUCCAUUGACUCACUCAUCCUUCACCGUCGCUCCGCACCACUCUCCAACUUUGGUAUAAUCUUCACCCAUAUUUUUGUUUGCCAAAGGGGGAGAAAGUAGUUAUAAAAGGGGCUUAUAUUUCACUCAAGUAUCCAUUUUUGGCGAUUCAUGCCAAAGGGGGAGAAAGUAUGCCCAAAGCAAAAGGACCGCACCACCACCUAAUUUUAAAAUAAAGAUUUUCAAAUUGAUAUCUUAUUGUGUUCAAAAGGGGGAGAAAAUAGUAUCUUCGAAAAAUUGCAAAACCCUCUUGAACACUAAGAGGAGGAUUUCACUAAGGGGAGUUUUGUUUUAGUCAAAGGAAAAGCAUUUGAAACAGGGGGAGAAAAUUUCAAAUCUUGAAAAUGCUUCUUAAAAUCUUAUUCAUGUAUCCUUUGACCAGUUGCAAAAGGACUUUGGAAAGAAUUUACAAAAGAAUUUGCAAAAACAAAACAUGUGGUGCAAGCGUGGUCCAAAAUGUUGAAAAUGAAAAAGAAACAAUCCAUGCAUAUCUCAUGAGAAUUUAUUGGCUCAAUUCUUAGUAACCUUUGCACUUACAUUUUGCCAACUAGUUCAAUUAUGCACUUCUAUAUUUGCUUUGGUUUGUGUUGGCAUCAAUCACCAAAAAGGGGGAGAUUGAAAGGGAAAUAGGCUUACACCUUUUCCUAGAUUGAUUUUGGUGGUUGAAUUGCCCAACACAAAUAAUUGGACUAACUAGUUUGCUCUAGUCUAUAAGUUUUACAGGUGCCAAAGGUUCACAACAAGCCAAUAAAAAGACCAAAGAUGGGUUCAAAUAAAGAGAGUUAAAGACAUUCCAAAGGCACCCUGGUCUGGCGCACCGGACAGUGUCUAGAGCACCAAUGGACAGUGUCCGGUGCACUAGGGAACUCGAAGCUGAACUUGCCACCUUCGGGAAAACGGGAGGCCGCUCCGCUAUAAUUCACCGGACAGUGUCCGGUGUCACACCGGACUGUCCGGUGUGCCAGCGGAGCAACGACUACUUCGCGCCAACGGUCGACUGCAACCGCAUUCAAUGCGCUACAGUGCGCGCCAGAGUCAGAGCACACACAGUUGGCGCACCGGACAGUCUACAAGACCUGUCCGGUGCACCACCGGACAGCCCAGAGGCCCCACCAGUCAGAGCUCCAACGGUCGAACCCUAACGGCCUGCUGACGUGGCUGGCGCACCGGACAGUGUCCGGUGGCGCACCGGACUGUCCGGUGCGCCAUGCGACAGACAGCCUUCCAACGGCCACUUUUGGUGGUUGGGGCUAUAAAUACCCCAACCACCCCACCAUUCAUUGCAUCCAAGUUUUCCACCUUCCAACACAUUACAAGAGCUAUAACAUUCAAUUAUAGACACAACCAAAGAGAUCAAAUCCUCUCCCAAGUCUGGAAUCACUCCAAAUCAAAUAGUGACUAGAGAGAGCGACAUUUGUGUUCAUUUGAGCUCUUGCGCUUGGAUUGUUUCUUUUCUUUCUCAUUCUUUCUUGUGAUCAACUCAAUUGUAACUGAGGCAAGAGACACCAAUUGUGUGGUGGUCCUUGCGGGAACUUUGUGUUCCAUUUGAUUGAGAAGAGAAGCUCACUCGAUCUAAGUGACCAUUUGAGAGAGGGAAAGAGUUGAAAGAGACCCGGUCUUUGUGACCACCUCAACGGGGAGUAGGUUUGCAAGAACCGAACCUCAGUAAAACAAAUCCUUGUGUCAUACUCUUUAUUUGCUUGGGAUUUGUUUUUCGCCCCCUCUCUCGGACUCGUUUAUAUUUCUAACGCUAACCCGGCUUGUAGUUGUGCUUAAGUUUAUAAAUUUCAGAUUCGCCCUAUCCACCCCCCUCUAGGCGACUUUCAUAGGGUAAGAUAAAAAACAGUGCAGGAGGUGAGGUUUCAACCCACACCCUGAUAGAAGAAGGGUAGAGACAUUGGGUGAAGUUGUCUAACCAGUAGAACAUCAUGCUCAGCAGGUGGGGUAUGUUAAAAAGCGGUGCAAGAGGUGCGUUUGAACCCACACCCUGAUGAAAGAAGGGUGAAAGACAUUAGAUGAAGCUGUCUAACCAGUAGAACAUCAUGCUUAGGUGUUUAUAAUAUUGAAUAUAAAUUGUACAUAUGUAUAUAUGAUUUGUUUGUAAAAUAAAAAAAUUGUGCCGGACUGGGCCAACAGUACGGGCCGAGGCUACGGCCCAAGCACCGCACGACGCUCGUGUCGGGUUGCCUAGGCACUAUUAAAUGAGUUGUGCCUCGGGCCGGCUCGCCAAACACGACUCAUUUGGCCAUCUAUACCUCCACACGAUAAUGAUGGUCCUCACCUCAGUUGCCACCAUCUCGUUCGCCAUUCUACUUCUUUUCUCUCUCCCCUCAUGCCUCCACCUCCACGCCACCCCAUUCUCGGUAGAGGGCGUAGGAGCAUGCGCCUCCUCUCGUAUUCGUCCGACACCAGCCCCGACAUCGACUCGUGUAGUGGCUAUUGCACGUCCACGAGGACAUUUCACAUCAUGCAUGCACCAUCGUUUUCGCCGUCAUCGGACGUCACGUUCGUCUUCCUGGCCUUCGCCCUGUUCUUCCUCCCCAACCUGCUGCCCCAGCCCACAGUCGCAGCCACGAGCCAACUGAUGCUCGUCGACAUGGGUACGAGGCGAGUCGGUCAUGCUCCUGGCCUUUCAUCGUGCGUGUCGUUGAGGAGGAUAUGGUGGCGCAUGCCACACUUAGGUUAUCUUAGCGAUGAGGAGUCUAGGUCUGAGAUAUUGGACAACUAAGGCCCGUAGCGUGGUAGCAGUCAGCAUAUGCUACGAAGUUGGUGGUGGUGGUGUGUCGCUUCGGCGGGUCUAGGGCUGGGAAGACAUUCGCAUUCUCUCGCCCUUCUUGGACUGACGCCUGCUACGGGUGCCUCUCAGUUUGGAGCUGCUUCGGCUGGAAUUCUUUCUCCGCUUGUGUGCUCUCUAUAUAUAUCUAGCGGUAUACUAUCUAUGUCGCCUCUAGAUGUCGAGGUCUUUGUCGUGUCCUAACAAAACCAAAUUAAAGAACCAAAUUUUAGUAAUAAACCCAGAUAUUACCCAAAUGUACUCCCUCCAAGAGUAAAUACCAGAGAUCAUAAUUAUAACCAUCAUCAUUAAUCAUCAUCAUAAAAGUAUACAAAGUUCUUCUAAUCAAAGAGGAUCCCAAGGUCGCUCUUAACCGUGAGCACGACUGAUAUACCAGUUUCUAACACUCUAUAGAGGUCGCACACUUUACCCACAAGUCAUGAUUCCUAUUCUUCUCGGAGCUCAUGACUCUCCAUUGAUCACUGCCAAGGUGACCUAGCAGGGCCUCACUACGUAGCCUUUACAAAGAUUUCCCAGAGAUCAUAGCUGCCUGUGAGUGUUGGGCCUGUGCUUCGUCGCCGAAGGUCUUCUAGGAAGAAGCGGCCUUCGGCUGAAGCUGUUUGUAUAAGAUGGCCGAAGGUCCCUCUUCAUGAAGCUCCGAUAUUACAAACCGACUUAAAGAUAGAAUGACCUUUUAGUCCAUAAAGGUCUGAGUCAAUGUUGUAAACUUUUAUAAGGGGCAUACUUGUAAUCCCUCACAGGCUGCGCCCUGUGCCUAUAAAUAGUGAACAGUAUUCCUUUACUGUUCACGGAUUCUAGUAAUUGCAAUCGCAUAUUCUGGAAUUCAACCUUUUGUCAAGGCAGAGGUAUUAUUGUAUUCAAUGAUUGGAUAUAUUAAGAAAAUAUAAUAUAAUUCGUCUAUGACUUGUUUACCUCUUUUGUACCUUUUAUUUUAUGUCAUCUUGCAAUAUCUAUUGAAAUCUUAAUACGAAGAGCUAAGCUUCGUAAUUUUACUCUCAUCAACCUUCGUCCAAGACCCAUUAUCCUCAAGGGAAUAAUGUUUCAUGGACGAAGGACGUUGACAUUUAACAUUUUAUGUUGCCUUGUUCUUAAUUCAUAGCACUUGAGAACGAGUCUCCAACAUUGGCGCCCACCUCCGGUGAACUCACUUCCACUUUUCGAGCUGAUGGCUUCGUUCAACGAUCAAGCUGGAGCUGCUUCGGACCCGAAGCUGGUGCUCCCAAUCACAGGUGGUUCGUCCUCAGAGCCAGCUAACAAGAAACAAAAGAAGGAAGCACAGAGAAGGGUACAGCAUGUUGGGGUGCAAGGACCCUUCAUCAAGUCAAGAUGGUCUCAUAUUCCUAUUACCUUCUCCCAAGAGGACCUUCAGCUCAAGGAUUACCCACACAACGAUGCCAUGGUUAUCUCUUGUGUUAUCAAAGGAUUUCUGGUCCACAAUGUCUUGGUUGACACAGGCAGUGCAGCUGACAUCAUAUUUGCUAAGGCCUUCAGACAAAUGCAAGAGCCAGAAGAUAAGAUUCAUGAUGCUACACAUCCUCUCUGUGGCUUCAGAGGAAGACAAAUUGUAGCACUGGGCAAGAUUACCAUGUCAGUGACCUUCGGGUUCAUCAACAACACUAGAACUGAGCAAGUUGUGUUUGACAUUGUUGACAUGGAAUACCCUUACAAUGCAAUUAUUGGUCGUGGCACCCUCAAUGCUUUUGAAGCAAUUCUUCACCCUGCCUAUCUUUGCAUGAAGAUACCUUCGGAUCAAGGACCCAUCGCUAUUCAUGGAAGCCAGGAAGCUGCCAGAAGGGCCGAAGGAAACUGGACUGAUUCAAAAGCAAUCCAUAACAUAGAUGGAGCUGAAGCUUGUGAACAAUACAAAUUCAGAAGGGAGAAAGCAGCUUCAGCAGAUCAGCCGAAGCCCAUGCUCUUAUGUGAGGAUAUAGCAGAGCAGAAGGUGCUGUUGGGCUCUCAGUUAUCCGAAGAACAAGAGAAAACCUUGAUAAGGUUUUUGUUCAACAACAAAGAUGUUUUUGCAUGGUCAGCCAAUGAUCUCUGCGGAGUUAAUAGGGAUGUUAUUGAGCAUUCGCUCAAUGUCGAUCCAUCCUUCAGACCCAGAAAGCAAAGGCUUCGGAAAAUGUCAAACGAUAAGGCCGAAGGUGCUCGCAACGAAGUCAAAAGACUCCUCAGUGCAGGAGUUAUCAGAGAAGUAAAGUACCCAGAAUGGCUAGCUAAUACUGUCAUGGUAAAAAAGGCCAAUGGCAAGUGGCGAAUGUGUAUCGAUUUUACAGAUCUUAACAAGGCUUGUCCGAAGGAUGAAUUCCCAUUGCCAAGGAUAGACUCUUUAGUUGAUGCAGCAGCUUCUUCAGAGCUCAUGAGUCUGUUAGACUGUUAUUCAGGCUAUCAUCAAAUCUGGAUGAAGAAGGAAGAUGAGCCAAAGACUAGCUUCAUAACUCCAAGUGGCACAUCUUGUUAUCUUCGGAUGCCUGAGGGGCUCAAAAACGCUGGAGGAAGUUUCAGCAGAAUGACUGCGAAGGUUCUCCAGUCUCAGAUAGGCAGAAAUGUGCUAACUUAUGUUGAUGACAUCAUUGUAAAAAGCACGAAGCAGGAGAAUCAUAUUGCUGACUUGCAGGAGACCUUCGCCAGUUUCAGACAAGCUGGCUUAAAGUUGAAUCCAGAAAAAUGCGUCUUCGGAGUAAAGAAGGGGAAAUUUCUAGGAUGCUUGGUUUCAACAAAGGGAAUUGAAGCUAAUCCAAGUAAGAUUGAAGCUAUACUUCGGAUGGAGCCACCAACUACAAAAAAGGGGGCUCAAAGAUUGACAGGAAGGUUGGCAUCUCUCAAUAGAUUCAUAUCCAGAUCAGCAGAGAGAAACUUACCAUUCUUCGAAGUGCUGAAGUCAGCCGAAGUCUUUCAAUGGGGACCAAUCCAGCAGAAGGCCUUCGAAGAGCUGAAGCAGUAUUUAAUAGAUCUAACAGCACUAACUCCACCUAUGCCAGGGGCUCCUUUAUUAUUAUAUGUGGCAGCUUCGUACUCAGCGGUAAGUGCAGCACUUGUCCAGGAGAAGCUUGAUGGCCAAGCCAGGAAACGGGUCCCAGUAUAUUUUGUAUCUGAAGUUCUUAGUAUAUCAAAGAAAAACUACACAGAAUUAGAGAAGGUGUUAUAUGCUGUUUUGAUGGCAUCCAGGAAGCUUCGGCACUAUUUUCAAGCUUACAACAUAAUUGUUCCUUCUUCACAACCUCUGAAGGAUAUUAUGAGGAACCGAGAAGCUACUGGAAGGAUUGGAAAAUGGGCUGCAGAGCUCAAUGAAUUUUGUAUUGAAUAUGUUCAUAGAUCUUCGAUUCAGUCCCAGGCUUUAGCAGACUUCAUUGCUGACUGGACGCCAGGGGCUCAGGAGGAAGAAGCAAAUAAAGACACCGAAGCAUGGACAGUGUUUUGCGAUGGGUCCUGGGGAACCUUCGGAGCGGGAGCGGCUGCUGUGUUGGUUUCACCUUCCAAAGUUAAAACUUGUUAUGCGGCAAAGCUUGAUUUUAGUUGCACAAACAACAUUGCCGAGUACGAAGCCCUGCUUCUGGGUCUUCGGAAGCUAAAAGCAAUGGGAAUCAGAAGGGCUGUCCUUAAAACUGAUUCCCAAGUUGUUUCGGGUCAUAUCGACAAGAGUUGCAAGGCUAAAGAUCCGAAGCUUGAAAAGUAUCUGGAUAUGGUUCGAAGAGUUGAAGCUUCCUUCGAGGGAUUUUCUGUCAAAAAUAUCCCUCGAGGACAAAAUGAGCAUGCUGAUUUGCUAGCUAAGUCAUCAGCACAGGGGCUGCCCUUACCUUCGGAUGUGUUCUUCGAAACAAUAAAAGCACCUUCGGUGGAACUUCUUGAAAGAGCAGUCCUCAAUAUAUCUCCUGUUUAUAGCGAAGAUUGGAGGACUGAGAUCAUCUCUUAUCUUCAAGGUAAAUUCCUUUCAGAUGACGAAGCUUAUAACAGGAGGAUAGAGGCAAGAGCUCGUUCAUAUGUCAUGAUAGAAGGAGAGUUGUACAAGCAUGGAGUUUGUGCUCCGCUACUCAAGUGUUUAUCCAGAACCGAAGGUAUAGAGUUGAUGAAAGAAAUACAUGCAGGCCUGUGUGGAUCUCACAUUGGAUCUAGGCCGUUACUUGGAAAAAUUUUCCGCCAAGGAUUUUAUUGGCCGAAGGCAGCUUCGGAUGCAGCGGAAUUAGUCCAAAAGUGCGAAGGUUGUCAGAAAUGUGCACGAGAUCAAAAACAACCUUCGUCCUUAACACAGCUCAUACAACCUAUUUGGCCAUUGCAAAGGUGGGGCCUUGACUUGUUAGGUCCGUUACCACCGGCCCAAGGGAACCUAAGAUAUGUUGUAGUGGCGGUGGAAUAUUUUUCUAAAUGGAUUGAGGCAAAGCCUUUAGCUACAAUAACUUCGGCCACCGUCCAAAAGUUUUUCUGGCAGAAUAUUGUUUGUCGUUUCGGGGUACCAAAGGCUAUCACUGUGGAUAAUGGAACACAGUUUGACUCCGAAGCUUUUAGGGAUUUCUGUGAUCAAAUUGGUACGAAGAUCCAUUUUGCAUCAGUCAGACAUCCGGAGUCAAAUGGACUCGUUGAAAGAGCCAAUGGCAUUAUAAUGACAGGAAUAAUGAAGUCAAUCUUCAAUCAACCAAGGGGAAAGUGGCCAGAUCAGUUAACCAAAGUGGUGUGGAGCCAUAAUACAACAACAUCAAGGUCUACAGGCUUUACCCCAUUCAAGUUAUUAUUUGGUGACGAAGCAAUAACUCCAGAAGAAGCUAAAACCGGAUCAAUAAGGGUAGUAGCUUCGGCAGCAUCAGGUUCCGAAGCUGAUUAUUCUGUGGAAAAAGAUGCUUUAGAAGGGAUCAGGUUGCAAGCCGUGGAAAACAUCAACAAAUAUCAAGCCGAAACAAUUAAAUGGCGAGAUAGAAAGGUUCGGCUAAAGAAUAUUGAGCCAGGACACUUGGUGCUUCGGAGAGUGGCCAACCCAGAAACAGUGGGCAAGUUACAGUUGAAAUGGGAUGGACCUUUCUUAGUAGCAUCUUCGUCAAGACCCGGUUCAUACAGAUUGAAGGAUAUGGACGGCAACGACAUUCCUAGAUCUUGGAAUGCGGAUGAGCUUCGGCGAUAUUAUGUAUAAUUCGAUGUAAUUUUUCAUAUUUUUUAUUUUUCUUUCAUGGCACCCUUUUCCUUUCCGAAGGGGGAGAAAGGUUUUUAAUGGGGCCAUCACAUGUAAUUUCCUUUUUUAGUUCUAUAAGAGCAAAACCCCCCAAGGAAUGUAAAUGUAAAAACUGAGAACGCACCAUCGAGUGCCGAAAAGUAAAAACGAAGAAGCUCCAAGUCGUUCCUAAGGGAAUGCAGAGCUUACAGCGAAAAGUCAACGCUGAUUCCGCCAAAAGUAAAGGCGAAGAAGCUCCAAAGUCGUUCCUAAGGGAAUGCAGAGCUUACAGCGAAAAGUCAACGCUGAUUCCGCCAAAAGUAAAGGCGAAGAAGCUCCAAAGUCGUUCCUAAGGGAAUGCAGAGCUUAGGUGUGAUUGUUUUUAAGGAAAUAAUGGCUAUGAGUAUGGCUUGAGGUGUGAUUGUUUGGCCAUUCAUUUGCACAUCGCAUUACAUCAUAACAUUUGCAUUCAUAAACAUUCAUCCAGGCAUAUGUAGGAUAAUCAUCUUCAUGGCAUAAGCGGUUGCUUCGGCAAAUAAAAAAAAGAGAGAAAAAAAGGAGGGGAAGAAAGAGCUUCGUGUAUAAAAAGGAGAGCUUCGGAAAGAAGGAAAAUGUUGUUUUCUAUGCUUCGUUGCGUACGAAAAGAAGGGAAGGUGUUUUUUCGCCUUCGGCUCAAUAAAGAAAAUUUCGUCCACAUCAAAGCAUUUCUCAUACAUCAAUGGAAGGAUAAGGAUAUAUUACAAGGUAUGAAUAGAAUUCAUUAAAGACAAGUUUUAGUUACAUUUACAAAAGUUAUCUCAAAAGUUUCUCAAGUACUGUCUACAGUCUACUGUUUAAUCUCCAAGGAGCUCCAGCUUCGGCGUCAUUUUUUAAUCAUCGGCUUCGGCUUCGUCAUCCUACAUGAAUAAGGUCGUUGUAAGUCAAAAUCGAGCUUGCAAGAAAAGGUAAGCACAAGGUAUGGUUUCUUACUGGUUCAAGGUGGCUACGAGCUUCGUCUCCAGCCUUUUCUCGUCCACCUUUUGUCCAUAUCAUUUUUACAAAUCUAUUGGAGAUACUUCGGGCGAGAUCAGGAAUGUCAUCCAGGAUUGAUGGUGAUAACGUGAAAUUUGGCAUAUUGACAAUUUUUCCAUGAUCGCAGCCAGCUUUCAGGAAAGCUGCAGCAGUGCCUCGAGAAGCCACCCAGGCACAGAAGUCACCGUGCCCAGCUAUGACUUCGUCGAGCUCGUCAAUCUCACCCUCAAUAUGUUCGAAGGUCUUCGGUAAAUCUUCAGCUGAGGGGACGAAUUUUUCACUGCUGGCUCCAACUGAGUGAAAAUUUUUUCUUAAUCGAUGAAUGCAUUUGUUGCUAAAUUCCAGACAUUUUUCUUGAAGGCUUGUCAAUAGUUUUCUCAAAUCCGAAUUUUGUUGAGCUUCGGCUUCAAGUUUUGCAUUAAAAUCUUGCUUUUCUCGUUCGAACUGUUCAGACUGCGGAGAAGCUUCGUGUUCAGUUCUGUUAUUUUUGCUUCAGCUUCCGCCAAUGAACCUUCGGUUGCCUGGAGCUCAAAGUUCUUUUUCUCGAUAACAUCUGAUUGCUCCUUUAUUCUGCUUUCCAAAUUUUCAAUUAUAACUUCGUGUUUCUUGUCUUCAAAAUCUUGCUGCAUUUUCAAGGCUUUGCUCAAUAGCAUACUCUGCACGGAAACAACCUUCGUCAGACAUGUUCUCAAUAUUAGAAACAAUAAAAGUUAAGGGAAAAAUAGUUCACCUUGAAAUUGGAAUAAAAUAAGCUACCAACGAUAUGCUGUCGUCGGUAGCGGCUGAUGUCUGUUUCUAGCUUCGGAAAACCGAUACUCUUUGACAGAGUACCGAUAACUUUGGCCCCAGUUUGAUCUCGAAUACAAUCUAAUUUUUCGUCAUCAAUACCUCCGAAGAGGAGUGCUCCAGGUUUGUAUCCGCAGGAUUUUGCAUAUUCUCUAAGCUCUUCUCUUUCAGCUUUUGACAGUUUUUCUCCAACUAAAUUCUGGAACAUGAAGGCUUCGUUCUCUGAAGCUUCAUCAUCAAUUUCUUUCCCUUUCUCCGACGCUGCGGUCGCGGCCUCUUCGGCGGCAAUGGUAGCUUCUUCUGCAGCCAUGUCUAGCAGUAUUUUGUCAAUGUGUGCGAUUGUGCUCUCCAGGUUCAAAUCUUCAGCUGAGGCAGCUUCGGCAGCUGCGACCUCCGAAGGUGCAAUUUCAAUAUCUGUCCCUUCCGCAGCCGCUGGUGUUUUCUGAGCUGAAGCUCUUGGCGGUGUCUUGUCAAUUACUUCUGUCACAGUGAUAAUUAUUUGUCUUUUCGCUUUGAUUAUUUUCUUCGAUUUUUCGGGCUCCUUGUCCUUCUGAAAAAACUUUGUCAGUCGGGGCCUCAGUGGACUUAGCUUCGCAGGUAAGGAUUCAGUCAUUACCUUCAGAAUUUCCUCAACGUCAGCAACAGAGGGUGAUGCGGGGGUUUCUUCGUCGGAUAUUUUAUGCUUCGGAGAAGAUGCUUUCUUCCUCUUCGGAAUUUUCUUCUUUAAUAGUUCUUUUUCAUCUUCAUUUAAGGCUUCAGUUGUCCUUUUCCUUUUUUUGGCCUCCGGCACCUUUGUUCAGAUUUUCGUAAUCAGGGUAUUCGAAACCCAGGGCGUCCAGCACUCGGUUUAGUCUUCGCUUCGGACGGGUGCCGAAGGCUGCGGUCAUCAACUGAUCUUCUUUUUUAGAAUAAUUGCCAAGUAUUUCAUUGCACAUCGCUUCAAUCGUAUCCAGCCACUCUUGGCAAGGUGUUUUAAAGUAUUUCUUAAACUUGAAGUAGUAAGGUAAACGUACAAGUUCACCUUCUUUCUUUUCCCCCUGUAGCUUCGGCAUUUCCCAUUCUUUUAAACUGGGAAAAACUUUGAAAGCCAAAAACUCCUGAACUAGGUCCCUUGUGCUGAUAUGCUCUGCAAUAAUUCUGAAUUCAUUCAUUGCUUGUUGCGUUGGACCUUCGGGUGUCAUAUUGCAGCGAGGUCGGGUUUCUCCGAAGAUUAAUUCGAGUGGACUUUGCACAAGCUUUUCCUUGUCGUCAUCAACCUUAACAUAGAACCACUCUGAUUUCCAGCCUGCUGCCCAUUUGCUUCGGUAGCUAAUUACAGGAAACUUUGUAGAUUUCCGAUAGGCGAAGUUAUAGCAACCAAAAUUGUCGUGCAAUCCAUCCUUUCUAGCCUUUGUUUGAUAAUGCAACUCGUGAACCCGGCAAAAGCUGUCCGCAAAUGGUUCCACUGCUUGGCUUCGGAGUGCCCAGAUAUAAACAAUAAGUCUGACGAUAGCGUUAGGGGUCAGCUGGUGAAAAUAGAUACCGAACCUCUUCAGUAUCUCUGCAAUAAUCCCAUGUAGGGGGAAUCUUAAUCCAGCUUUUAGAAAGCUUUUGAAAAUAACAAUUUCAUCCUUCUCCGGCUUUGGGGUAGUCUCCUCUCCCCCGAAGCGCAAUAGCUUCUUCUGAUUUUCAGUAAAAAAGCCCGAUUUUACCAUCUUGGACAGAUCAGCCUUCGAAACAGUAGAUUUCCCGAAGUCCAAAUGGCUGGGUUUGCUUGGCAUAGCAAUGCGAUAAUCAUCUUCGGGAUCAGUUUCCUCAAUAUCUUCUUCCUCUGCUUCAGCGAUUGCUUGUUCUGCAUCUUCACUAGGAAUCUUUUCUGAAGUCACUAGCCCGGAUCGUUGCAUGGCUUCGGAAAUGGGGACAGUCUCCGAAGCUUCAGUUUCAUCCCCCUCACGUUCAACCCUGGCGGUAGAGCGCACUCUGGCCAUUUAAUUAUGAACUUGUGGAACUUUAAUACUUUCUUCCUCCGAAGCAGGUUUCAAACAGGAGCUUCGUUCGAUUCCGACAGACACGCUUCGGCGACGGUUAAAAAUUUUGGCAGCAAAACAGUGCAAAUAGCAAUGAAUGCUGUGGUAACUUCACACCUACUCGUCUGUUUAUAUAGUGCUGCAGGUAAGAAGGCGAAGCGCCAGGAUUUUUACACCAGGCGGACACCCGCUCGCACUCGCUGCGUGGUGGACCGCAGAGACCGAACAGUAACUCUGAAAGGUGGGGCCGCUACACGCUGAGAAAUUGAAUCGUUUCUCGACAACGAGCUCAGGGAAGGUGUUUUUAGACCUUCGGCGCUCCGAAGCUUAAGAGACUUUUUUCACGGAUCAAGCUCGUUACGAAAAACGAUCUAGCACCGCGAAAGGGGCUACUGUUGGGCCUGUGCUUCGUCGCCGAAGGUCUUCUAGGAAGAAGCGGCCUUCGGCUGAAGCUGUUUGUAUAAGAUGGCCGAAGGUCCCUCUUCAUGAAGCUCCGAUAUUACAAACCGACUUAAAGAUAGAAUGACCUUUUAGUCCAUAAAGGUCUGAGUCAAUGUUGUAAACUUUUAUAAGGGGCAUACUUGUAAUCCCUCACAGGCUGCGCCCUGUGCCUAUAAAUAGUGAACAGUAUUCCUUUACUGUUCACGGAUUCUAGUAAUUGCAAUCGCAUAUUCUGGAAUUCAACCUUUUGUCAAGGCAGAGGUAUUAUUGUAUUCAAUGAUUGGAUAUAUUAAGAAAAUAUAAUAUAAUUCGUCUAUGACUUGUUUACCUCUUUUGUACCUUUUAUUUUAUGUCAUCUUGCAAUAUCUAUUGAAAUCUUAAUACGAAGAUCUAAGCUUCGUAAUUUUACUCUCAUCAACCUUCGUCCAAGACCCAUUAUCCUCAAGGGAAUAAUGUUUCAUGGACGAAGGACGUUGACAUUUAACAUUUUAUGUUGCCUUGUUCUUAAUUCAUAGCACUUGAGAACGAGUCUCCAACAGUGAGGUUUCUCCAGUUUGAUAAACACAAUACCUCUCCCCAAAGGAAGGGUGACUAACAAAACCAAAUCAAAGAACCUUUGCAACUAGCCUCGGUAGAGCAAAAACUAUGCCCGAACCCCAUUGAUGACCCUACGACAAAGCCAACUACACCUUAGGUUCCUCUAAUUAAUCAGCUAAGGGCAUCCCAUUUCACCCUCAUGGUUGCACAGUUAUCCCGGGUGGUCACUCCACGAACAGGUUCUUACGGAGAGGUACUCAGGAAAAUGGCCCGAGUCCCCUAAAGUAUCAUAAGAUCAUCAUCGGGAUAACAUCAUCGUAUCAUAAAUAUUCACAUCAUGUUUAUUGAUUAAGUUAAAGCGAUAGCAUAACGCUAACCAUAGUAAUCCAAAAGGUAAACAAGGAUAAGGUAAGUACAGACUAGUCAAUCCUUAGGUUGCAAUUAAGUAAUGCGGGACGAUGAAUUAUAAAGUAUAUAGGACAUAAUGCGUUAAAUGACACUUGCCUUCACCAGGUUGUUGCUUAGGAAGAUCUUCGGCAACACGCUCAGGAACCACGGGCUGCUCAUUGUCUAAAUAAAGUGAUCAUGCAUUCAAUACAUUUAAAUAGAGACAAGGAACAUGUCACACCCGGGCUUUAAGGGAUAAAGUCGGGUGCAUCUCAUACAUGCGCCAAAGAAGACAACAUAUAUAAUCACAGAGUGUAUAGAGAUAAAUGUCACAAUAAUCAGAGUCUUUAAUACAUAGAGGAAAUCUUACAAAAUAAAAGAUAAAUAUAAAACGAACUAAGGAUCAUCCUUGGCGCAAAAGUCAACUCGGGAAACGCCACCUAGAUCAGAUCAAACUCCUCGCUUUGUGGCUCCUCCUGAACCACCUGUUCUUCUCCUGUGGGGGGGUGUGAGACAACAAGAGUGAGCUCACACAUGAUCAUAGCUCAACAAGUUGUGGGGAACCAGUGGCAUGAACUCUCCAAAUGUGGGAGUUCAUGUGAUGUGUAAGGCUAAUCAACAACACGGGUUAAAGCUGAGCAUUGCUUUUAAGUAGUUGGUCAAAAUUUUAUUAGAAGUUACUAAAUGUAAGUAAAUGCCAAACCUUAAAUAAAAUAAUAGAACAAAAUUAAUAAUAAUCCCAUGCAUAUGCAAAUGACAAAUUGAUUUUAAGUUACAUAAAUUAAUCAUCAGAGAGUCCUGAGCUGCUCGUGACCGUGAGCUCGGCUAGUAUACUAGUUUUACACUCUGCAGAGGUUGUACCCUUUACCCACAAGUCGUGUUUCCCAUGACGCCAGGGCUAGCUAGACCCUUAGACACUACCGAGGUGAAUGGCUAGGGAUCCACUAUGAGACCUUUACAAAGUUCCACUAGCUUCCUGUCGGGGACCAUAAUUAGGGGUACCCUCAAGACGCCUAAUUCUCAGCUGGUAACCCCCAUCAGCAUAAAGCUGCAGAGGCCUGAUGGGUGCGAUUAAGUCAGGGAUCAGUCCAUACGAGCGACUCGAUCACGUCUCGCCCGAGCCUAGCCUCGGGCAAGGGCAGCCGACCCCGAGGGAUUUCCGUCUCGCCCGAGGCCCCCCUUUAACGGCGGACACAUCUCCGGCUCGCCCGAGGCCUUGCCUUCGCUAAGAAGCAACCCUGACUAAAUCGCCGCGCCGACCGACCGAGUCGCAGGAGCAUUUAACGCAAAGGUAGCCUGACACCUUUAUCCUGACGCGCGCCCCCCGGUAGAGCCGAAGUGACCACCGUCACUUCGCCGCUCCACUGACCGGUCUGACAGAAGGACAGCGCCGCCUGCGCCACUCCGACUGCAGUGCCACUUGACAGAGUGAGACUGACAGGCAGUCAAGCCCUGCCAAAGGCGCCAUAGGAAACUCUGCUCCGCCCGACCCAGGGCUCGGACUCAGGCUAAGCCCCGAAGACGGCGAACUCCGCUCCGCCCGACCCAGGGCUCGGACUCGGGCUAAGCCCCGGAAGACGGCGAACUCCGCUCCGCCCGACCCAGGGCUCGGACUCGGGCUAAGCCCCGGAAGACGGCGAACUCCGCUUCGCCCGACCCAGGGCUUGGACUCGGGCUAAGCCCCGGAAGACGGCGAACUCCGCUCCGCCCGACCCAGGGCUCGGACUCGGGCUAAGCCCCGGAAGACGGCGAACUCCGCUCCGCCCGACCCAGGGCUCGGACUCGGUCUAGGCCCCGGAAGACGGCGAACUCCGCUCCGCCCGACCCAGGGCUCGGACUCGGGCUCAGCCCCAAAAGAUGACGAACUCCGCUUCGCCCGACCCAGGGCUCGGACUCGGGCUCAGCCCCAGAAGACGACGAACUCUGCUUCGCCCGACCCCAGGGCUCGGACUCUGCCCUGGCCUCUGCCGAACGACCUCCGCCUCGCCCGACCCAGGGGCUCGGGCUCGGCCUCGGCCAUGGAAGACAGACUCGACCUCGGCUUCGGAGGAACCUCCACGUCGCCCGACCUAGGGCACAGGCCCACCACGUCAACAGGAAGCGCCAUCAUCACCCUACCUCGAGCCGACUCGGGCCGCAGAGAACAAGACCGGUGUCCCAUCUGGCUAGCUCCGCCAGAUAGGCAAAGAUGGCACCCCACAAGCCCUGUGACGACGGCGGCUCUCAGCUCCCUUACGGAAGCAGGGGGACGUCAGCAAGGACUCAACCGCUCCGACAGCUGUCCCUCCGCCAGGCUCCGUUGCUCCUCCGACAGCCACGACAUCGCACCAGCAGGGCGCCAAGAUCUCUCCGGCUGCCACAUUGGCAUGUACUUAGGGCGCUAGCUCUCCCCCGCUAGACACGUAGCACUCUGCUACACCCCCAUUGUACACCUGGAUCCUCUCCUUACGCCUAUAAAAGGAAGGACCAGGGCCUUCUUAGAGAAGGUUGGCCGCACGGGGACGAGGACGGGACAGGCGCUCUCUUGGGGCCGCUCGCUUCCCUCACCCGCGUGGACGCUUGUAACCCCCUACUGCAAGCGCACCCGACCUGGGCGCGGGACGAACACGAAGGCCGCGGGAUUUCCACCUCUCUCACGCCCGUCUCCGGCCACCUCGCUUCCCCCCUUCGCGCUCGCCCACGCGCUCGACCCAUCUAGGCUGGGGCACGCGGCACACUCACUCGUCGGCUUAGGGACCCCCCGGUCUCGAGACGCCGACAGUUGGCGCGCUAGGUAGGGGCCUGCUGCGUGCUGACGAACAACUUCCCGUCAAGCUCCAGAUGGGCAGUCUCCAGCAACCUCUCCGGCCCGAGACGGUGCUCCGUUUCGGGAGUCUUGAGUUCAUGUCCUUCGACGGCAGCUACGACAUGAUACUCCUUCCACCGCCGCGCGACAACGACAAUGGCGGCCGACAACCCGCCCACCGGCGGCGGAAUCGACAACAUCUUCCCCGCGUGGUGGAGGAACAACAUUCGAGCUCGCCCCGUCCUCUCCCCCGCCAACGGAGGAGGAGGCGGGGCAACCAAGGCCAAGCGGGAGGCCGCGCUUCAUCGGCUGUCGAGCAAAUCGAUGUCCCCAGCGCCCCAACGGGGAGCGCGUCGGGCGUCGACCUCGCGUUUGAGACGAAGGCGAGCGCCGUCCCCCCGCGACACACCAAUCCCGAGCAAGUGGACGACGCCAGCGCGCUCGCGGAGGGCUUGCAGGACGUCGCCCUCGUACCUAAGACGACGGUGCAAUCAGUCCCCGACGUGACUAUGUCGCUCCUCGUCGACCAAAAGGUACUGACUGAUUCCCAUCCUACGUCAUUUCGACUCGGCAUCAACCCGCCUAGCGACCUCGCUUUGGCGGGCGCUCUCGUUGAGGCGAGUGCAACCCCUCUGGGUUUUGUAUGCGGUCGCCUUGGGACCGAUUGACGGACGUCUCGACCUACGGGCCCUCUAGGUCCGAGGAAGAUGACGAUCCCAGCAUAUGUUGGGAUUUCUCUGGAUUUAGCAACCCCAGUGCCAUGCGGGACUUUAUGACCGCAUGUGACUACUGCCUCUUCGACUGUUCCGACGGUAGCCGCAGCCUUGACGACGAGGACUGCGGCCCAAGCCGCGAAUGUUUCCACGUCGAGCUAGGGGAUCCCUCCGAAGGUAACCAUCUCGGCAUGCCGGAGGACGGUGAUCUCCCUAGGCCGGUGCCUCGCGCUGACAUCCCGCGGGAGCUAGCUGUGGUCCCCGUUCUGGCGAGGGGUCAUGACCCACAGCUCGAGCAAGUCCGCGGGGCGCAGGCCAGGCUCGACAAGGGAGCAGGAGCGCUUGAGUUGAUCCGCCGGGACGUCGGGCAGGUAUGGGCGGGCCAACCCCCGGCCGGAGAAAUACGUCACCUGCCCCAGGGUUUCCAGCACCGCGUCGCCAACGACGUCAGGGUCAGGCCGCCACCCGCAUCCAGCGGGGUCGAUCAGAACCUGGCAGCCGCAGCGAUGCUCCUCCGCGCGAUGCCGGAGCCAUCAACCACCUAGGGUCGGCGAAUCCAGGGAGAGCUCAAGAAUCUCCUGGAAGGCGCUGCGGUCCGACGGGCCGAGGGCUCUGCCUCUCGAAGGCAGGGAUACCCCUCAGAACCUCAUGCCGCGACUUCCCGAUUCAUGCGGGAAGCCUCGGUCUACACCGAGCGCACGCGCAACACCGCGCCUGCGGCCCCGGGCCACCUCGGCAACGAGCACCAUCGUCGCGACCGUCGGGCCCACCUCGACGAAAGGGUGCGCCGAGGCUACCACCCUAGGCAUGGGGGACGCUACGACAGCGGGGAGGAUCGGAGUCCCUCGCCCGAACCACCCGGUCCGCAGGCCUUCAGUCGGGCCAUCCGACGGGCGCCGUUCCCGACCCGGUUCCGACCCCCGACUACUAUCACAAAGUACUCGGGGGAAACGAGACCGGAACUGUGGCUCGCAGACUACCGCCUGGCCUGCCAACUGGGUGGAACGGACGACGACAACCUCAUCAUCCGCAACCUCCCCCUGUUCCUCUCCGACACUGCUCGCGCCUGGUUGGAGCACCUGCCUCCGGGGCAGAUCUCCAACUGGGAUGAUUUGGUCCAAGCCUUCACCGGCAAUUUCCAGGGCACGUACGUGCGCCCCGAGAAUUCCUGGGACCUCCGAAGCUGCCGGCAACAGCCGAGAGAGUCUCUUCGGGACUACAUCCGGCGAUUCUCGAAGCAGCGCACCGAGCUGCCCAACAUCACCGACUCGGAUGUCAUCGGCGCGUUCCUUGCCGGCACCACCUGCCGCGACCUGGUGAGUAAGUUAGGUCGCAAGACCCCCACCAGGGCGAGCGAGCUGAUGGACAUCGCCACCAAGUUCGCCUCUGGCCAGGAGGCGGUCGAGGCUAUCUUCCGAAAGGACAAGCAGCCCCAGGGCCGCCCAUCGGAAGAGGCUCCCGAGGCGUCUACUCCACGCGGCGCCAAGAAGAAAGGCAAGAAGAAGUCGCAAGCGAAACGUGAUGCCGCCAACGCGGACCUUGUCGCCGCCGCCGAGUACAAGAACCCUCGGAAGCCCCUCGGAGGUGCUAACCUCUUUGACAAGAUGCUCAAGGAGCCGUGCCCCUACCAUCAGGGGCCCGUCAAGCACACCCUUGAGGAGUGCGUCAUGCUUCGGCGCCACUUCCACAGGACCGGGCCACCCGCGGAGGGUGGCAGGGCCCACGACGACGACAAAAAGGAAGAUCACCAAGCAGGAGAGUUCCCCGAGGUCUGCGACUGCUUCAUGAUCUACGGUGGGCAUGCGACGAAUGCCUCGGCUCGGCAUCGCAAGCAAGAGCGCCGGGAGGUCUGCUCGGUGAAGGUGGCGGCGCCAGUCUACCUAGACUGGUCCGACAAGCCCAUCACCUUCGACCAAGCUGAUCACCCCGAUCACGUGCCGAGCCCGGGGAAAUACCCGCUCGUCGUCGACCCCAUCGUCGGUGACGUCAGGCUCACCAAGGUCCUGAUGGAUGGGGGCAGCUGCCUCAACAUCAUCUACGCCGAGACCCUCAGGCUCCUGCGCGUCGAUCUGUCCUCCGUCCGAGCAGGCGCUGCGCCCUUCCACGGGAUCAUUCCUGGGAAGCGCGUCCAGCCCCUCGGAUGACUCGACCUUCCCGUCUGCUUCGGAACGCCCUCCAACUUCCGAAGGGAGACUUUGACGUUCGAGGUGGUCGGGUUCCGAGGAACCUACCACGCGGUACUGGGGAGGCCAUGCUACGCGAAGUUCAUGGCCGUCCCCAACUACACCUACCUGAAGCUCAAGAUGCCGGGCCCCAACGGGGUCAUCACCGUCGGCCCCACGUACAAACACGCGUUCGAAUGCGACGUGGAGUGCGUGGAGUACGCCGAGGCCCUCGCCGAGUCCGAGGCCCUCAUCGCCGACCUGGAGAACCUCUCCAAAGAGGUGCCAGACGUGAAGCGUCAUGCCGGCAACUUCGAGCCAGCGGAGACGGUUAAGGCCGUCCCUCUCGACCCCAGUGGCGACACCUCCAAGCAGAUCCGGAUCGGUUCCGGGCUCGACCCCAAAUACGAAGCAGUGCUCGUCGACUUUCUCCGCGCAAACGCCGACGUCUUUGCGUGGAGUCCCUCGGACAUGCCCGGCAUACCGAGAGAUGUUGCCGAGCACUCGCUGGAUAUUCGGGCCGGAGCCCGACCCGUCAGGCAGCCUCUGCGCCGAUUCGACGAGGAGAAGCGCAGAGUGAUAGGCGAGGAGAUCCACAAGCUAAUGGCAGCAGGGUUCAUCAAAGAGGUAUUCCAUCCUGAAUGACUUGCCAACCCUGUGCUUGUGAGAAAGAAAGGGGGGAAAUGGCGGAUGUGUGUAGACUACACUGGUCUCAACAAAGCAUGUCCGAAGGUUCCCUACCCUCUACCUCGCAUCGAUCAAAUCGUGGAUUCCACUGCUGGGUGCGAAACCCUGUCCUUCCUCGAUGCCUACUCAGGGUAUCACCAAAUCCGGAUGAAAGAGUCCGACCAGCUCGCGACUUCUUUCAUCACGCCCUUCAGCAUGUACUGCUAUGUCUCCAUGCCGUUCGGUUUGAGGAAUGCGGGCGCGACGUACCAGCGGUGCAUGAACCAUGUGUUUGGCGAACACAUCGGUCGCGCAGUCGAGGCCUACGUCGAUGACAUCGUAGUCAAGACAAGGAAGGCUUCCGACCUCCUCUCCGACCUUGAAGUGACAUUCCGAUGUCUCAAAGCGAAAGGCGUCAAGCUCAAUCCCGAGAAGUGUGUCUUCGGGGUGCCCCAGGGCAUGCUCUUGGGGUUCAUCGUCUCCGAGCGAGGCAUCGAAGCCAACCCGGAGAAGAUCGCAACUAUCACCAGCAUGGGGCCCAUCAAGGACUUAAAAGGCGUAUAGAGGGUCAUGGGAUGUCUCGCGGCCCUGAUCCGCUUCAUCUCACGCCUCGGCGAAAGAGGUCUGCCUCUGUACCGCCUCUUAAGGAAGGUCGAGUGUUUCGCUUGGACCCCUGAGGCCGAGGAAGCUCUCAGGAACCUGAAGGCGCUCCUUACAAAGGCGCUUAUCUUGGUGCCCCCAGCUGAUGGAGAAGCCCUCUUGGUCUAUGUCGCCGCGACCACUCAGGUGGUUAGCGCCGCGAUUGUGGUCGAGAGGCAAGAAGAGGGGCAUGCAUUGCCCGUUCAGAGGCCAGUUUACUUCGUCAGCGAGGUACUGUCCGGAACCAAGAUCCGCUACCCACAAGUUCAGAAGCUGCUGUAUGCAGUGAUCCUGACGAGGCGAAAGUUGCGACAUUACUUCGAGUCUCAUCCGGUAACUGUGGUGUCAUCCUUCCCCCUGGGGGAGAUCAUCCAGUGCCGAGAGGCCUCGGGCAGGAUCGCAAAGUGGGCGGUGGAAAUCAUGGGCGAGACAAUCUCGUUUGCCCCUCGGAAGGCCAUCAAGUCCCAGGUAUUGGCGGACUUCGUAGCCGAAUGGGUCGACACCCAGCUGCCGACGGCUCCGAUCCAACCGGAGCUCUGGACCAUGUUUUUCGACGGGUCGCUGAUGAAGACGGGAGCCGGCGCGGGCCUGCUCUUCAUCUCGCCCCUCGGGAAACACCUACGCUACGUGCUACGCCUCCAUUUCCCGGCGUCCAACAAUGUGGCUGAGUACGAGGCUCUGGUCAACGGGUUGCGGAUCGCCAUCGAGCUAGGGGUCAGACGCCUCGACGCCCGCGGUGACUCGCAGCUCGUCAUCGACCAAGUCAUGAAGAACUCCCACUGUCGCGACCCGAAGAUGGAGGCCUACUGCGAUGAGGUUCGGCGCCUGGAAGACAAGUUCUACGGGCUCGAGCUUAACCACAUCGCUCGGCGCUACAACGAGACUGCGGACGAGCUGGCAAAAAUAGCCUCGGGGCGAACGACGGUUCCCCCGGACGUCUUCUCUCAGGAUCUGCAUCAACCCUCUGUCAAGAUCAACGACACUCCCGAGCCCGAGGCACCCUCGGUCCAGCCCGAGGUACCCUCGGCUCAGCCCGAGGCGUCCUCGGUUCAGCCCGAGGUACCCUCGGCCCCCAAGGGCGAGGCACUGCACGUCGAGGAGGAGCAGAACGGGGCCACGCCUGAUCAAAAUUGGCAGACCCCGUACUUGCAAUAUCUCUGCCAAGGAGAGCUACCCCUCGACCAAGCCGAGGCUCGGCGGGUAGCGCGACGCGCCAAGUCGUUCGUCUUGCUGGGCGAUGAGGAGGAGCUCUACCACCGCAGCCCCUCGGGCAUCCUCCAGCGAUGCAUCUCCAUCGCCGAAGGUCAGGAACUCCUGCAAGAAAUACACUCGGGGGCUUGCGGCCAUCAUGCAGCGCCUCGAGCCCUUGUCGGGAAUGCUUUCCGGCAAGGCUUCUACUGGCCAACGGCGGUGGCUGACGCCACUAGAAUUGUCUGCACCUACGAAGGGUGCCAAUUCUAUGCGAAACAGACCCACCUGCCCGCUCAGGCUCUGCAGACGAUACCCAUCACCUGGCCCUUUGCUGUGUGGGGUCUGGACCUCGUCGGUCCCUUGCAGAAGGCGCCCGGGGGCUACACGCCAUCGACAAAUUCUCCAAGUGGAUCGAGGUCCGACCCCUGAACAGCAUCAGGUCCGAGCAGGCAGUGGCGUUCUUCACCAACAUCAUCCAUCGCUUCGGGGUCCCAAACUCCAUCAUCACUGACAACGGUACCCAGUUCACCGGCAGAAAAUUCUUGGAUUUUUGCGAGGAUCACCACAUCCGGGUGGACUGGGCCGCCGUGGCUCAUCCCAUGUCGAAUGGGCAAGUAGAGCGUGCCAACGGCAUGAUUCUACAAGGGCUCAAGCCCCGGAUUUACAACGACCUCAACAAGUUCGGCAAGCGAUAGAUGAAGGAACUCCCCUCGGUGAUCUGGAGCCUGAGGACAACGCCGAGCCGAGCCACGGGUUUCACGCCGUUCUUCCUGGUCUACGGGGCCGAGGCCAUCUUGCCCACUGACCUGGAAUACGGCUCCCGAGGACGAGGGCCUACAACGAUCAAAGCAACCAAGCUAGCCGAGAAGAAUCGCUAGACCAGCUGGAAGAGGCUCGGGACAAGGCCUUACUACACUCGGCGCGGUACCAGCAGUCCCUGCGACGCUACCACGCCCGAGGGGUCCGGCCCCGAGACCUCCAGGUGGGCGACCUGGUGCUUCGGCUGCGGCAAGACGCCCGAGGGAGGCACAAGCUCACGCCCCCCUGGGAGGGGCCAUUCGUCAUCGCCAAAGUUCUGAAGCCCGGAACAUACAAGCUGGCCAACAAUCAAGGCGAGAUCUACGGCAGCGCUUGGAACAUCCAACAGCUACGUCGCUUCUACCCUUAAGAUGUUUUCAAGUUGUUCAUAUACCUCGCACCCACGCAAAGUUUAGUCAUCAAGGAAGGGUCGGCCUCGCCUCGGCAAAGCCUGACCCUCCCUCGGGGGCUAAAAGGGGGGGGACCCCCUCUGCGUCGAAAUUUUCCUCGAAAAAAGAUCUCUUUUAGCAGAGUAUCUUUCGUGCUUUUCGACUACUUCGAAAAGCGGAUCCUGAAAACGACGGAGUACACGUAAGCAGCCAAGGCUGACCGAGCCGAGGGACUCCUACGCCUCCGGGAUACGGAUACCUCACUCAUCACCUUCUGCGAUAAGUAACUCGCGUUCGGAUAAAGUGAUUCCGCGGACCGAACAAGUCUUUACGUUCGGAAGCUCUUCUGCCGAAGCGGUCCUUCGAGCCUUCUCGACUGAAUCGGUGACAGGGCCUCAUGGACGGGUGAAAGUACGCGUAAGCGGCAAGGCCGACCGAGCCGAGGGACUCCCACGCCUCCGGGAUACGGAUACCUCACUCAUCACCUUCCGCGAGAAGCAACUCUCGCUCGCACAAACAUCCCUGUUACCGACAAAAAAGUCCAGAUACUCGAAAUAAGAGGAAAAGAGACGCAGCUUUACAACGCAGCGAGGAUGUGUGUUCUGGCCUCAGCGGCCGCAGAAGGCACACGCUACAAGACAAUCUGAUCCUGCAGGCUCGGGUCUUCACGCUGGAAGGGGGCUGUAGCACCCUCGGCAUCGACGACACCUUCAGCGAGGUCCGACCCAGCCUCGGACGGCGACGCGGUCCAGGGACUUCUCCGGGAAUCCGGCCCAAGCAGGCGGCUCGGCCGGUUACCCCAGGGGCCUCGGCUAACCAUCUUCCAAGGGCGCCAGCCCGGUCCGAGGCCUCGGCUGAUCAACUCCGGCAUCGGUCCCGCUGACGGACAACCCGGCUAGGCUCCGGCCAACCAGGUUUUCAUUUUCGAGCCAACUCCGCCUCUGUUCAUGCUGAUAUCGCUACCCCUGGCCUCGGCUCGUCGAAGAGCGGCCAAGGGGUCUCUUUAACUAAGCUAGAGGAGCCUCAGACAACAAGGCCAAUCGAGCCGAGGGACUCCUAUGCCUCCGGGAUACGGAUACCUCACUCGUCACCUUGACACGGGGCGACUCAUGCUUGGUGAAGCGGUUCAGAUAAUCAACAUGCGAGACUUAGUGCUCAAAAAUGAGGAAAAAACACGGCUCCGUGCCAAAAUUACAUACAUGUUCAGGCCUCGACAGCCACAAUGAACAAAGACACCGGCAUUCGAAGUGCCAUUACAAACGGAACUCCGGUUCCCCCUCCGCAGGUACGAACAAACCCCACUCCAUGGGGGAAGGCCUGCGGAGCCACAGAAGACUGACGAACGGCGCGCCGUCACCUGCUCCAGCAGCAGCGACGGCGACGACUUCUGCUCCGGGGGGCCGAACAGCGGCAGCACUGACCUCAGGGCGGGCGCUGCUGCUAGGAGGCCCCCGCCCAUGCCCAAACUUGUGAGGCAAGGACGGGCAGAAGGCCGUAGAGUUGAAGGUCGGUCCGUGGCCGGCCUUGGCUAUCUCGCCGGCAGAAGAACCUCUUCAAGCUGCCGUGGCGGACGCCGGCGCCGCGAGCGGCUCCGAAGGCUCCGAAGCCACUCGCGUCCGAGAGCCAGGCACGGUGCAGCUGCCAGCGCCACGGAUGACGACCGCCCUUCCCUCCGAUCACUGAGUGAAGGAGCGGGCCGCCGCCCACGCGGGGGCCGACCUCAACUCGGCACACUCCCCUCCCCAGCCCUGGUGAUGAAAAUCCUUGAGGCUGAAGGAGGGGCAGAGGCCGCAGCCCGGCUCGCUUUCCCCCACCAUCAAGCUGGAGGUCACCAUCUUGGGUGACCGCCGGUGGAGGGGUGCAGCCGGGCUGCAUGACGAAAAUCCUUGAAGCCGAACGAUGGCUGAAAGGUACCAACUCCCACGGAGUUGCGUUCCUCCAACGAUGAGGCAAAAAGACGGCGGGUACCCCCCAUCCGGGGGCUUGGAAGGUGGAAAGACGCGACGCAUAAGGGAGCGAGAAGACAUGGUCGCCUUCCGAAAGGGGUCGCCCUCCUUUUAAAGGCAACUCUCCCUACGUGCGCCCCCAAACGUCACAGGCUAAGUCUUCUCCAACACGCUCCAAGGCCCUUCCCUGCGGCGCGGGGGCUGGGUCCCGCGUGUCAUGCAAACCGGCUCAGAGCAGAAGAAGCCAAACCGCCGCGCGUGGUGCACACAACCGCCCAGCAGUUACAAGCGACCCCCCACUUUUGCCCAGACCAACGGGCGAAAGAGGCGGGCAGCCAUGCAGGCGGCAUGCAAUCGCGCUAGGUGGACGCGCUUCUCCGACUCCCAACAUGCCAGCAUGGAGGCCCAGGCCCAUGCGUCACGCAACCGGCGUGCCAGAUGCUGCAUGCAAGCAACUGCACCGCCACUUGCGCCACCACCGCGCCUCUUCGGUUGCGGAACCAAUACCGCGACUCGAGGCGGCCCAGCGCACGACCCAACAGCGCCAGCCUGGCGCGACGGUCAAUACGGCCGAAAGUGGGCCGGCAGUAAUGACGGUGGCAGGCGGGCGGGAGCAGCGGACACGUCGUCGGCCAGACUCACGUCCCGUCCGGGGGCAGCAAGAGAACCCCCUCUCACGGCGUGAAGACAGGGCGCCCGUGAUCCGUUCCUCGAACGGCUCGCGCACGCGCAACGGCCGCCCUGCCAACAACUCACCCCGUCGCAUUAACUCCGCGGCGGGACAGGCGGCGCUUCUGGCAGGAGAAGCGGGCGACGCUUCGCCUUCGCCGCAAUAACCGCGCCAAAAAAGGUACGCCACGUCGUUCGAUUUCGUAUCCUUUUCCUUUUUUCCUCUUUCUCUAUCUCUUGCAACAGGGACCGGGAAAGGGGGAUACCCCGAAAAGGAUCCUUCCCUGUGAAGGAAUCGGGCUCCGAGCCCCCCUACUGAUCAGAGGUUCGAAGGCUGGCCCUCCGAGGGGUUCAACGGUCGCCUCAGAUCGCGUGGGCCCUACACCCAAUACUGGUCAGAGGUUCGAAGGCUGGCCCCCCAAAGGGCUCCACGGCCGCCUCAGGCUACUCGGGCUCCGCGCCCAUUACUGAUCAGGGGUUCGAAGGCUGGCCCCCGAAGGGUUCACAGUCGCCUCAGACACCGAGCGAGGGAUGACCAGGGGUACGUUCGAUACAUAACCAAGGCUCGGGCUGCGCUCCCGAGGUACCCUAGGACAUUUCCGAGACCAGCGGGAGCGAUCUUGUAACGGAAUCCCAUCGGAGGGAGGCAUCGAGCCCUCGGACCCCGUCGCCAGGGGACCGGGUCCGGCAGAUCACCCGCAGGUACUUUUGGGCGUGCCUCUGGGCCCCUAGCCGACCCCCAACGAACGGCGCACGGACGUCCACUCGGAUUACCCGCUUUGCAGCUCACCGGAGACACCAUGUUCGGUGCCCAUCGAGGGUAACAUGGCGCUCUCCCCCCUCCUCCUUGCGGAAAGGCGACGUAGGGGCGUAUGUAAAAAAGCCGAGUCUGUCCCUGAUCGCCCUCUCGCCUUGUGCGGAGGCUCGGGGGCUGCUCUCGCAAACCCGACUCUGGCCGAACAGUUGACGGCGUCAACAUACCAACCCGAGAACUUGGGCCCCGACCGUGCACCCGGGCUACGGCCAGUUCGCAUGAGGGAACAACCAGACCAGCCGAAGCAUUACGCAAGGCAUUAAGACCUCGGGGGAGUGAAACCACUCCUCCGAGGCCUCGGGGGCUACACCCGGCAGGUGCGCUCGCGCGCACCCACUGGAACAAAAUGCAACCGAGAAAGGCUGGUCCCCUUGCAAAAAAGUGCGACGAAAGCCUCCAAGCGAGUGCUAACACUCCCUUCGAGGCUCGGGGGCUACUGUCGGGGACCAUAAUUAGGGGUACCCUCAAGACGCCUAAUUCUCAGCUGGUAACCCCCAUCAGCAUAAAGCUGCAGAGGCCUGAUGGGUGCGAUUAAGUUAGGGAUCAGUCCAUACGAGCGACUCGAUCACGCCUCGCCCGAGCCUAGCCUCGGGCAAGGGCAGCCGACCCCGAGGGAUUUCCGUCUCGCCCGAGGCCCCCCUUUAACGGCGGACACAUCUCCGGCUCGCCCGAGGCCUUGCCUUCGCUAAGAAGCAACCCUGACUAAAUCGCCGCGCCGACCGACCGAGUCGCAGGAGCAUUUAACGCAAAGGUAGCCUGACACCUUUAUCCUGACGCGCGCCCCCCGGCAGAGCCGAAGUGACCGCCGUCACUUCGCCGCUCCACUGACCGGUCUGACAGAAGGACAGCGCCGCCUGCGCCACUCCGACUGCAGUGCCACUUGACAGAGUGAGACUGACAGGCAGUCAGGCCCUGCCAAAGGCGCCAUAGGAAACUCCGCUCCGCCCGACCCAGGGCUCGGACUCGGGCUAAGCCCCGGAAGACGGCGAACUCCGCUACGCCCGACCCAGGGCUCGGACUCAGGCUAAGCCCCGGAAUACGGCGAACUCCGCUCCGCCCGACCCAGGGCUCGGACUCGGGCUAAGCCCCGGAAGACGGCGAACUCCGCUCCGCCCGACCCAGGGCUCGGACUCGGGCUAAGCCCCGGAAGACGGCGAACUCCGCUCCGCCCGACCCAGGGCUCGGACUCGGGCUAAGCCCCGGAAGACGGCGAACUCCGCUCCGCCCGACCCAGGGCUCGGACUCGGGCUAGGCCCCGGAAGACGGCGAACUCCGCUCCGCCCGACCCAGGGCUCGGACUCGGGCUCAGCCCCAAAAGACGACGAACUCCGCUUCGCCCGACCCAGGGCUCGGACUCGGGCUCAGCCCCAGAAGACGACAAACUCCGCUUCGCCCGACCCAAGGGCUCGGACUCCGCCCUGGCCUCUGCCGAACGACCUCCGCCUCGCCCGACCCAGGGGCUCGGGCUCGGCCUCGGCCAUGGAAGACAGACUCGACCUAGGCUUCGGAGGAACCUCCACGUCGCCCGACCUAGGGCACAAGCCCGCCACGUCAACAGGAAGCGCCAUCAUCACCCUACCCCGAGCCGACUCGGGCCGCAGAGAACAAGACCGGUGUCCCAUCUGGCUAGCUCCGCCAGAUAGGCAAAGAUGGCGCCCCGCAAGCCCUGUGACGACGGCGGCUCUCAGCUCCCUUACGGAAGCAGGGGGACGUCAGCAAGGACUCAACCGCUCCGACAGCUGUCCCUCCGCCAGGCUCCGUUGCUCCUCCGACAACCACGACAUCGCACCAGCAGGGCGCCAAGAUCUCUCCGGCUGCCACAUUGGCAUGUACUUAGGGCGCUAGCUCUCCCCCGCUAGACACGUAGCACUCUGCUACACCCCCAUUGUACACCUGGAUCCUCUCCUUACGCCUAUAAAAGGAAGGACCAGAGCCUUCUUAGAGAAGGUUGGCCGCGCGGGGACGAGGACGGGACAGGCGCUCUCUUGGGCCCGCUCGCUUCCCUCACCCGCGUGGACGCUUGUAACCCCCUACUGCAAGCGCACCCGACCUGGGCGCGGGACGAACACGAAGGCCGCGGGAUUUCCACCUCUCUCACGCCCGUCUCCGGCCACCUCGCUUCCCCCCUUCGCUCUCGCCCACGCGCUCGACCCAUCUGAGCUGGGGCACGCGGCACACUCACUCGUCGGCUUAGGGACCCCCCGGUCUCGAGACGCCGACACUUCCGAAAACCCGCUACAGUUUAUGGGAAGAGCACUUGCAAGAAUCCCUUGUCUGACCACCAUCGCAGCAAAAUCAACCCGAGAACUUCCUUGCAUGCAACUCCCCUACUGCCCUUGUCCCUUUCGGGUAAGGUAGUCUUCCACUAGCUUUCCUAAUUAGUUAGCCAAGGGGUCCCAUUCCUCCCUUGUGGUGGCACGUGUUUCUCAAGUUAAGCUCCAUGUUCCAAUUAACAAUAAUAUAAUGAUCUUGUCAUGAACAUAAAUAAAAUAACAUAAUAAUUGGAACAUGGACGUAAUAUAGUAUUAAUCCCAAAACCAUAUAAAGCAAUAGCAAAAACUACCCAAGUGAUCCAAGGGUAAACAAGGUAAAAGGAUAAACAGACUAGGGUGACCUAUUGGGUCCCAUCAAAAUUAAACCUAUGCAUUGAAUAGUGAUAAUAAAGAAUAUUAUUGGGUAAAUGAAGGUGAUCAAGGGCACAACUUGCCUGGCACUUGAGAUUCCAGUUACCAGGAUGAUUCUUUAGAUCCUCGCGACCUCAUGCUAGUCGUAGCAAUACAAACAGACAUGGUAUAUACAAAAUUAACAUCACACCAAACAUAAGUACAAACUAAAUAAUAAUAAUCUAUGCGUCGCUAUGAGAUUGUGGAAACGAGAACCACUAAAAUCGAAGUCAUGGUUAAGGAUUUAUGAUUUUAUGGAGGAUUUAUGUGAUUAAAAUGUUAAACUAUAUUAUAAAUUGGUUAGUAUAAAUCAUAUGAGAGGUUAUUCUAUAAAUACUUAUCUCAACUUCAUUGUAAGUCAUUAUUUGAUUAAAGAUCAUUUAGUCAAACUAUAUCCAUAAGAUCAGAGGUUAAUCCAAUAGACAUAAGUUAAUCCAAAUACAUAGGAUAAAUAAAUAUCUAAUUAUAAAAGUAUGAGACAUGGUAUAAUCAAUGUUGUUACUACGUAGUAAAUACUUGUACGAGACUAACGCGACUUGAACGGAUCAAAUCGGAAUUCAAACGGAGGAGAUACGAAUUUCCUAAGGUUUUAUGUAUUUGAUACGAGAUUAAUUAAGAAAUCAAUUUUAAUACAGUUUUCAUGUUAAAAGAGUAUUACAUAAUUAUAGACAAUAUUAAUACAAAAUUAUAGGAACUGAAAUGGUCCAAUUUGGACCUAAUAUGAAUUUUCUAGGAAUUAUACAAGUUCUAGUAAUUAUUUUACAUUAACAAUCAUUUUAGAAAUGAAUUUCUCAUAUUUUACUAUUGGAUGUACUGCACUAAAUAAACAGAAACUCAGGGUUAGCGCCGCAAAAGUCCCCCAGACUCAUUCCACUCAGUCGCAGUACCGUGGGUUGAUUUCCUUAUUUCCCAGGGUCUCUUUAGCAAGAACGACAGGGCAAAGGGGUAUGGCAAAGUUUGGGCCGCCAGAUUACCUUCGAACGGUUCUGAAUAGAUCAAGCGCGGAUCAAACAGAAACUAGAUCGCAGCCAUUGGAUCCCUGUCUACGGUCCGGAUUUAAAAUACCCAGACACGCUCUCACCCGUCGAAGCACAGAUCUACGGUCACGGUUCCAUUGAACGAAGGGGUAUUUGUUGACCUAAUUUGCAUCGUCCAAACUGGAUCUAACGGCUCGCAACCCCCCAGACGAACCGGCAUCCAUCUAAUCGUGACCACACCCUUGGGAUCCAACGGCCCACCUGGCACCCGCCAUUUUGUGACAUAGAACAGUAGCGCCGCCGCUGCUCACGGCGGAGUUUCACCGGAGCCGCGGGUUCUGGCGACCCCUGACUUGAUUCGAAGCGUAACUAGGUGAUAAACAAUGUAGAGGAGGUAUCGAAUCGAUCCAAGGGGCAUUACCGAUGGCUGGGAGGCUAGGUGAAGCUGUCCACGCAGCGUCGCGACGAAAAGGGUCUCCGGCGAGAAAUCCCCGUGGACACAGCAAGGUACUCCUCGAUUUCCCCCUCCUACCGCCUCUACGCUGUCAGUUCGAGUUCCGGGUGGCCACGAUGGAGGACGAACCCCACUGGGGGCGGUUAUCCGCGGCGGCGGUGGACAGUCUUUGUGUGGAACGCGGCGGCGCAGGUGUUGGUGUGGCGUGGGGGCAACGAAGCAAGGGGGCUCGCGCGGACGAGGUCGUGUGCCGAUACUUAUAGGAGAGGCGGGGAACUGGGCGACUGAACGGUACCCGAUGCAUGCGGCGAGGUAGCGACAGGUGCAGAGAUGGAGCCGUGUGAGGAAGACGCCCACGCGCGGCACUGAGCGACUGCCUAGUGGGCCCGGUGUGCCAUUGACUCGGUGACGGGAUGGAGCGUCUGCCAAACGGGGCCCAUCGGCCAGUGGCACGAGUGCACGGAGUGGUCAGAGGUGGCUGCCGCACGUGCGAGGAAGUAUAAGCGGGCCGGCGCGGGGGGUGUCUUCCUGGUGGGCCGAAAGCUGGUCCCGAAGCCCAAGUAAGCCUUCUUCCUUUUUUCUUUUUCUUUUAUGUUUUAUUUUAUUCCUAAUUAUUUUGAAUCAAAUUCAAAUUUGAAUAUGAGUUCCUCCUUU